rnacentral:lncRNA from 1 species
AUUUUGCAACAACAACUGAUUCCAUGCAUGGAUGUUGUAUUGCAGCAACACAACAUAGCGCAUGGAAGAUCACAAGUUUUGCAACAAAGUACUUACCAGCUGUUGCAAGAAUUGUGUUGUCAGCACCUAUGGCAGAUCCCUGAGCAGUCGCAGUGUCAGGCCAUCCAAAAUGUUGUUCAUGCUAUUAUUCUGCAUCAACAACAAAAACAACAACAACAACCAUCGAGCCAGGUGUCCUUCCAACAGCCUCUGCAACAAUAUCCAUUAGGCCAGGGCUCCUUCCGGCCAUCUCAGCAAAACCCACAGGACCAGGGCUCUGUCCAGCCUCAACAACUGCCCCAGUUCGAGGAAAUAAGGAACCUAGCGCUACAGAUGCUACCUGCAAUGUGCAAUGUCUACAUCCCUCCAUAUUGCACAAUCGCGCCAUUUGGCAUCUUCGGUACUAACUGAGAAGAAAAUAACUCUAGUACUAGAUAUAUGAAACACCGUUUUCUCAGUCCAUGGUUUGGUCAUUGUAGCGUCGAAAAAAUAAUGUGACAUGCACUAUCAUAUAAGAAUCCGAACUAUACUAGUUCAAACUUGGGAAUAAAAGACAAACACAUGUCUUGUCUACAUAUUUAUGUUGCAUCUAUUUAUAUAUUAAAAGUAAUAUAAGGUGAACCAGGAGCAAGGUAAAUAUGCUAGAAAAUUGCACGUUAAUUAGAAAUUACUUGCCCUCGAUCUGGUAAAUCUUAACAAAUAGAAUUAUCUUGACCGUUAGAUUUAUAUAACAUAUAUAAUGCUCUGGGCCUCCAACGACUGUACGUGACACAUCUGAACGAACAUAUGGUAAAGAAAAUAUAUUUGGUAAAUGGUGGGCCUGUUUAAAAAGAGAACUCACGUACAUGCACCAACUAAGAAAAACACAUACAUGUAAACGGGAAAAGGAUGAGAUUUUCUCACGUACGUGCUCCCUGGCUCCACCCCGUUGAAAAAAUAUACAUCUGGAGGCCACUUUGUUUCCUCAUCAAAAAAACUUACGUUAAAAAGAUUGCAUGCAUCCCAGGGAAAAUAGUCAAGAAGAAGUCGGACUUUUCCUUACAAAAACAAGGAACGUGUUAAGUUGACUUCAAAGAAAAAAGGAACAUGUUAAGUUAAAAAAAAACAAGAAACCUGUUAAGUUAGAAAAAAACAAGGAACGUGUUGUCCAAGGAAAGAUAUGUGUCAAAUCUUACAAAAAAAAAGAAUACACACACGUACGUUCAUGCACUUGGAAAAUAGAAAAAAAGGAACAUCACGUAUGUAUACACUUCGGAAACUCAUUACAUGACCAUGUCUGAUAUACUCCUCUAAUGCUUAAUAUUAGUGCCUAAUAAUUUAUAUUUAAAAUUUAAUUUACUGAUCAAAUAUCCCCACUGUUUAAAUUUUAAUUUGGCACAUUGUUUGGCUAUAGUAUGAACCUGAAUUUCCUCUUAUUAUUAUAUAUCAUGGUAAUAAUCCAAAGGCGACUAAUCUGCACCGGCGCACCGGCGCAAUCAAUUCGGCUGGACACAGCGCGGCCGUUUGAUUAGAUUGCAUUUAACCAUCAGAUCUGGAAUCGUUUUCUUUCCAAUUAAACGGAUUCAACCAAACAGCAGAGGGGAAAACAAAGCAGCGCCGCCGCCAACACUAGCCAUGGACGACCGAUGUAGCAAAACCUUGAAGAACCGCCGCCGGUCGCCACCCUCGCCUCUGGUCGCUGCCCUCGCCGUCGGUCACCGCCGGUCGCCGCCCUCGCCGCCUGCGUUUCUCAUCGGCUUCAUGCAUGCAACAACAUGCACUCGUGGUUGCAGGCUUGCAUCUCCGGCUCCGGGGACAUGGCCGCAUCUCCGGUAGCGCCGGCCGCCGGCCGCAGCACCUGUCGUUGUGGUCGCGCUGUACCUCGCCGUGUGCCCUCCCGAGGCUCUUGCUGGUUCCAACAAAAAACGAUACCUGUUGUAGCAAAAAAGUAUCGCUUCCAGCAAAAAAGCUUACCGCUACAGCCCGCCAUCGUCAUUGUAGCAAAAAUGUUAACCCGAUGUAGCUUCUGUGGUUGCCGACUGCAGCAAAAAAUGACAUGGCUGUAGCAAAACACAAAAGAAAAACACUGGCCGGCCGCUGUGUAUGGUGGUAACAAACCCUAUAGCCGGUGGUAGCGAAAAACUUCAUAGUGUGCUGCAAAAAAAUGUUGUCACCCGUCGUCGAGGUUGCAUCAUCUUCAUGAAUUAUGCCGCAAAAAAACGUUGUCGCCGGUAGUAGCAAAUGAAGCCGCCGGUAGUAGCAAAACAAGACACUGGUUCCAGCCAAAAAAAAAAUCAGCGACAGAACCUUUGGUUGGUUCCAACAAAAAAACUUGUCGGUUGUAACAUCCCUCGCCGCCGGAUGUAGCAUCUCCCGGGGCUGGUUGCAACACUCCAUAAAAAAAGUUGUCUAUGAGCGCAUCCAUGGUGACUGCUGCACCGUCAGCAAUGAGGGGAAGAGGAGGCAAUGAAAAUCAUUCGAGUCAUAGCUCCACAGGACGCGGCUGCAGCAUGGGGAGUCCAAAAAUCUGUCACAAGCAACAUGCGCCGCGCCAUCCUCCUGCGCAGGAGAGAGAAGAAAAAGGAAUAAGAGGAAGAAGAAAGGAAACAGGAGAAAGAAAAAAGAAAGGAUUGGUGGUUGGCUCAGGCAAUUAGUCAAGCGAGGGGCACGCGGGGCCGCAGGACACAGCGCAAUCGAACGAAGCGCGCGCGUCCGGGCGAAGACUCGGCCGGACUGCCGUCUGGAAACGUUUCCCUAAUCCAAAGGCUUUAUCUGAAUGACAAGUCGUCUGGGUUACCGGCUAACUAGAAAAAAGAUAAAUAUGCUAGAGAAUUCCAUAAUAAUUAGAAAUAUCUAGCCUUUAAUUAUGUAAACCAGAAAAUCACAACCGUUGGAUUUACUUUAAAGGUAAAUUUCUAUAAAUUCCCACCAUUGCCAGUAUGUAGAAACAUGUGCUGCUUCAAUUCUCCCAUAAUCACCAAUCAAUCAACAACACAAAACAUACCUCAGUUAAAAAAACUGAACAAAAAAAAGAAAAAAAGAAGAAAGGACAAGAUACACGCAUGUACACGACAGCCUUGGCUUGAAACACAUCAGUAGAUCAAGUGUCCGCCUCCCUUACACGUACGUCCCAUGAGGUUUACUAGCCUACCGCCGCCGCAUCAUGCCAUCCUCUCCUUUCAGCUCCCAUGCUCUCCAGCACCCUCAUUGCGGCGCCACUACUCGCCUAGGGAUAUUGCUGCUCAGACCGUGGAGCUUAACCACAUCAGCAUCAGCACGUAUGGGCCUCAUUAUACUGCAGCACGUAUUGCGCCCCCUUAAGUCCAGGUCUGUUUGCUGGCACAUAUGCUUUGGAAAUAGGCCACUAUGUUUGUACUUCAAAAUUGUUUCUGUAUUCUUGAGUGGUACAUCCUUUUAAGCGCCAGUUUUUUAUGUUAAUUCAUGCUGACAACACUUAACCUAGCCUUUCAUGUUCACGUACUAAAUACAGGAGCAAGUAAAAACAACAGACCACCUAAUUGCUCUGCAUGUACUACAUAGGAAAAUUUGUCAUGUUCUACGAUCGCACCAUCCCACCCUUCUCUCUUGGUAUGGGCGCCAAUUGAGGGAUUGAUAAAACUGAAACGAAGACGUCACAGGGCUGGAAGUACCGCUAGCCUGGUUUGCACUGCAACCUACCCAACGCCAUCAGAAACUAGCAACUGAGUCAGGUGUUGAUCGAUUCUCUCAAAUUGCUCUCAUGUAAGUACUACCCCUUGCAUGUGCGUACAUACCUUUGUUGCAUUCUCAAACAGAUAGAACAUGUUUGAUCGGUGCAUGGCUAUUUUUCAUCACAUGACAUCCAGAUAACAAGCAUGAAAGGACUACAUUGGAGAUCAAAAAAUAUUGGUUCCUGGCUAGAGUACCACUACCUAUGGACUUGUCUCCAUAGAAUUUGUUCCCAAGAUGUUAUUUUAAUUAAUCUCUUUAGCUUUCUUCCAUUGCAAACGGUGAUGUGCAUCAUGGUAUAUACGUGACCAUCUUGCACAUGUAUACACAAGAGGCUCAGAUGGAGGUGCUGGAUUCUGGACGAGGGAAUAUGAAGCAGGAGUGAGCGAAGAGUAAAUAAUGGUGGGAGUACCGAUUGGUGUUAUGAAGAAAAAUGCCAUCCAAAGAUUGAUUAGUGUCAUGGAAGAUUAAUUUCUGAAUGCGAAUAUAUAUGUUACAUUGGUUUGGAUCUUUUUGAGAUAAUUCCACCUAAAUUAGGUUCUUUCUUAUUUCAUAUGUAUACCUUAUUUCAGUAAAAGUUCACAACGAACUUAGUAGGACAAAUAUAAUUUUGUUUGUUCUUUCUGUUGUCCGCCACCAAAGCUCAAUUUGAACUCUCUAGAAAUGGACAAUGAUUUAUGCAUUCUAUAUCUUCUUGAUUGAUUAGCCAUGACAAGGAAAUAAAAGGAUUGACUGAUAUAGCAUAACUUUGGAACGAUUAGAGGUUACUACAAAUAAGAGUAGUGUCUGUUGGAAUUUUGCUAGUAGGCCUUUGGCCCAAAGCCCAACUAAAAUUCUGAAAUUCUCUUGGCUCAUUUAUGCACACAUGUGAGUUGAGUGAGUGAGACUAAAGUUUAGUCCCACCCUGGAAGUUGAGAGAGAGUUGCACCUCUUUAUAAGGUGAGCUCUUCUACCACUUGUAUGAGCAUGAGAAGAGGAGACCUACACGCGCGCUCCUCCUCCACGCUCGCCACGCCUCGUCGCGCCGCGCCGUGCCGCGGGUUGCGGGAUUGAGCCGAGCCGAGGACGUUUUCUAUAUUUUUGCUGCUCGGGAAAAAUUAAUGAGUCAUUAAUUAAUAAUUAAUGGACACAUUAAUUACUGAACCGUUUCCGAUUUUUUUGGAUCGUGACGACUCGGACGUGGGGUUUACUCCCAGGACCUACCCGGCCCGCACUAUAUAGUCAGGAAGACGUCUACCCUAGCCGCCGCCGCUUCGUAUGGUUUCUCACCAUCGUUACAGAUCAUUGCGCCGCCAAGCAAGUUUUCUCCAUCCCUCCUUUCGGCGUGCACCGGGAGAAGGGACAGCAGACCUCCGGAACCCCGCCUCUCGUGAUCCUAUACGGGAGAGGGGCGAUCAGGUUUUUGGGGAGCGCACUCGCAUGACUGCUGGCAGCGACGACUUCGCAAACGACGACUUCUUCCCCGACCUCGGCAACCUCAUCCUCGACGACAUGGGCGACAACGUCAACGCCGGCGGUGCUACACCCACUGCACCGUAUGUUAUUCUCUCCUUCUUGUUCGAGAUCAUGGUAGAAUUCAUGUUUCUAGUAUAUGUGCCCUAGAUGUGAUCUGUUCAUCUACUAUGGUAGUUCGCAUGAUUAGUUUAAUCUCUGUUAUUGCUGUCAUGAUCUAUUUCCUAUUUAUUCGGAUUAAAUCUCGUAGUAAUUUUCUCAUUUUUCCAACAAUCCAAAAACCUGAUUAUAGGAAAUUUACUCCGAGUGGUUUUGCUGCGCAUCUGAAAGCCGCUUGCCUUUAAGGGGGCGCAAUAUAAGAGGUGGCGCACCAGAGCAGUCUACUGGUUUCAGAUCAUGGGCUGCUAUGACGCCACCAAGGGCAAGCCUGAGGGCGAUCUUAAUCCAGCACAGCUGGAAGCUUUCAAGAAGAUCAAUACCCUCUUUAAAGGCACGCUUCUGAGUGUUCUUGAUGACUCCAUUGUAGAUUCGUAUAUGUCGUUUGACAAUGGCAAGAACAUGUGGGCUACGCUCGAGGCCAAGUUUGGUGCCUCGGACGCCGGCAGCGAGUUGUACGUCAUGGAGCAAUUCUAUGACUCCAAGAUGACUGAUGGGCGCCCUGUUGUACAGCAGGCUCAUGAGAUACAGUUGCUCGCAAAAGAACUUGAGUACUUCAAGUGUGUGUUGGCGAACAAAUUUGUUGCCGGAGGCAUCAUUGCCAAGCUUCCACCUUCGUGGAACAAUUUUGCUACUUCCCUGAAACACAAGAGACAGGAGUUUUUCGUUGCGGAUCUCAUUGGUACUCUUGAUGUUGAAGAGAAGGCGAGAGCAAAGGAUACACGUGCUUGAGUUGCUAAGGGAGGUUCUAGUGCCCACAUGGUACAGAAGAAGAACUUCCAGCCCAACAAGUUCAAAAACAACAAGAACAAAACUUAGGGCAAAGGCAAGUUCGAUACAAAGAACAAGCCAUCACAUUCUACCAACUUCAAGAAGAACUCUCAUAAGAAGGGGAAGGGACUUUGCCAUGUCUAUGGUGAUCCUAAUCACUGGGCUCCGAAGUGUCCCAACCGCUUUGAGGAGCGCGAACAUGAGAAGAGCGGCAAGUCUGCUAAUGUUGUCAUCGGUGAUACUGAUAUGAAGGAAUCAGGGUACGGUAUUUUUCCUACCAUCCUUUCAGUAUUCCAAACCCCUGACUGGUUAAUUGACACCGGUGCCAAUGUACAUGUUUGUGCUGAUGCCUCCAUGUUUUCUUCUUACCAGGCCACUGGGACUUCUCCUAUGCUGAUGGGGAACGGGUCACAUGCCAUCGUUCGAGGUGUUGGUACGGUCGAUCUGAAGUUUACUUCGGGGAAGACCGUGCGUCUGAAGAACGUUCAUCAUGUGCCGUCCAUCAAUAAAAAUCUCGUUAGCGGUUCCCGUUUAUGUCGAGAUGGUUUUAAGUUGGUUUUCGAAUCCAAUAAAGUUAUAAUUUCUAAGUAUGGACAAUUUGUUGGAAAAGGCUAUGAGAGCGGAGGCUUGUUUCGCCUGUCUUUGUCAGAUAUUUGCACUAAAGUUAUUAAUAAUGUUUGCCACAACAAUGAGUCUGAUAUUUGGCAUUCACGACUUUGUCACAUUAACUUUGGUUGCAUGACGCGGCUAGCCAAUAUGAAUUUAAUUCCGAAAAUCUCUACUGUCAAAGGAUCUAAGUGCCAAGUAUGUGUGCAAGGUAAGCAACCUCGCAAGUCCCAUAAGACUGCAGAGGCAACAGACUUGGCGCCACUAGAGCUUAUACAUUCUGAUAUUUGUGAGAUGAAUGACGUGUUGACAAAAGGUGGAAAGAGAUACCUCAUGACGUUGAUUGAUGACUCCACUAGAUAUUGUUAUGUGUAUCUUAUGAAAUCAAAAGAUGAGGCUUUGGCUUUCUUCAAAAACUAUAGAGCUGAGGCAGAGAACCAACUUGAUCGAAAAAUUAAACGGCUUAGGUCCGAUCAUGGUGGAGAGUAUUUUUCCAAUGAAUUUGAUCUAUUUUGUGCGGAACAUGGUAUAAUCCAUGAGAGGAUGCCUCCCUACUCACCCCAGUCAGAUGGGGUAGCCGAAAGAAAGAACCAAACUCUAACUGAUAUGGUUAACACCAUGUUAGACACUUCGGGUCUAUCCAAGGAAUGGUGGGGGGAGGCGCUAAUGACUGCGUGUCAUGUCCUAAACCGAGUUCCCACAAAGCAUAAGACCAUGACUCCAUUUGAGGAAUGUUAAAGGAAAAGGUUGAAACUCUCUUACCUACGUACUUGGGGUUGUUUGGCGAAAGUCAAUAUACCAAUUCCCAAGAAGCGCAAGCUUGGACCAAAAAUCGUGGGUUGUGUUCUUCUUGGCUAUGCUUUUCAUAGCAUCGGCUAUAGAUUUUUGAUAAUAAAAUCUGAGGUAUCCGACAUGCAUGUUGGUACGAUUAUGGAGUCGAAUGAUGCAACUUUUUUUGAGGACAUAUUUCCUAUGAAGGAUAUGUCGAGUUCAUCAAAUCAGGAGACACCUACUCCAUCUAGUGAGGAAUUCAUUGUAAUUCCUGAACCCACCAUUGCGAUGGAACACAUUGAGAAUCCUGUUGAGGGUGACAAUGGAACUCUUGUGAGGAGUAAGAGACAUAGGACUACAAAGUCCUUUGGUGAUGAUUUCAUUGUGUACCUCGUGGAUGACACACCCAGGACUAUUUCAGAAGCCUGUGCAUCUCUUGAUGCUGACUACUGGAAGGAAGCUGUACGUAGCGAGAUGGAUUCCAUCUUAGGUAACGGAACCUGGGAGAUCACUGACCGUCCUUAUGGGUGAAAACCUGUAGGAUGUAAGUGGGUGUUCAAGAAGAAGCUUAGACCUGAUGGUACGAUUGAAAUGUACAAGGCACGGCUUGUGGCCAAGGGUUAUACCCUGAAAGAAGGUGUAGACUUCUUUGAUACUUACUCACCCGUGGCUAGACUGACCACAAUUGGGUGCUACUAUCACUUGUUGCCUCACAUGGUCUUCUCGUUCAUCAAAUGGACGUUAAGAACGCUUUCCUCAAUGGAGAGUUGAAGGAGGAAAUUUACAUGGAUCAGCCAGAUGGUUUUGUAGUACCUGGUUAGUAAGGAAAGGUGUGCAAGUUAUUAAAGUAUUUAUAUGGCCUUAAACAAGCUCCUAAAGAGUGGCAUGAGUAGUUUGAAAGAACAUUAACUGCUACCGGCUUUGUAGUAAACGAUGGUGACAAGUGCGUGUACUAUCGCUAUGGUGGGGGCGAAGGAGUUAUUCUUUGUUUGUAUGUCGACGACAUAUUGAUCUUUCGAACCAAACUUGAUUUAAUCAAGGAGGUUAAGGAUUUCUUAUCUCGCUGUUUUGAGAUGAAGGAUCUAGGAGUAGCUGAUGUUAUCUUAAACAUCAAGCUGUUGAGAGAUGAGAAUGGUGGGAUCACACUGCUUCAGUCACACUAUGUGGAAAAGGUCUUGAAUCGUUUUGGGUAUAGCGACUGCACACCUUCUCCAACCCCAUAUGAUGCUAGCAUGUUGCAUCGAAAGAAUCGACGGAUUGCUAGAGAUCAACUGAGGUAUUCUCAUAUUAUUGGCUCGCUUAUGUAUUUGGCGAGUGCCACGAGGCCAAACAUCUCGUUUGCUGUUAGCAAGCUGAGUCGGUUUGUGUCAAAACCAGGAGAUGAUCAUUGGCAUGCACUUGAGAGAGUUAUGUGCUAUUUGAAAGGCACCGCGAGCUAUGGGAUUCACUACACCGGGUAUCCAAGAGUACUGGAGGGUUAUAGUGACUCAAACUGGAUAUCUGAUGCUAAUGAGAUUAAGGCCACAAGUGGUUAUGUUUUUACACUUGGUGGUGGCGCUGUUUCUUGGAAGUCCUGCAAGCAGACCAUCUUAAUGAGGUCAACUAUGGAAGCAGAACUCACAACAUUAGAAACUGCCACUGUUCAAGCAGUGUGGCUUCAUGAGCUCUUGAUGGACUUUCCUAUGAUUGAAGAACCAAUACCCCCUAUCCCAAUGAACUGUGAUAAUCAAACUAUGAUCGUCAAGAUAAAUAGUUCUAAGGACAAUAUGAAGUCCUCAAGGCAUGUGAAGAGGAGACUGAAAUCUGUCAGAAAAUUGAGGAACUCCGGAGUUAUUACGUUGGAUUAUAUCCAAACGUCAAAAAAAUUGGCAGAUCCCUUCACAAAGGGUCUAUCACGUAAUGUGAUAGAUAAUGCAUCGAUGGAGAUGGGUCUGAGACCCACCGCAUGAGUUGUCCAUAGUGGUAACCCACUCUUUGUGAUCGGAUAUCCCGUGAAGUAUAAGUGGGAGACAAGCUGUUGGUCAGCUGGGAGGAGAGUAUCCCUAUAUUACCUGUCCCACUCCAUGAAGAUGCAAUACUCUCCUAAUCUGCAUGGCAGGUUGAUACUUAUCUUAAUGUGUUCCAAGUGGCUUAUUCGGGUAAGCAGAGAUGUUGUCCUGCAGAACAUCUUCUGAGGAACACACCUAUAUGAAUUUGACUGUUAACGUCGCAGUCUGUGAGAAUUGGGUGUUCUCUAAUAAAUUCAUGAAAAGGCCCUGGAGUAUGACGUAUACGCUCCACCCGCAGGGAAGCCUUGCGGCAGCCCAGUAUCGGUCAAGAAUUUGUGUGAAACUAGUUGCGCAGAAAAUUUGUAGUUCAAGGCAUAGUCCACUAUUCAAGUUGUGAUCUAGUGUAGCAUAAAUCUCUAAGUGGAAGUUCAACUUCACAGUCUCCACUAAGCCCCGGUAUAUAAACAAUGUUUUGGAACUAAAUGAUGAGAUGUGCCAAUGAGACUUUGUGGGGGAUUGUUGGAAUUUUGCUAGUAGGCCUUUGGCCCAAAGCCCAACUAAAAUUCUGAAAUUGUCUUGGCCCAUUCAUGCACACAUGUGAGUGGAGUGAGUGAGACUAAAGUUUAGUCCCACCCCGGAAGUUGAGAGAGAGCACCUCUUUAUAAGGUGAGCUCUUCUACCACUUGUAUGAGCAUGAGAAUAGGAGACCUACACACGCGCUCCUCCUCCUCGCUCGCCACGCCACCCCUCGUCACGACGCGCCGCGGGUUGCGGGAUUGAGCCGAGCCGAGGACAGAGCUAUGCACAUUGUCUAUUUUUUGCUACCCGAAAAAAUUAAUGAGUCAUUAAUUAAUAAUUAAUGGACACGUUAAUUACUAAACCGUUUUCGAUUCUUUUGGAUCAUGAAGACUCGGACAUGGGGUUUACUCCCACGACCUACCGGGCCCGCAUUAUAUAGUCCGGCAGACGUCUACCCUAGCUGCCGCCGCUUCAUAUGGUUUCUUACCACCGUUCCAGAUCAUUGCGCCGCCAAGCAAGUCUUCUCCAUCCGUCCCUUCGGCGUGCAUCGGGAGAAGGGACAACAGGCCUCCGGAACCCCGCCUCUCGUGAUCCUGUACGGGAGAGGGGCGAUCAGGUUUUUGGGGAGCGCACUCGCGCGACUGCUGGCAGCGACGACUUCGCGAAUGACGACUUUUUCCCUGACCUCGGCAACCUCAUCCUCGACGACAUGGGCGACAACGUCAACGCCGGCGGUGCUGCACCCGCUGCACCUUAUGUUAUUCUAUCCUUCUUGUUCGAGAUCAUGGUAGAAUUCACGUUUCUAGUAUAUGCCCUAGAUGUGAUCUGUUCAUCUACUAUGCUAGUUCGCAUGAUUAGUUUAAUAUCUGCUAUUGCUGUCAUGAUCUAUUUCCUAUUUAUUCGGAUUAAAUCUCGUAGUAAUUUGCUCAUUUUUCCAAUAGUACCAUCUAAUAGAUGAUGUAAAUCUCCUCUAGUUUGACGUUGUUGAGCUAAUUUACAAAAAAAACCUCAUCAUUAUUGGACGUCCUUAACAGCUCAAGAACAAGUUGGGGUCGAACUAAUGGAUUUUACACUUUUACAUUAAAGGUUUAGCUAAAGCUAGCAGGUGUUUUUAAACCUGAAUUUUUUUCCUCCUGAAUUUCUUUGUAUUUUCUUAUUGACACUAUUUAUACAAUCAUCUGACAAAGAUUAGCUAAAGCUGUUUGUAGAUACGUUGAAACCUGAAAAGCUUCUUUGGUUAUCCUUUUAAUAGUUCUACGUUUAUUUUCUCAUAGGUCAUAAUUCUUAUGUAAUACCAAGAUGCAUUGUGGUAGUGUACAUGUGUUAAAUUCAGGUUGUUAUUCACAAUUUGCGACAAAAUUUAGCUCACGCUACAUUCAAAUAUGUUGAAAUGUGAAAGCUUUUUUUUCUUCUCCUUUCUACACCUUGCAUCGGAUUGCAUCCCUUUAGUUAUCCAACAUUUUGUACAACAUGUAGAGAUUAGGAAGUUCAUCAUAGUUUGUUUAUUUCGGUGCUAAUAAAUGUAUGAAAUCUGCAUUUCCAAGCUACUAGGACAAGUAAAAAAUAAUAAUUUUACUAUAGGAUUCAAAAACAGCAGUUCUGAAGUGCACUUUAUUUAUUUUUGAAAGUGAUCACAUUUUGUUUCAUUUUUCUAUAGACAAAUCUACUAAUACAUACUCACGAUAAAACUAUAAAAGUUCUAGUCCGCACAUUGGGCGGGCCACCCGGCUAGUUAGUCUAAAGAUAACAAAAUGAGUCUGGAAUUUGAAUUAAAUUGAAGUAUUUUCUUGGACUUUCAAAUUGAGUUUUAUUAAAGUAGUAAGGACUAUCCACAUCCUUGGCUUGCCCCUGAUCAAUUAUUUCCAGAGAAGCAUUCAAUUCAUCAAUCAAUUACAUUGAUUUUAGUGGCUGGUACUUCUCCUCAACAUCAGUAUAUUCACCGUGGCCACUCCAAAUCGGCAAGAAUGAGGUACCAGUGCUCUGGAGCAGUGCAAGCUAAUUGCUUCUCAUCUGAAGGGGUGCGGCCGCAGGAGAGGUAUUUCUGGUGGGCCAAGGGACUAAGAAGCGACUGUGGCAGCGGUAUAGACGCCCGCAAAGCCCCAUAAUUUGUUUUUGGUUUACAGGAAAAAUGCACAUCCAUACCAGCCUGGGGAAUAUAGGACCGUAUUGGAUGGAAAACCAUGUCCGGAUGGUUGCGAGCGGUUUAAGGGUUAGCUUUUGUAACGCCCGGUUAGUUAUGCUAUAGCAAUUCCCUGCUAAUGAUGUCACGUUACCACGAUUACUGUUGUUAACCUCACAAUGAUUCAAUCCCCUUCAAAUUGAAAUUUAAAAUAAAGGCAAACAUCAAAAGUUUUCAAAUAUUAAAACUAAAAUCUUUGAGAGGUGACAAAUAAUGCAUAAGUAAUUAUGGUGGAGAAACCACACUUUAAUCAAAUGUUUAAAUACUCUAAAAUGAAAAAAAACAGUUGCUUAAACUAUUAUUUAAAUGCUUUUAAAAUAGUAAAAAUCUUCUAACUAAAUUAUUUGGGUACCAAACUUUUGGUGGCAGUGGUAUAUUUAGUACAACUAAUUUAGAUGCUAAUUAUAUAAAAAGGAAAAGCAAAAGGGGGCAACCCCUCGCUGGGCCUCGGCCUAGCUGCCACUAGGCUAGCUAGGCUGGCCCCGCCGCCUCCCUUAACCCCCCCCCCCCACUCCCCAUCGAACCCAAGCCCGAUCGCCCCACUUCCCCCANNNNNNNNNNNNNNNNNNNNNNNNNNNNNNNNNNNNNNNNNNNNNNNNNNNNNNNNNNNNNNNNNNNNNNNNNNNNNNNNNNNNNNNNNNNNNNNNNNNNNNNNNNNNNNNNNNNNNNNNNNNNNNNNNNNNNNNNNNNNNNNNNNNNNNNNNNNNNNNNNNNNNNNNNNNNNNNNNNNNNNNNNNNNNNNNNNNNNNNNNNNNNNNNNNNNNNNNNNNNNNNNNNNNNNNNNNNNNNNNNNNNNNNNNNNNNNNNNNNNNNNNNNNNNNNNUUGAUCCCAUCUGGAUCGGGGAGGGUAAUGCCCCAAUCGACCCCGUUGCCGUCGCGGGAUUGCCCGCCGACGUCGCCAGGCCUCCUCCCCGCCACCCGUCUCCGGCUCGCCUCCCCUCUCGCUCCUCUUCCCCGACCCGAUCUGGAUCGUGAACGAGCAAUGAGCUCGAAGCCCCCUUCACCGGCGCCAUCACCGUGCGCCACCACCACCGCCUGAAGACCUCACCGUCGCCGAACCUUGCGUCGCCUCCUCGUAUCCCUCCCCUACUCGCGUCCUCAAGCCAGGCCGAGCCCCUUCUCGGCAACGCCGUGAGACGCCCCCGUCUCCCUCCUCUUUCCACUGCGUUCACCGCGCCGCCCGCCGUGCCCCUCGCCGUGCGCACGCCCACCACCGCACCAGCCCCCGCUCCGCGCACGACCCUACCCGCGUCCGCGCCAUGAUCCCCUUUUCCACCCUACCUUCCUGCGCUCGCCGCGGUCCUGAUGCUCCCCCGCGCCCUCUUUUGGGGGCGCCGACUGCCCCUGUCCCACUGCUCGCCGCCGUGCCUCGCCAUCGCUCUACUGCUAAGUUAUUGCUGCGCUGCGGCCGUCGCCUCUUCCCGCUGCUCCGCCAGCGCCGAAGCUCCCGAUUGGCUCCACCACUUCUCACGUUAAACCGCCGGCCUAAAUGGCCUAACCCCCGGCUAAUGAACCCCCACUAUCCCACUGACACCGGGACCCACAUUCCCUAAUUAACCAUUUAAUAAAUUAAAACUCUUAAAUUAACAUUAGUGUAUGACAUGUGCGUCCCCUAUUAAUUUAUAAUUUUACUGCUAGUUUUAUUAGUUUCUGUUUUUUCUGCAUAUUUCUUUUGUAUUUGAACAGGCUUUAUAUAAUAAUAUUUAGCGUCUCAUACACAUAUAAAUGUAAUUAUAGCAUAUACAUACAAAUAGUCUCAUCAAAUCAUGUCAUCACCAUAAUCAUCAUCCAUCACAAAGUGAUCUCUCGUCAUCAUCUCGAAAAUAGCAAUACAAGUCUCGAUUACUUGCAACUACAUCGUCAUCCAUCUAAACAAUGAUAUACGCGAGAAGCGCUAUCACUAUGAGUGAGAGCGGAACUAUGCAGUACAUGAGUUUGUAUCCCUCUCUCACAUUAGCGUGAACCUAAACUAACUACUGGCUGUUGCUCGGAAACCGGAAACCGGUACACCUGGGCCUGACACUCCGGCCACUCGUCGUAUACUCCUGGCGUAGCACUUCUUCGCCAUCGAUGAUCUAUAAACCUACAUCGUCAGAUGAGUCGAUGAUAUGCAACAUAUAUAGUUGAGCAACAGAAAGAGACAGACUUGGCAAAAAUAGAAGCAACAUAUCAUAAGCAUAAAUAACAAAGUUCAUCGUACGCAAAAUGCCCUAACUAGAGUGAUCUUCGCUAGUCGAGGAGGACGGUUUAAUUACAUCACAAAUAAUUUUUCGUCGUGCAUAACUCAAAGUUCCGUCAUACAGAAAGUAUGAACUAAAUGGACACAUUGUCAUAUUUCAAAAAUCACUCCCACAUGUCGUGCCAUCCAUCCAAGUCAAGGAGAUAGUGCCCGAGCUUAGUGAAAGGCUUUAGGUCGAGACGCUGAGCGGCUAUGCGUGUUCGGACGUCUUCCCACGACAUUUGUCCUUCUUCAUAGAACAUCCCUGUUUUUUCGACGACCUCCUUCAUCACUGGAAGAAAAAGGGCCUGUUGUCCCGGUUCUGGAACCGGGACUAAAGGGUCGGUACUAAUGCCCUGUCCCUUUAGUCCCGGUUCAAUCCAGAACCAGGACAGUUGGGCCUCCACGUGGCCUGUGCGCGGAGCCUAGGCGGGAGACCCUUUGGUCCAAUAAGCAUCCACGCAUCAGCAUUUAUGUGGUUGGGGUUUUUGUUUUUUUUGAAGGGGGGGGCAUUGGGGGUUUUGGGGGGUUAAUUUUGGUGUUUCAUAUAUUGUGUUAGCUAGCUAUAAUUAAUAGAGAGAAUUGUCCUCUCUUAUGUCCGUGCUUGCUCGACGCUACGUACUAUACAUACGUAUAGAGAGGACUAGACACGGUAGCUAGCUAGUAAGCAAACGAAGGAAAUAGAAGAUCGUCAUGAACAUAUAUGCAUACAGAGAGAAGUAAUAUCGACCACCUCUCCUUCUCCGAGAGAUUGGUCGAACAACAAGUUCUCAUAUAUCUAUCCGACACUACCGGCUACAUAUAUACAAUAAUUAUCUCUUACAAAUAUAAUCAUACGGAUUCAGGGUCCACAUAGUAUUCUCUGUCUUCAAGGAUCACGUGGUCAAGAAAGAAUGCCGCCAAUUCCUCUUGAAUUGCUCGCAUGCGAGCUGGUGCUAGGAGUUCAUCCCGCUUCCGAAACAUCUAAUUUAAAGAAGGGGGUUAAUACAUAUAUACAUAUAUAUAUAUAUAUAUAUAUAUAUAUAUAUAUAUAUAUAUAUAUAUGAAUGAAUGAAACUCAACACGAAUGAUGGUAAUAAAAUAAAAUUGUGAAUGUUGUUAUUUACGUACUUCAUAUUGUUCGUCAGUGUAGCCCCGCUCAUAGGUCGUGUGGCGGAUGGACUCGCAAACGUAGUAUCCACAGAAAUCAUUCCUUUGUUCCUGCCACAACCACUUUAUAAGAAAUAGAGGUCAAUCAAACUGAUAAGCAAGAAUGCCAAAUGGUAUUGAUGAAACUUGUCAGGACCCCGAUUCCAAGCCACAUCGAUCUAGCCGGUAACACCUCAUAUCACUUUGCGGCCUCACGCACGAUAUUCCACGGGUGUCGCCUUACCAUGGCCCGGGACCGUUUGCGCCUUUUGGCUCACGUAUAUGAUAGUGUUGCUAGCAUCCAUAUGACAGAGAACCCGGGCCGACAUGGCUAGUCGUGAACCCAAAGUGGCACAGACCUAUGGAGACAGGCAUACAUGAAUCACAUCGAGCAUGUCGGUCAUCAGUGUGUGAUUCCGGGCUGUAGCACUGGGCUAACAGGACUCCGGGGAACCCGGGCUGUAGCAGGCUAGGCAGGACUCCGGAAGUCACCGCGUGACAUUUACCCGAAGGGACAGACAUAGGAACGAAGUGAAUCACAUGCCGGCAAGUCAAGUGUCCUGAGCAGUAGUACUGGGCUAGCAGGACUCCGGUGAACCGGGCUGUAGCGGACUACUAUGGCUCGAGGAACACUAGACUACAUUUCCCCAUAAGAAAGGCUGCCAAGGAUAAACAACUAGAUUGUCGGAUCCCACUCAUACCAAGCAUUUCAAUCAUACACACAAUAUGCCCGAUAUGAGUACAUACAACAUGGCAUCACAACAAAACUCUACAACUCAAGUACUUUAUUUAAAGGCUCUAGAGAGCCAUACAUAACAUGUUCAUACAGAUAGGGGUCACAUGACCCGACACUCAAGUCAUACAAUCAUACAAGCACAUGCGGAAGCAACCGGUCUGAGUACAGACACUAGAAAGAAAGAAGGCUCCUCGAGGCCUGUCUAUCUACAUAGGGCCCUCCAUGGCCAGGAUCACCACCUGGGUGGCUAGUCACUCGUCGAUGUCAAGGUCUACAUAGAACCCAUCGAAGGGGGCUGUGUUGUCGUCUGAAAACAGUAAUUAAGCAAACAUGAGUACAAAGGUACUCAGCAAGUCUUACAAAAGAACCUACUAUACAUGCUUAUUCUCAAGAAGGUGGUGGGGAUAUUGCAGCAAGCCAGUUUUCACUCUUGGCUAAACUAUCCUACAGAACUUCUCUAGUAAAAUAGUUUUCGCACACGAGUCCACUACUCACCAACACAAUACUCCACCGGGGAUCCUCCCUCGUCAUCCUAUGAGAGGGCCAUCCUCGGUACUCACACUUAUCUUGACUAUUUUAGUAGUAUCCAUUUAAUUGUCUAUGAACUGUAUAGGCAACCAAGUAGUCCUUUACCGCGGACGCGGCUAUUCGAAUAGUUUUAUACCCUGCAGGGGUGUACUUCGUCAUACAUGCUUUCACCACUUAUCGUCGUUUACACGACAUGUACUCGGCAACCUUCAAGCGAAAGCCCAGCGAGGGUGUCGGCCACGGCCUACCUAAACACUUAAGUCUCUAGUCCAGGUUUAUCGCCUAUCUAGGUUCCAUCCGCAGGGAGUCCGGGCGAGGUUUCCACAUACGGCCCCGAACGAUGUGAACAGGGUCCCGAGACGCCAAACGGGCGCCCGGCAUACCCGGCCAUGGUGUAUCUACCGCAACAUAGCCCACCCUUAGGGUCAGCGCUACGCACGGCCGCCAACACAUAACCUACAAACACCAGAAACUAUUUGCAACUCCUAGACAGAGUACAAGGGUGAUUAAGAAGCCGAGAGGGUCAAUUAAGGAUCCCAAUGCAUGGUAGUAGCUGAAUCUUAAAUCACACAUACCGAUCUCAGUUCUUAGGGACGGUCUCAAUGAAACAACCCACCAUGUACUCCUACAUGGCCUCUCAUCGAUACCUUUACCAAAACAUGUUCAACACAUUCCUCAUAUUACCGACAUAAUCAUAUCACCCUAGCCCAUCACCCAGAUGAACCAGACCUGACACAACUAUAAGCAUAGCAGGCAUAGCAAGGUAGGAAUCACAUACAUGGCUCAAUCAACUCCUACACAUGCUAGUGGGUUUCAUCUAGUUACUGUGGCAAUGACAGGUCAUGCAGAGGAUAAGGGUUCAACUAUCGUAGCACACAGCAGUUUGAAUCACAUUGUCUUAAUGCAGUAAACAAGAGCAGAGGCAAGAACAUGGGUUGUAUCGGAAUGAUCAAUGGGUUGCUUGACUGAUGGAGUGGUAGUGGGAUACUGCCCUUCAGUUGGAUACUCAUGAAUAUCCUCGGAGGCAGAACCUACCACGAAGAACACAUCGGAACACAAUCAACACAUGAUGAUAUGCAACAAUAUGAUGCAUGCUAUGACAUGGCAAUAUGAAUGUGUCUUGGCCUAAUGCAAGCUAAAAUAGAAAGGGAUGAACUCAUUUGAAUCAAAGAUUCAAAUAUUAGCUCAUUAAACAUGGCCUUAGUAGUGCAUUUCCUUAUUCUGCUUAAACAGCAAGGUAAACUUGUUUUUUCAUGCUUGAAACCAUUACAGAUGGAUAUAUUGAAUUUUUCUGAUAAUUUUUCAUAUAUAAAUUAUUUCAUUUGGAGUUACGGUUGAAUUUCUAUGAUUUUUAGAAGUUUCAAACAUUUUCUGGAAUUUCUUGAAUAAAAAUAAAUCCAGAAAAUGCAUUACUGCGUCAGCAUUGCAUCAUGCUGACCUCCGCAGGUCAAAGGCACCAGCCUAGGUCAAACCUGACUGGUGGGCCCCUUCUGUCAGUCUCUCAGUUAAAUAACAGGAUUAGAUUAACACUAAUUAGCUGUCAGUGGGGCCUGGGCCCACAUGUCACUGACUGAUUAAAAUAAAAUUAGUUAAAACUAAUCCUAGAUUAGUUAGCAAACCGGCCCCACCUGUCAUAGACUUAGGGGGGGUCUACCUGGGCCCACCCAGGGUCAAACUGGGUCAAACUCGCCGGCGCAGCUCGGAAAACGCCUACAGGGCACGAGCGAGGCCGUUCUUGGGCUCAUUGGAGAGCUCUUGCAGUCGCGCAUCUAGUGGCGGUGGUGGCCGGAGACGACGACGGCGAGCUCCAAGGCGGCGGCCGGAGUUCGGCCAUGUGCGGGGUGUCGGCUGUGGCGUGCAAACGUGGAAACUGAGGCACUAGCGAGGCACUACGCGAUGCGGCAAGCACGUUGCAUAGCACGGGAUAAUCAAAUGGUUGCCGGAGCGGCACCGGUGACAAGCUCGAGCGGAGACGAGCUUCGGCCAUGGUGGAACUAUGGCCUAGAGGGUGCAAACGCGUGGAAAAGAAGAGGGGAAAGGUGGCGGAGCUCACAGGGAGGUCGAUGAGCAGCUCAGUGGGCUCGGGGGCGACAGAAGUGAGGCGAAUCGAUGAGCAGCGUCCGGCGGGUACCGAGGUUGAAGACGAUCCGAUGGCGGCGAUGCAGGGCCUCCGGCGAUGCGUGGCUCGGUGGGAAGGGCGAGGGGGUGACGGAGGGCGCGACUACGGCGGUGAGACGGCGACGGGUGCGUCGGCCAUCGCGGGAGAGGGAGAGGGAGAUGAGUGGGAGAGUGAGAGAGGAUGAGAGGGGGACGUGGGGGUCGCGUGGCAUUCCCUGGACGUCUCCCGGCAUCGGCGGAAGCAGGAGGUGGCCGGCGUGUGGCCGCGGGCGCCGGCCACGCGCUCUGCGUCCUUCUGGCGCGAGGAGGACGACGACUGGCAGCGCCAGUAGGCUGGGCCGAGCCAGGUGGGCUGGCCAGCACAGGUAAGGCUCAGGUGGGCUUCUCCCUCUUUUUUUUAAUUUGUUUCUGUUUUCUAUUUAACUGUAAAUGUUGGGCUUUAUUUAAAAUACUAAAACAUUUCCAAAAAUCCUGAAAAUAAUUGUGGGCUCUGUUUGGAUUAUUUCCAAUAGCAAACAUUUAUUUGCAGAAUUAUUUGAGCAUUUAAAUGCCCAAAUUCAAAUACUUAUGAUUUAAAUCAAUGACCUUCUGUUGACCUAGAAAAGUUGUGCACCAAUUUUGCCAGAGGUUCUAACCCAAGACAAAGAGGGUGAACUUUUUAGAAGGGCAUUUCAGGUUCAUUGAAAAUAAUUUUAGUAAUCCCUAGUUGUUUCCAGGGGGGUGUUGGGGGUUUCUGCCUUCCCCAAUUCAAAUUUAAGAGGAAUUUAAACAUGAUGCACAUUCUAAUGCUUGAACUAGCUAGGGUGUGACAACUCACCCCCACUCAAAAGAAUCUCGUCCCGAGAUUUAGGAUCCUCUGGAAAGAAGGUGGGGUACUCGAGUCGAAGACGAUCCUCCCUUUCCCAAGUGGCUUCUUUCUCGGAAUGGUGUGUCCAUUGAACCUUGAGAAACUUGAUAUUAUGACGUCGAGUGGUACACUCGGCUUGAUCAAGGAUACGAACGGGAUAUUCCCGAUAAGAGAGGUUAUCUUGUAGAUCAAGCAUUUCGUGGUCCACUCCACGGAUAGGAUCCGCGAAGCAACGCCUGAGUUGUGAAACGUGGAAGACAUCAUGAACUCUGGAAAGAUGCGGAGGUAGUUCCAAUUGGUAGGCAACUUCUCCUCGUUUGGCAAGAAUGCGAAAGGGUCCAAUGUAACGAGGAGCCAAUUUGCCUUUGAUACCGAAAUGAUGGGUUCCUUUUAAUGGGGUAACCCGAAGGUAAGCCUUCUCGUCGAUUCAUAAGUCAUAGGCUUAUGUUUACGAUCAUAUUGACUCUUUUGACGAGAUUGGGCUGUUUUCAAUUUCUCACGAAUAACGCGAACCUGCUCUUCCGCUUCCUGAAUCAUAUCCGGGCCAAAGAGUUGUCUUUCCCCGGUUUCUGACCAGUUAAGAGGCGUUCGACAUUUUCGUCCAUAGAGAACUUCGAAAGGAGCUUUGCCCAAGCUAGCUUGAUAACUAUUGUUAUAAGCAAACUAUGCGAAUGGGAAGCAUUUCUCCCAACUCAUUCCGAAUGAGAUAACAGAAGCUCGGAGCAUAUCUUCUAGAAUUUGAUUGACUCGCUCUACUUGACCACUUGAUUGAGGAUGGAAGGCGGUACUAAAAGAGAGACGAGUUCCCAUAGCAUUUUGGAAACUUUCCCAAAAUCGAGAGGUGAAGAGACUCCCACGGUCUGAGUUAAUUUCCAAUGGGACACCAUGGAGAGACACUAUUCGGGAGAUGUAUAAAUCGGCUAGCUGGCUAGCAGUGAUACUCGCACGAACAGGUAGGAAAUGGGCUACUUUGGAAAGACGGUCGAUCACGACGAAGAUGGCAUUAUUCCCUCUCUUGUUCCUGGGAAACCCAGUAAUGAAAUCCAUACUGAUUUUAUCCCAUUUCCAUUCAGGAAUAGCCAAAGGUUGAAGGGUGCCAGCAGGCCGUUGAUGCCCUGCUUUAACACGAUGACAGACGUCGCAGCUAGCAAUGUAUCGAGCGAUUUCUCUCUUCAUCCUAGUACAUCAAAACCUCUGGCGUAGGUCUUGAUACAUUUUAUUGCUACCGGGAUGAAUGGUGAGAGGGGAUUCAUGAGCUUCCUUAAGGAUCAAUUGGCGUAGAUGUUGUUUCUUGGGAACCACCAAACGGUUCUCAAAGAAGACAGCACCCCGCUUAUCCAUGGAAAAACAUUUAGCAACUCCGCUAGCAAUGUUUUCCUUAAUCCGGGAUAUGCCCUUAUCAUACCGCUGGGCAGUUAUGAUCUGAUCCAUAAGGUUAGGUUUCGCCACCAGGGUGGAUAGGAAUCCUCGAGGAACAAUGUGAAGAUUAAGCUUACGGAAUUCCUCAUGGAGAAGUGGUUGACUUUGUUGUAACAUCAGGUUGUUACAAUAGGAUUUACGGCGUAGUGCAGCAGCCAUGACAUUGGCUUUGCCCGGUGUGUAGGUUAUUCCUAAGUCGUAAUCCGAGAUCAACUCAACCCAACGUCUUUGCCUGAGAUUCAAAUCUGGUUGGGUGAAGAUAUAUUUCAAGCUUUGGUGAUCGGUGAAGAUCUCGCAACGAUUAAGUGCAUGGACUACAGCUGCCAGCUCUAGAUCAUGUGUGGGAUAAUUUUCCUCAUGUGGGUGUAAUUGCCGUGAAGCGUAGGCAAUUACCUGACGAUCUUGCAUGAGUAUGCAACCUAGUCCUUGUCGCGAGGCGUCACAAUAGAUAAUAAAGUCCUUGGAUAAAUCAGGUGGUACCAGUACGGGAGCAGAUGUCAGGCGUCUUUUCAGUUCCUAAAAGCUGAACUCGCACUGUGGAGUCUACUCGAACUUUUUAUCUUUCUUGAGGAGUUUAGUUAGAGGUUUAGCAACCUUGGAGAAAUUCUCGACGAAGCGGCGGCAAUAGCUCGCUAAGCCAAGGAAGCUCCAAACUUGCUUGACCGUCUCAGGUGGAGUCUAAUCAAGGACGGCUUGAACUCGCUCGGGAUUGACGGCAAUACCCUUACCAGAGAUUACAUGGCCUAGAUAGGUUACUUCUGGCAACCAAAAUUCACACUUGGAGAAUUUGGCAUAAAGGCGAUGCUCUCGAAGUUUCAUCAAUACCAGCCUUAGAUGUUCGGCAUGUUCCUCUUCAUUCUUGGAGUAGAUUAGUAUGUCAUUGAGGUAUACUACGAUGAAUUUAUCCAAGUACUCCAUGAAAACCGAGUUCAUUAGCCGGGAGAAGGUAGCCGGGGCAUUGGUUAAACCGAAGGACAUAACGGUGUACUCGUAUUGGCCAUAACGAGUAACAAAGGCCGUUUUGGGAAUGUCCCCGUUUCUGAUUUAGAUUUGAUGGUAGCCCAACCUCAAAUCCAUCUUGGAAAAGACUGAGGAUCCAGCAAACUAAUCAUACAGAUCAUUGAUCCUGGGAAGUGGGUAUUUGUUCUUGAUGGUGACCAAGUUGAUAGGUCGGUAAUCCACAACCAUUCGAUCUGUUCCAUCCUUCUUGACGAAGAGGACGGGGCAAGCCCAAGGAGAGGAACUAGGACGGAUGAAACCCUUUUUCAAGGACUCAUCGAGUUGGUUCUCAAGCUCGGCUAGUUCUAAGGGUGCCAUCUUGUAGGGUCUUCUAGAAAUUAGAAUGGUUCCUGGAACAAGGUCUAUCACAAACUCGACAUCCCUGUCAGGUGGAACACCUGGCAGUUCUUCUGGAAAGGCAUCCGGAAAGUCUCGGACUACCGGAACAUCCUCAAGGUCUGGAAGGGGGUUGGCAUUUAGGGAGUAAAGUUGGCACUUGGCCACUCGAGUUAAGACAUUAACUGUCUUGCCCGAUGGGUGAGUAAGUUGAACGGUUCUAGUGGCACAGUCAAUCUUAGCAUAAUGAGCUGACAUCCAGUCCAUACCUAAGAUGAUGUUUAUGUCCGAGGACUUGAGAGCUAUUAAGGAUGCAAGGAAGACAAGUCUAUCGACAAGAAUUUCGUUCCCAUGGCUUACUCUAGAAGUUUGCCAUCUAGAGCCAGGGGUUUGAAUUUCCAUGGUAGAGGGCAUGUCACAGAAUGUCGUGUUGUGCAAUCGAGCAUAGUUCUCGGAUAUGAAUGAAUGAUAUGCUCCAGUAUCGAAAAGAACAGAUGCCGGAUGGCAGUUAACAAGGAGCGUACCAAGGACGACGUUGGGAUCCUCAUGAGCCUCCUCGGCUGAAACAUAGUUGACAUGGCCACGUGCAGUGGUGGCUGGCUUAGCGUAGAAUGUUUUUCCCGCGGGCUUACCACGGCCAACGGACUUUCCAGUUUGAUUGGGGUUGUUGUUCUGGGGACACUCUCGGCUAUAGUGACCCGGCUCUCCACACUUAAAGCAUGUCACCACAUUGGGGCGUGGAGCAGCAUUAGCAGCGGGGCCACCAUAGGGCUUGGGCGGUGCAAAUUGCUGGUUGGGACGUGGUGCCUCAAAGGAUGGCCUCGGGAUGAACCUGGGUGGCAGUGCCGUGCUUGGAAUCCACACCCGGCGCUUCUGAGCUCCAGAGCCGAUGAAGAGCCAAAAUCACGGGAGUGCUUGCGUGAAGUGUCAUAAUCAGUCUGGCCUUUCUCAGCACUGAUGGCUUUAUGGACCAACUUCUAAAAGGAGGUGCACUUGUGCAGACGAAGACCACGGUGAAGCUCAGGGCUAAGUCCCUUGCGGAACCUUGCCUGCUUCUUAGCAUCAGUAGAUACCUCUUCAGGGGCAUAACGUGCCAGAUUCCCAAAUUCACGACUGUAAGCAUCCACAGUCAGUCUUCCUUGGGUGAAGUUGCAGAACUCCUCCCUCUUGCGAUCCAUGAGACCUUCCGGAAUGUGAUGCUCACGGAAAGCCUCACUGAAUUCAGCCCAAGUAGUGAUUUGGCCGACCGGGCGCAUAGCUUCGAAGUUUUCCCACCAAAGGCUAGCAGGGCCUUUGAGGUGAUAGGCAGCAUAAGUAACCUUGUCGGCUUUGGCUACGUUGGCAGAACGUAGCUUGUGGGUGAUGCUGUGAAGCCAGUCAUCCACGUCGAGGGGCUCGACGGAAUGGUUAAACUUUGGUGGGUACAUCUUGAUAAAGUCAUUGAUUGACACCAACUCAUUUCGCGGGUGGCGUGCAGUGUUCUGCUCAAUCCGCUCCAGCAGGCGGUUGGUCUCACGCUUCUUUCUUUCUGCCUCCAGCAUUACUUCGGCCAGAGAAGGCGGGUGAGGCAGAUUUUCACCUCUAGCAGCACUGGCUUCCCCCUGCUCCGGGGCAACAGGGUUGCUGCGAGUAUUGACCAUCCUAGGAGAAAACAAGACAACGGUUUAGACAAGGAUGGCUCAAACUGAGCAAGGAUGUGCAGAAUGUAAUGGAUAACACGGAACACAGAGAUGUUCAUCCGUAUGUCAUGGUAAUAUAAAACUGCCAUAUAUAUACCAACGGUCAUACACAUCACACAUAGUUUAGUACAAGCCCAGGCUACAGUACAACUAUGAUGAAAGACGUUACAUCUCAUCGGAGGCAUUCCAAGCUCCUAUACAUUAUUGUCUACACCUUCGGAAUUGAUUACACGCAAAGUCAUAUUCCAAAAGUCACGCAGGACAGUGGAGAUACAACUACUACAAUACUAGUGGUACUACUACUAACUCAGACAGCUCCGUACUAGUCCUCAUAGAAGUCACCUCCAUAGCCUGGAAGUUCAACGUGACCAUCCGGGAACAGACGGUCCUGAGGAGCCUGUGGACCAUAGGGGCUUGGAUGGGGUCUUGGACCAACAAACGGUGGCCUGCGGGGACCACAGGGUGGGGUGAUGCCUCCCACAUCACGCCAAUCCACCACGUCUGGCAAAGCAGACCUCACAGGAUACAAAUCCCUUGUAUCCAUACAUCCAGCUUGCACCACAGGUGCAAACCGAGUCAAUGUGGCCCAAUGAUCAGCACGGGUAUUAAAAAGCUCCAGCCUCAAGGCCUGAUUCUCUCGGUCCUUAUAUUCGAGCAUCUCGGCAGUGGUACGAGUUAAUGAAUCCUCCUGAGUGGAGUCAGCAUAGAUAGCCUGAAGAUACCCUUGCGCUCCCGGAAGUGAAGCUAGCAUGUAUCGGAAGUCGGUGUUCCGAAGCAGGCCAGUCCGGACUCGCAUGAUUGUCAUCAUGGAAUAGGCAGCAUCCUGCACAGCCAUCUCAACAGUAACCCCGAGUCCAUAGGAACAGUGAAGGGGCUCGGUAGAUCCAGGAUAAGAAGGAAAUAUCUUGACGGUGCAGAAAUACUGGCUUUGAUUAAAGUCUCAGAAUUGCUCUUCGACGGUGUAUUCGGGAUACCAACGGUAACCCGUCUCGAUCAUGACCCGGACUAACAUAGCAGUAUGACCGGGCACGUCGAGCCACCGGGUCAGGCGAACCACUUUGUUUUGAGCACGGUUGGGCAUCUGAAAGCACAACCACAAUGCAAAGACAUCAGAAUUUCUAGGGAAAAUUGGACAGCAUAACAGCUGUAAAUGCUCAGAAAAAGAUUUGAGACAUCCACAACAGUUCGCAAUACCACUCAACAACAUCAUAUCAAGGUUCUGAUCCAAAUAGCAGCAUACUAAAAAUAGUAGAAACUGAACUGGGGCUUGUAACAACAAUCCUAUAAGCUACUACGGAUUAGUAACACGUGAACCUGAUAGAAGAAGAGAGACUAGUCCUUAACCCACAUUGAAUGAAAAGGGAAUGACUCAGAUAAGAGGCAUAGGGUAAAGGAGUAAAAGAGCCUUACGUUCCCUCCCACAAUCAAUUCCCCUACAUAUAACUAAAGCAUUUCCAGACUCGACAUCGACCAGUUUGGCUCAACGAACCUACAGGCAGUCCGGCACUGAUGCCAACGCUGUCAGGACCCCGAUUCCAAGACACAUCGAUCUAGCUGGUAACACCUCAUAUCACUUUGCGGCCUCACGCACGAUAUUCCACGGGUGUCGCCUUACCAUGGCCCGGGACCGUUUGCGCCUUUUGGCUCACGUAUAUGAUAGUGUCGCUAGCAUCCAUAUGAUAGAGAACCCGGGCCGACAUGGCUAGUCGUGAACCCAAAGAGGCACAGACCUAUGGAGACAGGCAUACAUGAAUCACAUCGAGCAUGUCGGUCAUCAGCGAGUGAUUCCGGGCUGUAGCACUGGGCUAACAGGACUCCGGGGAACCCGGGCUGUAGCAGGCUAGGCAGGACUCCGGAAGUCACCGCGUAACAUUUCCCCGAAGGGACAGACAUAGGAAUGAAGUGAAUCACAUGCCGGCAAGUCAAGUGUCCUGAGCUGUAGUGCUGGGCUAGCAGGACUCUGGUGAACCGGGCUGUAGCGGACUACUAUGGCUCAAGGAACACUAGACUACAUUUCCCCAUAAGAAAGGCUGCCAAGGAUAAACAACUAGAUUGCCGGAUCCCACUCAUACCAAGCAUUUCAAUCAUACACGCAAUAUGUCCGAUAUGAGUACAUACAACAUGGCAUCACAACAAAACUCUACAACUCAAGUACUUUAUUUAAAGGCUCUAGAGAGCCAUACAUAACAGGUUCAUACAGAUAGGGGUCACAUGACCCGACACUCAAGUCAUACAAUCAUACAAGCACAUGCGGAAGCAACCGGUCUGAGUACAGACACUAGAAAGAAAGAAGGCUCCUCGAGGCCUGUCUAUCUACAUAGGGCCCUCCAUGGCCAGGAUCACCACCUGGGUGGCUACUUACUCGUCGACGUCAAGGUCUACAUAGAACCCAUCGGAGGGGGCGGUGUUGUCGUCUGAAAACAGUAAUUAAGCAAACAUGAGUACAAAGGUACUCAGCAAGUCUUACAACAGAACCUAGUAUACAUGCUUAUACUCAAGAAGGUGGUGGGGAUAUUGCAGCAAGCCAGCUUUGACUCUUGGCUAAACUAUCCUACGGAACUUCUCUAGUAAAAUAGUUUUCGCACACGAGUCCACUACUCGCCAACACAAUACUCCACAGGGGAUCCUCCCUCGUCAUCCUAUGAGAGGGCCAUCCUCGGUACUCACACUUAUCUUGAGUAUUUUAGUAGUAUCCAUUUACUUGUCUAUGAACUGUAUAGGAAACCAAGUAGUCAUACACGCUAUUCGGAUAGUUUUAUACCCUGCAGGGGUGUACUUCGUCAUACACGCUUUCACCACUUAUCGCCGUUUACAUGACAUGUACUCGGCAACCUUCAAGCGGAAGCCCAGCGAGGGUGUCGGCCACGGCCUACCUAAACACUUAAGUCUCUAGUCCAGGUUUAUCGCCUAUCCAGGUUCCAUCCACAGGGAGUCCGGCCGAGGUUUCCACAUACGGCCCCGAACGAAGUGAACAUGGUUUCGAGACGCCAAACGGGCGCCCGGCAUACCCGGCCACGGUGUAUCUACCGCAACAUAGCCCACCCCUAGGGUCAGCGCUAUGCACGGCCGCCAACACAUAACCUACAAACACCAGAAACUAUUUGCAACUCCUGGACAGAGUACAAGGGUGAUUAAGAAGUCGAGAUGGUCAAUUAAGGAUCCCAAUGCAUGGUAGUAGUGAAUCUUAAAUCGCACAUACAGAUCUCAGUUCUUAGGGACGGUCUCAAUGAAACAACCCACCAUGUACUCCUACAUGGCCUCUCAUCGAUAUCUUUACCAAAACAUGUUCAACACAUUCCUCAUAUUACCGACAUAAUCAUAUCACCCUAGCCCAUCACCCAGAUGAACCAGACCUGACACAACUCUAAGCAUAGCAGGCAUAGCAAGGUAGGAAUUAUAUACAUGGCUCAAUCAACUCCUACACAUGCUAGUGGGUUUCAUCUAGUUACUGUGGCAAUGACAGGUCAUGCAGAGGAUAAGGGUUCAACUACUGUAGCACACAGCAGUUUGAAUCACGUUGUCUUAAUGCAGUAAACAAGAGCACAGGCGAGAACAUGGGUUGUAUCGGAAUGAUCAAUGGGUUGCUUGCUUGAUGGAGUGGUAGUGGAAUACUGCCCUUCAGUGGGAUACUCGUGAAUAUCCUCGGAGCCAGAACCUACCACGAAGAACACAUCGGAACACAAUCAACACAUGACGAUAUGCAACAAUAUGAUGCAUGCUAUGACGUAUCUUGGCCUAAUGCAAGCUAAAAUAGAAAGGGAUGAACUCAUUUGAAUCAAAAAUUCAAAUAUUAGCUCAUUAAACAUGACCUUAGUAGUGCAUUUCCUUAUUCUGCUUAAACAGCAAGGUAAACUUGUUUUGUCAUGCAUGAAACCAUUACAGAUGGAUAGAUUGAAUUUUUCUGAUAAUUUUUCAUAUAUAAAUUAUUUCAUUUGGAGUUACGGUUGAAUCUCUAUGAUUUUUAGAAGUUUUAAACAUUUUCUGGAAAUUACUGAAUAAAAAUAAAUCCAAAAAAUGCAUUACGGCGUCAGCAUUGUGUCAUGCUGACCUCAGCAGGUCAAAGGCGCCAGCCCAGGUCAAACCUGACUGGUGGGCCCCUUCUGUCAGUCUCUCAGUUAAAUAACAGGAUUAGAUUAACACUAAUUAACUGUCAGUGGGGCCUGGGCCCACAUGUCAGUGACUGAUUAAAAUAAAAUUAGUUAAAACUAAUCCUAGAUUAGUUAGCAGACCGGCCCCACCUGUCAUAGACUCAGGGGGGUCUACCUGGGCCCACCCAGGGUCAAACUGGGUCAAACUCGCCGGCGUUGAGCCGCCGGCGAGACCCGAGACAGUGGCGCAGCUCGGAAAACGCCUACAGGGCACGAGCGAGGCCGUUCUUGGGCUCGUUGGAGAGCUCUUGCAGUCGCGCAUCUAGUGCUGGUGGUGGCCGGGCCUACGGUGGCCGGAGACGACGACGGCGAGCUCCAAGGCGGCGGCCGGAGUUCGGCCAUGUGCGGGGUGUGGGCUGCGGCGUGCAAACGUGGAAACUGAGGCGCUAGCGAGGCACUACGUGAUGCGGCAAGCACGUUGCGUAGCACGGGAUGACCAAAUGGUCGCCGGAGCGGCGCUGACGACAAGCUCGAGCGGAGACGAGCUUCGGCCAUGGUGAAACUAUGGCCUAGAGGGUGCAAACGCGUGGAAAAGAAGAGGGGAAAGGUGGCGGAGCUCACAGGGAGGUCGAUGAGCAGCUCAGUGGGCUCGGGGCGACCGGAGUGAGGCGAAUCGACGAGCGGCGUCCGGCGGGUACCGAGGUUGAAGACAAUCCGAUGGCGGCGAUGCAGGGCCUUCGGCGAUGCGUGGCUCGGUGGGGAGGGCGAGGGCGUUACGGCGGAGCUUCUGGACAGGUCAGAGAGGCGAGGUGGUGAUGGAGGGCGCGACUAUGAUGGUGAGACGGCGAUUAAAAAGAAAGAUCUGGUUCACUCGUACGUGAAAAAAGUAGCAAGCGCUCGAUGCCUUCCUUUGCAUCGAUGCCAGACGCGGUGCUGGGAAUCGACAAGAUAACCGCCAAUCUACCACGAUUAAAUUCCUAGCGCCUCCUUCUAGCGCCUCCCACUGAAAAUGCCCUAAAGGUUUUGGAGGGAUUUUUUUACUGUGUCCUACUUCACGAAUCACGAGGCAAAUCAAGUAGCCGGCAUGGCCUGGCCGGUGAGUGCCAUUGCACUUACUUGCCCCAGCAAUUUUCCGCGUGCAUUGUAGAAUUCUUUCUCCGAGUCCUGUGAAUUAAAGAUGGUGCAGACAAAAAUAUAUCCUAUAUGCGUACAUGUGCAUGAUCAGAACAUGUUUUUACGUGCGUCUACUAUAAAUCAUGACCAUUUUUAACACAAAUCAUGACCAUUCAUGAUUAGUGAAUCAUACUGUCUUAACUUAUGUGAAAUCAUGUGGAGUAAUAUAAUAUAAUAUAAUAAAUAGAUAGAUCCAUGUUGUAUUAUUUUUUGUUUACAAAAAAUAUCUGUCAUUACACAUUUUGAUUUAUGCAUUUGUUUACAAAAAAAACAGUAACAUUUCAUGGUGGAAAGUUUGUAUUGUUUCAUACUGAACACCAAUGUUUUCCUGUAAAAGAAAAUAAUGCCUACGCAUAUGCUUUUAUAUUAUUAUUAUUCUUUCAAACUUAUUCAUACAGUAUUUUUGAUUGUGCAACCAUAAUUUUUAUUGUCUCUCUCGUUCCACUACAUGCUCUUACUCAAUGAUUUUUUUAUAACGGGUGUUUUUAUUAACUCAAAAUAUAGUAUCAAGCGGAUACAAAACAUAAUGAGCCACACCUGGUCUCUGCAUAACUAAGAUGCACACAGCCAAAAGCAGAUGUCUGACAAAAAUAAGAUAAGAAAAUCGACAUAUCGACAACAGUGAGUCAUAUAGUCCCGACACUAUGCCCCCGUUGAAGGACGGGGUGGAGCGAUCUGGAGAUUAUGCUGCCCUCCAUGUUGAGUAAAUACCUCCCUGGCCACUUGUUCCAAACGCAUAGACGCCGCCACGAAUAAUGGUCGGUACUCUGUUCAGUGUAGCAUACACCAUGUAGGAAGUGAGUGCUCACUCCUAGUUACUAAAUUAUGUACACACUAGUAGAAAAAGGGCCAUUUGUCCCGGUUCGUAAGGCCCAUUUGUCCCAAUUGGGGAACCGGGACUAAAGGGUCGGUACUAAAGCCCUACACCUUUAGUCCCGGUUCUUACACCAACCGAGACAGAUGGGGCUCCACGUGGCCGCUACAGCUUGCCGUGGCAGGGGGGCCUUUUGUCCCGGUUGGUAGCACCAACCGGGACCAAUAAGCUACCACGCGUCCGCAUUUGAGGGGCUAGGGUUUUUGUUUUUUUUCUGAAGGGGGGGGGGUGGGUUUGUAUGGUUAAUUUUGGGGGGUUUCACAUAUUGUGUUAGGUAGCUAAUUAAUUAAUAGAGAGAAGUGUCCUCACUUAUCUCCGUGCUUGGUCGACGCUACGUACUAUACGUAUAGAGAGGCCCUCAACACGCUAGCCAGUAAGCAAAUGAAGUAAACCAUUAAGUACAGAAGUUCGUCAUGAACAUAUGCAUACAAACAUAAGUGAUAUCGACCUCUCCUUCUCCGAGAGAUAGGUCGAACAACAAGUUUCCGUAUAUCUAUCCGGCGCUACUAGCUACAUAUAUACAAUAUUAAGAUCUCUUACAAUAUAAUCCCCUAAUUAUAUAUGAACUCAGCUUCCAGAUGGUAUUCUCCGGCUUUAUUGAUGGCGUGGUCAAGAAAGAUUCCCUCCAAUUCCUCUUGAAUUGCUUUGAUGCGAUCUUGUGGUAGGAGUUCAUCUCGCAUCUGCCACAUCUAAUUUGAAGAAGGGGGUCAAUCACCAGUAGAAUAACAACCAUUUGUCCUGGUUCAUAAGGUUAAUUUGUCCCGGUUGGGGAACCGAGACUAAAGGGUCUUUACUAAAGCCCUACACCUUUAGUCCUGGUUCUUACACCAACUGGGACAGAUGGGCCUCCAUGUGGCUGCUGCGGCGAGCCCAGGCCGGAGGUCCUUUGGUCCCGGUUAGUGGCACUGAUACGUCUCCAACGUAUCUAUAAUUUUUGAUUGCUCCAUGCUAUUAUGUUAUCUAUUUUGGAUGUUAAUGGCUUUAUUUUACACCUUUAUAUCAUUUUUGGGACUAACCUACUAAUCGGAGGCCCAACCCAAAUUGUUGUUUUCUACCUAUUUUAGGUUUUCGAAGAAAAGGAAUAUCAAACGGAGUCCAAACGGAAUGAAACCUUCGAGAACGUGAUUUUCUCAAUGAACAUGAUUCAGGAGAAUUGGAGUGUGCUCCAAGAAACAAGGGAGGAAGGCACGAGGCAGGGGGCGCGCCUACCCCCUUGGGCGCGCCCUCCACCCUCGUGGGCCCUCCGCUGCUCCACCGACGUACUUCUUCCUCCUAUAUAUAUCCACGUACCCCCAAACAUCCAGGAGCACCACGAAAACCUAAUUCCACCGCUGCAACCUUCUGUACCCGAGAGAUCCCAUCUUGGGGCCUUUUCCGGAGGUCCACCGGAGGGGGCAUCGAUCAUGGAGGGCCUCUACAUCAACUCCAUGGCCUCUCCGGUGAUGUGUGAGUAGUUUACUUCAGACCUAGGGGUCUAUAGUUAUUAGCUAGAUGGCUUCUUCUUCUCUCUUUGGAUCUCAAUACAAAGUUCUCCUCGAUUUUCUUGGAGAUCUAUUUGAUGUAACCUUCUUUUGCGGUGUGUUUGUCGAGAUCCGAUGAAUUGUGGGUUUGUGAUCCAGAUUAUCUAUGAACAAUAUUUGAUUCUCCUAUGAAUUCUAGUAUGUAUGAUUGGUUUAUCUUUGCAAGUCUCUUCGAAUUAUCAGUUUGGUUUGGCCUACUAGAUUGAUUUCUUGCAAUGGGAGAAGUGCUUAGCUUUGGGUUCAAUCUUGCAGUGUUUGAUCCCAGUGACAGAAAGGGAACCGAUACGUAUUGUAUUGUUGCCAUCGAGGAUAAAAAGAUGGGGUUUAUAUCAUAUCGCAUGAGUUUAUCCCUCUACAUCAUGUCAUCUUCCUUAAAGCAUUACUAUGUUCUCUUGAACUUAAUACUCUAGAUGCAUGCUGGAUAGCGGUCCAUGUGUCGAGUAAUAGUAGUAGAUGCAGAAUCGUUUCGGUCUACUUGUCUCGGACGUGAUGCCUAUAUACAUGAUCAUACCUAGAUAUUCUCAUAACUAUGUUCAAUUCUGUACAAUAUGGUGCACGGGGUUACAUCGGCCUGCAAAGACAUUUCUGCGAUGUGAGACAUCCGAAAAGCAACGAAAACGGGAGAUUAUACAUUUAUUGAAGAGGGCAGGUGUGACAGAUACCGUGAGGGCGUCGAGCUCAGCCAAAGACGAUGGACAGCUGAGCACGGCCUGUGUCAGAGCCGGUGCGGGAGCAGGUGCAGGUGCAGGUGCUGGUGCAACGCUAGUCGAGCUGCUCCUGAAGAAGUCAACAAUGGGAAAGUCCGCUGCAUUUUUUCUGCAUUUUGCGUGCUCCAAUUGAAAAUGGCUGGAACCAAGACAGUAGACAUAUCUGCAACCACCUGUUUUCCGGCAGCUACCGCUGUCGCGACUGUCUCAGAUGAUUUCUUCUCAACCGCAAUCUCAACCUUCUUGUCGAUGUUUUAUUCGGUUAACCUCCAUCUUUCCUUUCUCUCCUCCGUGGUCUCACGGUAGUACUUCUUCCACGUGGCCCCGUCUCCGACACCGUGAACGCGUCCAUACGACGACCGAGUCUCCACGGGGAGUCCUUUCAAUAUGUUCAAUGCCCGGUUGAAUGGAGUGUCCCACUUGGGCCUUGCCAAUGCCUCAGACGGCGAGUCGCUUUCGGCCGCAAUCUUAUGCUGCUCUCUCUACAAAAGGAACACGGAUCAUUUACAAAUAUGACUAAACGUGCAGUCGAACUGAUCAGAAACUAAAAUUACCAGCAGUCUCAUGAACUCCGUCGUGAUCGGGUCCGUCUUGAAAACCUUCUUGACUGAGUCCCAAUGGUGUCGUGCCCUGAGGACGUCAUGCUCCUACGGGACGGUGAAGUCCGCCAAGGGGUCUGGGAUGCCAGAUUUUCGCGUUUCGUGUCCUCCUUGGCCCAUAUGGACCUCUUCCUGCCGUAACCACUGCUUCCGAGGUGGUGGCGCCCCAUGUUCCUUUGUGGAAGCCCCUUCAUGUACUUCGACUUUGUUUUGGCAGCUUCGGCCUCGCAAGCCGCCUUGAAUAUUUCAAAGUGUUCUCUAGUGAUUGUCAGAUUAUCCUUUACAAUCUCGGAGUAGGGUUGAUACGUCUCCAACGUAUCUAUUAUUUUUGAUUGCUCCAUGCUAUAUUAUCUACUGUUUUGGACAUUAUUGGGCUUUAUUAUCUACUUUUAUAUUAUUUUUGGGACUAACCUAUUAACCGGAGGCCCAGCCUAGAAUUGUUGUUUUUUGACUGUUUUAGGGUUUCGAAGAAAAGGAAUAUCAAACGGAGUCCAAACGGAAUGAAACCUUCGGGAACGUGAUUUUCUGAAUGAACAAGACCCUGGAGACUUGGACCCUACGUCAAGACACAAAAGAGGAGGACACGAGGUAGGGGGCGCGCCUAACCCCCCCCCCCCCUCGAGGCACGCCCUCCACCCUCGUGGGGCCCCUGUUGCUCCACCGACGUACUCCUUCCUCCUAUAUAUACCUACGUACUUCCAAACGAUCAGAUACGGAGCCAAAACCCUAAUUCCACUGCCGCAACUUUCUGUAUCCACGAGAUCCCAUUUGGUGCCUGUUCCGGAGCUCCGCCGGAGGGGGCAUCGAUCACGGAGGGCUUCUACAUCAACACCAUAGCCUCUCCGAUGAAGUGUGAGUAGUUCACCUCAGACGUACCGGUCCAUAUUUAUUACCUAGAUGGCUUCUUCUCUCUUUUUGGAUCUCAAUACAAUGUUCUCCCCCUCUCUUGUGGAGAACUAUUCGAUGUAAUCUUGUUUUUGCAGUGUGUUUAUUGAGAUUGAUGAAUUGUGGGUUUAUGAUCAAGUCUAUGUAUGAAUAAUAUUUGAAUCUUCUCUAAAUUCUUUUAUGUAUGAUUGUUUAUCUUUGCAAGUCUCUUCGAAUUAUCAGUUUGGUUUGGCCUACUAGAUUGAUCUUUCUUACAAUGGGAGAAGUGCUUAGCUUUGGGUUCAAUCUUGCGGUGUCCUUUCCCAAUGACAGUAGGGGCAGCAAGGCAUGUAUUGUAUUGUUGCCAUCGAGGACAACAAGAUGGGGUUUUCAUCAUAUUGCAUGAGUCUAUCCCUCUACAUCAUGUCAUCUUGCUUAAGGCGUUACUCUGUUUUUAACUUAAUACUCUAGAUGCAUGCUGGAUAGCGGUCGAUGAGUGAAACCUAUGGCCCCCGGGUCUAUCUUUAUCAUAUUAAUCUCCUACUACUUAGUUAUUUCCUUUGCUUUUUCCUUUGCCUUUAUUUUACUUUUGAUCUUUAUCACAAAAAUACCAAACAUAUUAUCUUUAUCAUAUCUAUCAGAUCUCACUCUCGUAAGUGGCUGUGUAGGGAUUGACAACCCCUAUUCGCGUUGGUUGCGAGGAUUUAUUUGUUUUGUGCAAGUACGAGAGACUCGCGCGUAGCCUCCUACUGGAUUGAUACCUUGGUUCUCAAAAACUGAGGGAAAUACUUACACUACUUUGCUGCAUCAUCCUUCCUCUUCGCGGAAAACCAACGUAGUGCUCAAGAGCUGGCAAUAAGGAUUUCUGGCGCCGUUGCCGGGGAGGUCUAAGCAAAAGUCAACAUACCAAGUACCCAUCACAUACCCUUAUCUCCUGCAUUACAUUAUUUUCCAUUUGCCUCUCGUUUUCCUCUCCCCCACUUCACCCUUGCCGUUUUAUUCGCCCUCUCUCUCUCUCUCUAUCCUCCCUCUCUUUCUCUAUUUGCCUCUUUUUUCCCACUUGCUUUCUGUUUGCUUGUGUGUUAGUUGCUUGCUUGUCACGAUGGCUCAAGAUAAUACUAAAUUACGUGACUUCACCAAUACCAACAACAAUGAUUUUAUUAACACUCCGAUUGCUCCUCUUACCGAUGCUGAAUCUUGAGAAAUUAAUACUGCUUUGCUGAAUCUUGUCAUGAAAGAUCUGUUUUUCGGCCUUCCUAGUGAAGAUGCCGCUACCCACCUAAAUAGAUUCGUUGAUUUGUGUGACAUGCAAAAGAAGAAAGGUGUGGAUAAUGAUAUUGUUAAAUUGAAGCUAUUUCCUUUUUCGCUUAGAGAUCGUGCUAAAGCUUGGUUUUCGUCUUUGCCUAAAAAUACUAUUGAUUCAUGGAAUAAGUGCAAAGAUGCUUUUAUCUCUAAGUAUUUUCCUCCUGCUAAGAUCAUCUCUCUUAGAAACGAUAUUAUGAAUUUUAAGCAACUUGAUCAUGAACAUGUUGCACAAGCUUGGGAGAGAAUGAAACUAAUGAUACGUAAUUGCCCUGCCCAUGGUUUAAAUUUGUGGAUGAUUAUACCAAAUUUUUAUGCCGGAUUGAACUUUGCUUCUAGAAAUCUUUUAGAUUAGGCCGCGGGAGGCACUUUUAUGGAAAUCACUUUAGGAGAAGCUACUAAACUCCUAGAUAAUAUUAUGGUUAAUUAUUCUCAACGGCAUACCGAAAGAUCUACUAAUAAAAACGUGCAUGCGAUAGAAGAAAUUAAUGUUUCGAGUGGAAAGAUGGAUGAACUUCUGAAAUUAUUUGCUAAUAAGAGUAUUUCUUCUGAUCCUAAUGAUAUGCCCUUGUCUACUUUGAUUGAGAAUAAUAAUUAAUCUAUGGAUGUGGAUUUUGUUGGUAGGAACAAUUUUGGUAACAACGCGUACAGAGGAAAUUUCAACCCUAGGCCUUAUCCUAGUAAUCUCUCUAAUAAUUAUGGUAAUUCCUACAACAAUUCUUAUGGAAAUUAUAAUAAGAUGCCCUCUGAUUUUGGAUCUAAUAUUAGAGAAUUUAUUACUUUCCAAAAGAAUUUCAAUGCUUUGAUUGAAGAAAAAUUGCUUAAGAUUGAUGAUUUGGCUAGGAACGUUGAUAGAAUUACUCUUGAUGUUGAUUCUUUGAAACUUAGAUCUAUUCCACCUAAGCAUGAUGUCAAUGAGUCUCUCAAAGCCAUGAGAAUUUCCAUUGAUGAGUGCAAAGAAAGAACCACUAGGAUGCGUGUUAAGAAAGAUGCCUUUAUAAGAGCGUGUUCUUCUAAUUCCUAUGAAAAUAAUGAUGAAGAUCAAAAAGUUAUUGAUGUCCUCCCUAUUAAAUCUUUGUUUUGCAAUAUGAAUCUUGAUAAUCAUGGGACUGAAUAUGAUCCACCUUUACCUAGAAGGCGUUCCAAUAAUUCAGAAUUUGUUGAUCUUGAUGCUAAAAUUGAUAAAGGUGGGAUUGAAGAAAUUAAAACCCUAGAUGUUGCUAAACCCACUAUUAUGGAUUUCAAGGAACUUAACUAUGAAAACUGCCCUUUGAUUGAUUGUAUAUCCUUGUUACAAUCCGUGCUAAAUUCUCCUCAUGCUUAUAGUCAAAAUAAAGCAUUUACUAAACAUAUUGUUGAUGCCUUGAUGCAAUCUUAUGAAGAAAAACUUGAAUUGGAAGUUUCUAUCCCUAUAAAGCUUUAUGAUGAGUGGGAACCAACUAUUAAAAUUAAAAUUAAAUAUCAUGAAUGCUAUGCUUUAUGUGAUUUGUGUGCUAGUGUUUCCACGAUUCCAUAGACUUUGUGUGAUUUGUUAGGUUUCCGUGAUUUUGAUGAUUGCUCUUUAAACUUGCACCUUGCGGAUUCCACUAUUAAGAAACCUAUGGGAAGAAUUAAUGAUGUUCUUAUUGUUGCAAAUAGCAAUUAUGUGCCCGUAGAUUUUAUUGUUCUUGACAUAGAUUGCAAUCUUUCAUGUCCUAUUAUUCUUGGUAGACCUUUCCUUAGAACGACUGGUGCAAUUAUUGAUAUGAAGGAAGGAAAUAUUAGAUUCCAAUUUCCAUUAAGGAAAGGCAUGGAACACUUUCCUAGAAAGUAAAUUAAAUUACCUUAUGAAUCUAUUAUGAUAGCCACUUAUGGAUUGCCUACCAAAGAUGGCAAUACCUAGAUCUAUCCUUGCUUGUUAUGCCUAGCUAGGGGCGUUAAACGAUAGCGCUUGUUGGGAGGCAACCCAAUUUUAUUUUUAUUCCUUGAUUUUUUCUCCUGUUUAGUAAUAAAUAAUUUAUAUAGCCUCUGUUUUGGUUCUGUUCUUUGUGUUUAAUUAGUGUUUGUGCCAAGUAGAACCGUUAGGAAGACUUGGGGAAAGUCUUGUUACACUUGCUGUAAAAAACUGAAACUUCAGCGCUCACGAGAACUGCUGCCAUUUUUAUUUGGAAAGUGCUAUGUAGUUAAUUAUUUUUCAGAUGAUUAACAGAUAAAUUCCUCACGUCCAGAAAUUUAUUUUAGAAUUUUUGGGGUUCCAGCUCUUGAGCUAGCUACAGAGUACUACAGGCUGUUCUGUUUUUGAAAGAUUCUGUUUUUCGUGUGUUGUUUGCUUAUUUUGAUGAACCUAUGGCUAGUAAAAUAGUUUAUAUACCAUAGAGAAAUUGGAAUACAGUAGGUAUAACACCAAUAUAAAUAAAUAAUGAGUUCAUUACAGUACCUUGAAGUGGUCUUUUAUUUUCUUUCGCUAACGGAGCUCAUGAGAUUUUCUACUUUAAGUUUUGUGUUGUGAAGUUUUCAAGUUUUGGGUAAAGAUUUGAUGGAUUAUGGAACAAGGAGUGACAAGAGCCUAAGCUUGGGGGUUCCCAUGGCACCCCCAAGAUAAUCUAAGUACACCUAAAAACCAAAGCUUGGGGAUGCGCCGGAAGUCAUCCCCUCUUUCAUCUACUUCUAUCGGUAACUUUACUUGGAGCUAUAUUUUUAUUCGCCACAUGAUAUGUGUUUUGCUUGGAGCGUCUUGUAUUAUUUGAGUCUUUAUUUGUUAGUUUACCACAAUCAUCCUUGCUGUACACACCUUUUGAGAGAGCCAUACAUGAUUUGGAAUUUGUUAGAAUACUCUAUGUGCUUCGCUUAUAUCUUUUGAGUUAUAUAGUUUUGCUCUAGUACUUCACUUAUAUCUUUUAGAGCACGGUGGUGGAUUUGUUUUAUAGAAACAAUUGAUCUCUCAUGCUCCACUUAGAUUAUUUUGAGAUUCUUAAUAGCAUGUUAAUUUGCUUAAAAUCCUAAUAUGCUAGGUAUUCAAAGUUAGUAAAAUUUUCUUAAGAGUGUUUUGAAUACUAAGAGAAGUUUGAUGCUUGAUGAUUGUUUUGAGAUAUGGAGGUAAUAAUAUCAAAGUCGUUCUCGUUGACUAGUUGUGAAAUUGAGAAAUACUUGUGUUGAAGUUUGCAUGUCCCGUAGCACGCACGUAUGGUAAACGUUGUGUAACAAAUUUGAAACAUGAGGUGUUAUUUGAUUGUCUUCCUUGUGAGUGGCGGUCGGGGACGAGCGAUGGUCUUUUCCUACCAAUCGAUCCCCCUAGGAGCAUGCGAAUAGUACCAAGGUUUUUGAUGACUUGUAGAUUUUUGCAGUAAGUAUGUGAGUUCUUUAUGACUAAUGUUGAGUCCAUGAAUUAUACGCACUCUCACCCUUCCAUCCUUGCUAGCCUCUUCGGUACCGUGCAUUGCCCUUUCCCACAUUGAGAGUUGGAGCAAACUUCGCCAGUGCAUCCAAACCCCGUGCUAUGAUACGCUCAUUCACACAUAAACCUCCUUAUAUCUUCCUCAAAACAGCCACCAUACCUACCUAUUAUGGCAUUUCCAUAGCCAUUCCGACAUAUAUUGCCAUGCAACUUUCCACCAUUCCGUUCAUCAUGACACAUUCAUCAUUGUCAUAUUGCGUAGCAUAAUCAUGUAGUUGACAUAGUAUUUGUGGCAAGGCCACCGUUCAUAAUUCAUUCAUACAUGUCACUCUUGGUCCAUUGCAUGUCCCGGUACACCGCCGGAGGCAUUCAUAUAGAGCCAUACUUUGUUCUAGUAUCGAGUAGUAAUUAUUGAGUCGUAAAUAAAUAGAAGUGUGAUGAUCAUCAUUAAUAGAGCAUGGUCCCAAAAAGAAAAAAAAGGAAGGGCCAAAAAAAGGCCAAAUAAAAAAAUAUAAAAAAGGGGGCAAUGCUACUAUCCUUUUUUUCCAAACUUGUGCUUCCAAGUAGCACCGUAAUCUUCAAGAUAGAGAGUCUCUUGAUUUGUCACUUUCAUAUACUAGUGGGAAUUUUUCAUUAUAGAACUUGGCUUGUAUAUUCCAACAAUGGGCGUCCCCAAGUUCCCUAGGUCUUCGUGAGCAAGCAAGUUGGAUGCACACCCACUUAGUUUCUUUUGUUGAGCUUUCAUACAUUUAUAGCUCUAGUGCAUCCGUUGCAUGGCAAUUCCUACUCCUUGCAUUAACAUCAAUCAAUGGGCAUCUCCAUAGCCCAUUGAUUAGCCUCGUUGAUGUGAGACUUUCUCCUUUUUGUCUUCUCCACAUAACCCCACUCAUUAGAUUCUAUUCCACCCAUAGUGUUAUGUCCAUGGCUUGCAAUCAUAUAUUGCGUGAAAGUUUAUAGGUUUGAGAUCACUAAAGUAUGAAACAAUUGCUUGGCUUGUCAUCGGGGUUGUGCAUGAUGAGAGCAUACUUGUGUGACGAAAAUGAAGCAUGACUAAACUAUAUGAUUUUGUAGGGGUGAACUUUCUUUGGCCAUGUUAUUUUGAGAAGACACAAUUGCUCAGUUAGUAUGCUUAAAGUAUUAUUAUUUUAUGUCAAUAUGAACUUUUGUCUUGAAUGUUUCAGAUCCGAAUAUUCAUACCACAAUUAAGAAGAAUUACAUUAAAAUCAUGCCAAGUAGCACUCCACAUCAAAAAUUCUGUUUUUAUCAUUUACCUACUCGAGGACGAGCCGGAAUUAAGCUUGGGGAUGCUUGAUACAUCUCCAACGUAUCUAUAAUUUUUGAUUGCUCCAUGCUAUAUUAUCUACUGUUUUGGACAAUAUUGGGCUUUAUUAUCCACUUGUAUAUUAUUUUUGGGACUAACCUAUUAACCGGAGGCCCAGCCCAGAAUUGUUGUUUUUUGCCUGUUUUAGGGUUUCGAAGAAAAGGAAUAUCAAACGGAGUCCAAACGGAAUGAAACCUUCGGGAACGUGAUUUUCUCAACGAACAAGAUCUAGGAGACUUGGACCCUCCAUCAAGACAUAAAAGAGGAGGCCACGAGGUAGGGGGCGUNNNNNNNNNNNNNNNNNNNNNNNNNNNNNNNNNNNNNNNNNNNNNNNNNNNNNNNNNNNNNNNNNNNNNNNNNNNNNNNNNNNNNNNNNNNNNNNNNNNNNNNNNNNNNNNNNNNNNNNNNNNNNNNNNNNNNNNNNNNNNNNNNNNNNNNNNNNNNNNNNNNNNNNNNNNNNNNNNNNNNNNNNNNNNNNNNNNNNNNNNNNNNNNNNNNNNNNNNNNNNNNNNNNNNNNNNNNNNNNNNNNNNNNNNNNNNNNNNNNNNNNNNNNNNNNNNNNNNNNNNNNNNNNNNNNNNNNNNNNNNNNNNNNNNNNNNNNNNNNNNNNNNNNUGGGCCCCCCUGUUGCUCCACCGACGUACUCCUUCCUCCUAUAUAUACCUACUAUUGGGGAACGUAGCAGAAUUUUAAAAUUUUCUACGCAUACCAAGAUCAAUCUAUGGAGUCAUAUAGCAACGAGGGAGAGAGGAGUGCAUCUACAUACCCUUGUAGAUCGCGCGCGGAAGCGUUCAAGAGAACGGGGUUGAUGGAGUCGUACUCGUCGUGAUCCAAAUCACCGAUGACCAAGUGCCGAAUGGACAGCACCUCCGCGUACAACACACGUACGGUUGGGAAGACGUCUCCUCCUUCUUGAUCCAGCAAGGGGGAAGGAGAGGUUGAUGAAGAUCCAGCAGCACGACGGCGUGGUGGUGGAUGCAGCAGGAUCCCGGCAGGGCUUCGCCAAGCGCAAGCGGGGAGGAGAGGUGUUACGGAAGGAGAGGGAGGCGCCAAGAGCAAGGGUGCGGCUGCCCUCCCUCCCCCCCCUCUUUAUAUAGGGGCCUUGGGGGGGCGCCGGCCCUAGGAGAUGGAUCUCCAAGGGGGGCGAAGGCCAAGGGGUGGCUUCCCCCCCAAGCCAAGUGGGGGGCGCCCCCACCCCUAGGGUUUCCCAACCCUAGGCGCAUGGGAGGCCCAAGGGGGGCGCACCAGCCCACUAGGGGCUGGUUCUGCUCCCAAUUCAGCCCAUGGGGCCCUCCGGGAUGGGUGGCCCCACCCGGUGGACCCCCGGGACCCUUCCGGUGGUCCUGGUACAAUACCGGUGACCCCCGAAACCUUCCCGAUGGCCGAAAUUGUACUUCCUAUAUAUAAAUCUUUACCUCCGAACCAUUCCGGAACUCCUCGUGACGUACGGGAUCUCAUCCGGUACUCCGAACAUAUCCUUGGUUACUACAUACUAAUAUCUCUACAACCCUAGCGUCACCGAACCUUAAGUGUGUAGACCCUACGGGUUCGGGAGACAUGCAGACAUGACAGAGACGCCUCUCCGGUCAAUAACCAACAGCGGGAUCUGGAUACCCAUGUUGGCUCCCACGUGCUCCACGAUGAUCUCAUCGGAUGAACCACGAUGUCGAGGAUUCAAUCAAUCUGUGUAGAAUUCCCUUUGUCAAUCGGUACGUUACUUGCCCGAGACUCGAUCGUCGGUAUCCCAAUACCUCGUUCAAUCUCGUUACCAGCAAGUCACUUUACUCGUGCCGUAAUGCAUGAUCCCAUGAUCAACCACUUGGUCACAAUGAGCUCAUUAUGAUCAUGCAUUACCGAGUGGGCCCAGAGAUACCUCUCCGUCAUACGGAGUGACAAAUCCCAGUCUCGAUUCGUGCCAACCCAACAGACACUUUCGGAGAUACCUGUAAUGUACCUUUAUAGUCACCCAGUUACGUUGUGACGUUUGGCACACCCAAGGCACUCCUACGGUAUCCGGGAGUUGCCCAAUCUCAUGGUCUAAGGAAAUGAUACUUGACAUUCGGAAAAGCUACAGCAAACGAACUACACGAUCUUUGAGCUAUGCUUAGGAUUGGGUCUUGUCCAUCACAUCAUUCUCCUAAUGAUGUGAACCCGUUAUCAAUGACAUCCAAUGUCCAUAGUCAGGAAACCAUGACUAUCUUUUGAUCAACGAGCUAGUCAACUAGAGGCUCACUAGGGACGUGUUGUCGUCUAUGUAUUCACACAUGUAUUACGAUUUCCGGAUAACACAAUUAUAGCAUGAAAAAUAGACAAUUAUCAUGAACAAAGAAAUAUAAUAAUAACCAUUUUAUUAUUGCCUCUAGGGCAUAUUUCCAACAGUCUCCCACUUGCACUAGCGUCAGUAGUCUAGUUACAUUUUGAUGAAUCCAACACCCAUGAAGUUCUGGAGUUGAUCAUGUUUUGCUCUAGGGAGAGGUUUAGUCAAUGGAUCUGCCACAUUCAGGUCCGUAUGUACUUUACAAAUCUCUAUGUAUCCAUUUUGAACACUUUCAUGAAUGGAGUUGAAGUGACGCUUGAUAUGCCUGGUCUUCCUGUGAAAUCUGGGCUCCUUGGCAAGUGCAAUAGCUCCAGUGUUGUCACAGAAUAGAGUCAUCGGGCCCGGUGCAUUGGGUGUGACUCCUAGGUCGGUAAUGAACUCCUUCACCCAGAUUGCUUCUUGUGCUGCCUCCGAGGCUGCCAUGUACUCUGCUUCACAUGUAGAUCCCGCCACAACGCUUUGCUUGCAACUCCACCAGCUUACUGCCCCACCAUUCAAAAUAUACACGUAUCCGGUUUCCGACUUAGAGUCAUCCAGAUCUGUGUCGAAGCUAGCAUCAACGUAACCCUUUACGACGAGCUCUUCGUCACCUCCAUAAACGAGAAACAUAUCCUUAGUCCUUUUUAGGUACUUGAGGAUAUUCUUGACUGCUGUCUAGUGUUCCAUGCCGGGAUUACUUUGGUACCUUCCUACCAAACUUACGGCAAGGUUUUCAUCAGGUCUGGUACACAGCAUAGCAUACAUGAUAGACCCUAUGGCCGAGGCAUAGGGGAUGACACUCAUCUUUUCUCUAUCUUCUGUCGUGGUCGUGCAUUGAGCCUCGCUCAAUCUCGUACCUUGCAAUACAGGCAAGAACCCUUCUUUUACUGAUCCAUUUUGAACUUCUUCAAUAUCUUAUCAAGGUAUGUACUCUGUGAAAGACCAAUGAGGCGUCUCGAUCUAUCUCUAUAGAUCUUGAUGCCUAAUAUAUAAGCAGCUUCUCCAAGAUCCUUCAUUGAAAAACACGUGUUCAAGUAGGCCUUUAUGCUUUCCAAGAAUUCUAUAUCAUUUCCCAUCAACAAUAUGUCAUCCACAUCCAAUAUGAGAAAUGCUACAAAGCUCCCACUCACUUUCUUGUAAAUGCAGACUUCUCCAUAAGUAUGCGUAAACCCAAACGCUUUGAUCAUCUCAUCAAAACGAAUGUUCCAUCUCCGAGAUGCUUGCACCAGCCCAUAAAUCGAAUGUUGGAGCUUGUACACCUUGUCAGCAUUCUUAGGAUCGACAAAACCUUCCGGCUGCAUCAUAUACAAUUCUUCCUUAAGGAAACCAUUAAGGAAUGUUGUUUUGACGUCCAUUUGCCAUAUUCAUAAUCAUAGAAUGCGGCAAUUGCUAACAUCGUAGUCAACCCCUUGAACUUGCCGAUAACCCUUAGCGACAAGCCGAGCUUUAUAGAUGGUCACAUUACCAUCCGCGUCUGUCUUCUUCUUAAAGAUCCAUUUAUUUUCUAUGGCUCGCCGAUCAUCGGGCAAGUCAGUCAAAGUCCAUACUUUGUUUUCAUACAUGGAUCUUAUCUCGGAUUUCAUGGCUUCCAGCCAUUUGUUGGAAUUCAGGCCCGCCAUCGCUUCUUCAUAGUUCGAAGUUCACCGUUGUCUAACAACAUGAUUUCCAAGACAGGGUUGCCGUACCACUCUGGUGCGGGACGUGUCCCCGUGGACCUACGAAGUUCAGUAGCAACUUGAUCUGAAGUUUCAUGAUCAUCAUCAUCAAUUUCCUCUCUAGUCGUUGCAGGCACCUUAGGAACAUUUUCUUGAGCUGCGCCACUUACCGGUUCAAGAGGUAAUAAUACUUCAUCAAGUUCUACUUUCCUCCCACUUAUUUCUUUCGAGAGAAACUCUUUCUCUAGAAAGGACCCAUUCUUGGCAACAAAGAUCUUGCCUUCGGAUCUGAGGUAGAAGGUAUACCCAAUAGUUUCUUUAGGGUAUCCUAUGAAGACGCAUUUUUCCAAUUUGGGUUCGAGCUUUUCAGGUUGAAGUUUCCUUACAUAAGCAUCGCAUCCCCAAACUUUUAGAAAUGACAUCUUAGGUGUCUUCCCAAACCAUAAUUCAUACGGUGUCAUCUCAACGGAUUUCGACGGAGCCCUAUUUAAAGUGAAUGCGGCAGUCUCUAAAGCAUAGCCCCAAAAUGACAGCGGUAAAUCGGUAAGAGACAUCAUAGAUCGCACCAUAUCUAAUAGAGUGCGAUUAUGACAUUCCGACACACCAUUACGCUGAGGUGUUCCAGGCGGCGUGAGUUGUGAAACUAUUCCACAUUUUCUUAAGUGUGUGCCAAAUUCGUGACUCAAGUAUUCUCCCCCACGAUCUGAUCGCAAGAACUUGAUUUGCCUGUCACGUUGAUUCUCAACCUCACUUUGAAAUUCCUUGAACUUUUCAAAGGUCUCAGACUUGUGUUUCAUUAAGUAGACAUACCCAUAUCUACUCAAGUCAUCAGUGAGGGUGAGAACAUAACGAUAGCCACCGCGCCUCAACACUCAUUGGACCGCACACAUCAGUAUGUAUGAUUUCCAAUAAGUUGGUUACUCGCUCCAUUGUUCCUGAGAACGGAGUCUUGGUCAUUUUACCCAUGAGGCAUGGUUCGCACGUGUCAAAUGAUUCGUAAUCAAGAGACUUUAAAAGUCUAUCUGCAUGGAGCUUCUUCAUGCGUUUGACACCUAUGUGACCAAGGCGGCAAUGCCACAAGUAUGUGGGACUAUCAUUAUCAACCUUACAUCUUUUGGUAUUCACACUAUGAAUAUGUGUAACAUUAUGCUCGAGAUUCAUUAAGAAUAAACCAUUCACCAAUGGAGCAUGACCAUAAAACAUAUCUCUCAUAUAAAUAGAACAACCAUUAUUCUCGGAUUUAAAUGAGUAGCCAUCUCAAAUUAACCGAGAUCCUGAUACAAUGUUCAUGCUCAAAGCUGGCAGUAAAUAACAAUUAUUGAGGUUUAAAACUAAUCCCAUAGGCAAAUGUAGAGGCAGCGUGCCGACGGCGAUCACAUCAACCUUGGAACCAUUCCCGACGCACAUCGUCACCUCGUCCUUCGCCAGUCUCCGUUUAAUCCGCAGCUCCUGCUUUGAGUUACAAAUGUGAGCAACUGCACCGGUAUCAAAUACCCAGGAGCUACUACGAGUACUGGUAAGGUACACAUCAAUUACAGGUAUAUCACAUAUACCUUUAGUGUUGCCGGCCUUCUUGUCCGCUAAGUAUUUGGGGCAGUUCCGCUUCCAGUGACUACUUCCCUUGCAAUAAAAACACUCAGUCUCGAGCUUGGAUCCAUUCUUUGGCUUCUUCCCGGAAACUUGCUUAGCGGGCGCGGCAACUCCCUUGCCGUCCUUCUUGAAUUCUUCUUACCCUUGCCUUUCUUGAACUUAGUGGUUUUAUUCACCAUCAACACUUGAUGUUCCUUUUUGAUUUCCACCUCUGCUGAUUUCAGCAUUGAAUAUACCUCAGGAAUGGUCUUUUCCAUCCCCUGCAUAUUGAAGUUGAUCACAAAGCUCUUGUAGCUCGGUGGAAGCGACUGAAGGAUUCUGUCAAUGACCGCGUCAUUCGGGAGGUUAACUCCCAGCUGAGUCAAGCGGUUAUGCAACCCAGACAUUUUGAUUAUGUGCUCACUGACAGAACUAUUUUCCUCCAUCUUAUAGCUGAAGAACUUGUCGGAGACUUCAUAUCUCUCGACCCGGGCAUGAGCUUGAAAAACCAUUUUCAGCUCUUCGAACAUCUCAUAUGCUCCAUGUCUCUCAAAAUGCUUUUGGAGCCCCGGUUCUAAGCUGUAAAGCAUGCCGCACUGAACGAGGGAGUAAUCAUCAGCACGUAACUGCCAAGCGUUGAUAAUGUCUUGGUUCUCUGGGACAGGUGCGUGACCUAACGGUGCUUCUAGGACAUAAUAUUUCUUGGCAGCUACGAGGAUGAUCCUCAGGUUCCGGACCCAGUCCGUAUAGUUGCUGCCAUCGUCUUUCAGCUUGGUUUUCUCUAGGAACGCGUUGAAAUUGAGGACAACGUGGGCCAUUUGAUCUACAAGACAUAUUGUAAAGAUUUUAGACUAAGUUCAUGAUAAUUAAGUUCAUCUAAUCAAAUUAUACAAUGAACUCCCACUCAGAUAGACAUCCCUCCAGUCAUCUAAGUGAAACAUGAUCCAAGUUAACUAGGCUGUGUCGGAUCAUCACGUGAAACGGACUAGUCAACAUCGGUGAACAUCUUCAUGUUGAUCGUAUCUUCUAUACGACUCAUGCUCGACCUUUCGGUCUUCUGUGUUCCGAGGCCAUGUCUGUACAUGCUAGGCUCGUCAACUAAACCUAAGUGUAUUGCGUGUGUAAAUCUGGCUUACACCCGUUGUAUUCGAACGUUAGAAUCUAUCACACUCGAUCAUCACGUGGUGCUUCGAAACAACGAACCUUCGCAACGGUGCACAGUUAGGGGGAACACUUUCUUGAAAUUAUUUCGAGGGAUCAUCUUAUUUAAGCUACCGUCGUUCUAAGCAAAUAAGAUGUAAAACAUGAUAAACAUCACAUGCAAUCAAAUAGUGACAUGAUAUGGCCAAUAUCAUUUGCUCCUUUUGAUCUCCAUCUUUGGGGCUCCAUGAUCAUCGUUGUCACCAGCAUGACACCAUGAUCUCCAUCAUCAUGUCUUCUUGAAGUUGUCUCGUCAUCUAUUACUUCUACUACUAUGGCUAAUGCUUUAGCAAUAAAGUAAAGUAAUUACAUGACGUUUAUGUUGACACGCAGGUCAUAAAAAAAUAAAGACAACUCCUAUGGCUCCUGCCGGUUGUCAUACUCAUCGACAUGCAAGUCGUGAUUCCUAUUACAAGAACAUGAUCAAUCUCAUACAUCACAUAUAUCAUUCAUCACAUCCUUUUGGCCAUAUCACAUCAGACGGCACAUGCUGCAAAAACAAGUUAGACGUCCUCUAAUUGUUGUUGCAAGUUUUUACAUGGCUGCUAUAGGUUUCUAGCAAGAACGUGUCUUACCUACGCCAAAACCACAACGUGAUAUGCCAAUUUCUAUUUACCCUUCAUAAGGACCCUUUUCAUCGAAUCCGAUCUAACUAAAGUGGGAGAGAUAGACACCCGCCAGCCACCUUAUGCAAGUAAUGCAUGUCAAUCGGUGGAACCAGUCUCACGUAAGCGUACGUGUAAGGUCGGUCCGGGCCGCUUCAUCCCACGAUGCCGCCGAAUCAAGAUAAGACUAGUAACGGCAAGCAAAGUGACAAUAUCCACGCCCACAACUGCUUUGUGUUCUACUCGUGCAUAGAAACUACGCAUAGACCUGGCUCAUGAUGCCACUAUUGGGGAAUGUAGCAGAAUUUUAAAAUUUUCUACGCAUCACCAAGAUCAAUCUAUGGAGUUAUCUAGCAAUGAGGAAGAGAGGAGUGCAUCUACAUACCCUUGUAGAUCGCGCGCGGAAGCGUUCAAGAGAACGGGGUUGAUGGAGUCGUACUCGUCGUGAUCCAAAUCACCGAUGACCAAGUGCCGAACGGACAGCACCUCCGCGUUCAACACACGUCCGGUUGGGAAGACGUCUCCUCCUUCUUGAUCCAGCAAGGGGGAAGGAGAGGUUGAUGAAGAUCCAGCAGCACGACGGCGUGGUGGUGGAUGCAACAGGAUCCCGGCAGGGCUUCGCCAAGCGCAAGCGGGGAGGAGAGGUGUUACGGAGGGAGAGAGAGGCGCCAAGAGCAAGGGUGCGGCUGCCUUCCCUCCCCCCUCUUUAUAUAGGGGCCAUGGCGGGCGCCGGCCCUAGGAGAUGGAUCUCCAAGGGGGGCGAAGGCCAAGGGGUGGCUCCCCCCCCCAAGCCAAGUGGGGGGCGCCCCCACCCCUAGGGUUUCCCAACCCUAGGCGCAGGGGAGGCCCAAGGGGGCGCACCAGCCCACUAGGGGCUGGUUCCCCUCCCAAUUCAGCCCAUGGGGCCCUCCGGGAUGGGUGGCCCCACCCGGUGGACCCCCGGGACCCUUCCGGUGGUCCCGAUACAAUACCGGUUACCCCCGAAACCUUCCCGAUGGCCGAAACUGUACUUCCUAUAUAUAAAUCUUUACCUCCAAACCAUUUCAGAACUCCUCGUGACGCCCGGGAUCUCAUCCGGGACUCCGAACAACUUUCGGCUUACUACAUACUAAUAUCUAUACAACCCUAGCGUCACCGAACCUUAAGUGUGUAGACCCUACGGGUUUCGGAGACAUGCAGACAUGACUGAGACGCCUCUCCAGUCAAUAACCAACAGCGGGAUCUGGAUACCCAUGUUGGCUCCCACAUGCUCCACGAUGAUCUCAUCGGAUGAACCACGAUGUCGAGCAUUCAAUCAAUCUGUAUACAAUUCCCUUUAUCAAUCAGUACGUUACUUGCCCGAGACUCGAUCGUCAGUAUCCCAAUACCUUGUUCAAUCUCGUUACCGGCAAGUCACUUUACUCAUACCAUAAUGCAUGAUCCCGUGAUCAACCACUUGGUCACAUUGAGCUCAUUAUGAUGAUGCAUUACCGAGUGGGCCCAGAGAUACCUCUUCAUCACGCGGAGUGACAAAUCCCAGUCUCGAUUCAUGCCAACCCAAUAGACACUUUCGGAGAUACCUGUAAUGUACCUUUAUAGUCACCCAGUUACGUUGUGACGUUUGGCACACCCAAGGCACUCCUACGGUAUCCGGGAGUUUCACAAUCUCAUGGUCUAAGGAAAUGAUACUUGACAUUCGGAAAAGCUACAGCAGAUGAACUACACGACCUUUGAGCUAUGCUUAGGAUUGGGUCUUGUCCAUCACAUCAUUCUCCUAAUGAUGUGAUCCCAUUAUCAAUGACAUCCAAUGUCCAUAGUCAGGAAACCAUGACUAUCUUUUGAUCAACAAGCUAGUCAACUAGAGGCUCACUAGGGACGUGUUGUGGUCUAUGUAUUCACACAUGUAUUACGAUUUCCGGAUAACACAAUUAUAGCAUGAACAAUAGACAAUUAUCAUGAACAAAGAAAUAUAAUAAUAACCAUUUUAUUAUUGCCUCUAGGGCAUAUUUCCAACACCUACGUACCCCCAAACGAUCAUAUACGGAGCCAAAACCCUAAUUCCACCGCCGCAACUUUCUGUAUCCACGAGAUCCCAUCUUGGGGCCUGUUCCGGAGCUCCGCCAGAGGGGGCAUCGAUCACGGAGGGCUUCUACAUCAACACCAUAGCCUCUCUGAUGAAGUGUGAGUAGUUCACCUCAGACCUACGGUUCCAUAGUUAUUAGCUAGAUGGCUUCUUCUCUCUUUUUGGAUCUCAAUACAAUGUUCUCCCCAUCUCUUGUGGAGAACUAUUCGAUGUAAUCUUCUUUUUGCGGUGUGUUUGUUGAGACCGAUGAAUUGUGGGUUUAUGAUCAAGUCUAUCUAUGAAUAAUAUUUGAAUCUUCUCUGAAUUGUUUUAUGUAUGAUAGGUUAUCUUUGCAAGUCUCUUCGAAUUAUCAGUUUGGUUUGGCCUACUAGAUUGAUCUUUCUUGCAAUGGGAGAAGUGCUUAGCUUUGGGUUCAAUCUUGCGGUGUCCUUUCCCAGUGACAGUAGGGGCAGCAAGGCACGUAUUAUAUUGUUGCCAUCGAGGACAACAAGAUGGAGUUUUCAUCAUAUUGCAUGAGUCUAUCCCUCUACAUCAUGUCAUCUUGCUUAAGGCGUUAAUCUGUUUUUAACUUAAUACUCUAGAUGCUUGCUGGAUAGCGAUCGAUUAGUGGAGUAAUAGUAGUAGAUGCAGGCAGGAGUCGGUCUACUUGUCUCGGACGUGAUGCCUAUAUACAUGAUCAUACCUAGAUAUUCUCAUAACUAUGCUCAAUUCUGUCAAUUGCUCAACAAUAAUUUGUUCACCCACCGUAGAAUAUUUAUGCUCUCGAGAGAAGCCACUAGUGAAACCUAUGGCCCCGGGUCUAUCUUUAUCAUAUUAAUCUCCUACUACUUAGUUAUUUCCUUUGCUUUUUACUUUGCCUUUAUUUUACUUUGCAUCUUUAUCACAAAAAUACGAAAAAAAUUAUCUUUAUCAUAUCUAUCAAAUCUCACUCUCGUAAGUGGCCGUGUAGGAAUUGACAACCCCUAUUCGCGUUGGUUGCGAGGAUUUAUUUGUUUUGUGCAGGUACGAGGGACUCGCGCGUAGCCUCCUACUGGAUUGAUACCUUGGUUCUCAAAACCUGAGGGAAAUACUUACGCUACUUUGCUGCAUCAUCCCUUCCUCUUCGGGGAAAACCAAGGCAGUGCUCAAGAGGUAGCAAGGGUUCCUUUUUGUCGACGAUCCGAUGUUUCAACCCUGUUUUCCAGGUGGCCAACGCGUCGCUAAACUUGGUGACGGCGUGUUUGUUUAUCUUCUUCAUUGCCAGGUCCUUAUCUGGAUCUUUAUUAUCCUUUUCACUGCGGUCUGGGAACAAGAUUAUCUGGUGCAGUUUCUUAAGGAGGGAGGGCCUCAUAUUAUCUAUCUUCUGUAGUUUCCCAUCGUUGAUCGUGGCAGUUGUCCGUACGAUGCAACCUAUUUGAUUGCCGUAGCACGAUCGCGCUUCCUCGGGCGCUAUUGUCUCAAAAAUACCGCCGUCCAUCUCCGUGACCGCCAGUCUACUACUCAUGAGCUGGUUUGGGCGCUGUGGCCUCUUUGCUUUCGGUUCUAGACCAGCUCCGCUAGUCUCGGCGCCUGUCUCAGUUUCAUCAUCGGUCCGCAUGUCGGUAUCAGUCCCCGAUGCGACACCACAGUUGCUGCAACAUGGGUAAGGGAGACCACGUCAGUGGUGGGGGGUCUGAAAAUCAGAACACACUUUCGCGCGUCGCGGGCCGCCUCUCAGACAGCUACUGGGGAGGCGGUGGAGUACCUGGGUGCGCGGCGAAUCCCCGGGAACUCGGUGACCAACUUCCUUCCCGUGUGGCGCAUGGAGACGACGGCGACCCCGGCGAAGAGCAGCUUAGCCGCGAGCUGCACAGCCUCGUCCACCUCCUAAGUUGGGACCUCCGCGCGAGCGUUGCGGGGCCGCCACUCGGAUGGCUUCUGGAAGGCGGUUGUACAUGGGCACAUGGUGAAUCCCGGCGAGAGCUGGCCAUUGGCGCGCGCAAGUAGACGACGAUGUCCUCGAAGAAGAGCAGCCCGGCCAGCUCGCCUCACUAUCCUUUGAUUAGAAAUGAAAGAUUGGGAAGAAGCAGACUUGAGCCUGCAGGGAAAGGAUAAGGUGACGAUGCAGUCUCCACUCGUUCGGGGCGACACUCGUACUGAAUGUAUGAGAAACGUGACGUGGCAGAGACCCCAAGAUACUCCCUCCAUUUAUUUUUAGUCUGCAUAUAAAGUUUGGUCAAAGUCAAGAUUUGUAAAUUUUAACUAACUUUAUAAUAAAAAAAUAUCAACAUUCACAAUAUGAAAUCAAUAUUACCAGAUGCGUCAUGAAAUGUAUUUCCAUACUAUAUAGUUUUGGUAUUGUAGAUGUUCAUAUUUUUUUAUAUAUAUGGGAAGUAGAGGCACUCUUCUAUAUAAUGAAGUUUAUAAUAUAUGUGCUUAUAUUGUACUAUAAUUGUUUGAAUAACUUAGCAUAUAUUCAGAUGUAUGAUAUCUGUAAUUUAAACGCUUGAAUUUUACAUAUGAAUAUUUAUUAAUAAAUAUGUACCCCUAUAAUAGCUAGGCCGUGCAGUUGCACGGGUAGAUGACUAGUGAUUACAAUCUUGCUUGUGUGCAAGUCAAGCUUAUCUAGUUUACACGUAACAACUUAUAGAACAUUACAAAAUUUAUGCUUGCUAAUAACUUCUAGAACACUACAACACUUGACAUGUAAAAGGAAUUUGAUGAGUCAUGGCCUACUAAAGCAAGUUACAUUACUAGUCUUAUCUAUCUUAACAGACCACACAAGAUUACAAACUAUGUACCGUGACAGCCAUGCUUAUCUAGUUUAUGCGUAACAAUUUGCAGAAAAUUACAAACUUAGUUUCAGAAAGAUAGGCAAUCUAGAUUAGUGUUUGAGCUGUAAAGUGAAUAAGAUGAGUCAUGCAUGUCAUCACACCUUUUUGGUGGUGGAAUGAUAGUGCAACAACAAGGAACUUUAAUGACCAGUCCAAGAAUACACUUGUAAGUAGUGCCACCAAACAGAACAUACCAAAUGAUGAUUUUGAGAAGCAUCCAAGCACUUUCCACACAAACAAAUGCCAAUUGUGAAAGAGAUCAUUCCAUGGCAGCUAUAAAUAGCCCCAUAGCAUGACGAUCAUCCUUCCUCAUCCAUCAUUCUCAUAAGUAGAGCACAUCAUUUAAGCCAAGCAAGUUGUGGUCAAUACAAAUCCACCAUGAAGACCUUUCUCAUCCUUGCCCUCCUUGCUAUCGUGGCGACCACCGCCACAACUGCAGUUAGAGUUCCAGUGCCACAAUUGCAGCCACAAAAUCCAUCUCAGCAACAGCCACAGGAGCAAGUUCCAGUGGUACAACAACAACAAUUUCUAGGGCAGCAACAACCAUUUCCACCACAACAACCAUAUCCACAGCCGCAACCAUUUCCAUCACAACAACCAUAUCUGCAGCUGCAACCAUUUCCGCAGCCGCAACUACCAUAUUCGCAGCCACAACCAUUUCAACCACAACAACCAUAUCCACAACCGCAACCACAGUAUUCGCAACCACAACAACCAAUUUCACAGCAGCAGCAGCAGCAGCAGCAGCAGCAACAACAACAACAACAACAACAACAACAACAACAACCACAACAAAUCCUUCAACAAAUUUUGCAACAACAACUGAUUCCAUGCAUGGAUGUUGUAUUGCAGCAACACAACAUAGCGCAAGGAAGAUCACAAGUUUUGCAACAAAGUACUUACCAGCUGUUGCAAGAAUUGUGUUGUCAGCACCUAUGGCAGAUCCCUGAGCAGUCGCAGUGCCAGGCCAUCCACAAUGUUGUUCAUGCUAUUAUUCUGCAUCAACAACAAAAACAACAACAACAACAACAACAACAACAACCAUCGAGUCAGGUCUCCUUCCAACAGCCUCAGCAACAAUAUCCAUUAGGCCAGGGCUCCUUCCGGCCAUCUCAGCAAAACCCACAGGCCCAGGGCUCUGUCCAGCCUCAACAACUGCCCCAGUUCGAGGAAAUAAGGAACCUAGCGCUACAGACACUACCUGCAAUUUGCAAUGUCUACAUCCCUCCAUAUUGCACCAUCGCGCCAUUUGGCAUCUUCGGUACUAACUGAGAAGAAAAUAACUCUAGUACUAGAUAUAUGAAACACCGUUUUCUCAGUCCAUGGUUUGGUCGUUGUAGCGGUGAAAAAAUAAUGUGGCAUGCACUAUCAUGUAAGAACCCAAACUAUACUAGUUCAAACUUGGGAAUAAAAGACAAACACAGGUCUUGUCUACAUAUUUAUGUCGCAUCUAUUUAUAUAUUAAAAGUAAUAUAAGGUGAACCAGGAGCAAGGUAAAUAUGCUAGAAAAUUGCACGUUAAUUAGAAAUUACUAGCCCUCAAUCCGGUAAAUCUUAACAAAUAGAAUUAUCUUGACCGUUAGAUUUAUGUAACAUAUAUAAUUCUCUGGGCCUCCAACGACUGUACGUGACACAUCUGAACGCACAUAUGUUAAAGAAAAUAUAUUUGGUAAAUGGUGGGCCUCUUUAAAAAGAGAACUCACGUACAUGCACCAACUAAGAAAAACACAUACAUGUAAACGGGAAAAGGGCUCCACCCCGUUGAAAAAAUAUACAUCUGGAGGCCACUUUGUUUCCUCAUAAAAAAAAACUUACGUUAAAAAGAUUGCAUGCAUCCCAGGGAAAAUAGUCAAGAAGAAGUCGGACUCUUCCUUACAAAAACAAGGAACGUGUUAAGUUGACUUCAAAGAAAAAAGGAACAUGUUAAGUUAAAAAAAACAAGAAACCUGUUAAGUUAGAAAAAAACAAGGAACGUGUUGUCCUAGGAAAGAUAUGUGUCAAAUCUUACAAAAAAAAGAAUACACACACGUACGUUCAUGCACUUGGAAAAUAGAAAAAAAAAGGAACAUCACGUAUGUAUACACUUCGGAAACUCAUUACAUGACCAUGUCUGAUAUACUCCUCUAAUGCUUAAUAUUAGUGCCUAAUAAUUUAUAUUUAAAAUUUAAUUUACUGAUCAAAUAUCCCCACUGUUUAAAUUUUAAUUUGGCACAUUGUUUGGCUAUAGUAUGAACCUAAAUUUCCUCUUAUUAUUAUAUAUCAUGAUAAUAAUCCAAAGGCGACUAAUCUGCGCCGGCGCACCGGCGCAAUCAAUUCGGCCCGACACAGCGCGGCCGUUUGAUUAAAUUGCAUUUAACCGUCAGAUCUAGAAUCAUUUUAUUUCCAAUUAAACGGAUUCAACCAAACAGCAGAGGGGAAAACAAAGCAGCACCGCCGCCAACACUAGUCAUGGACGACCGAUGUAGCAAAACCUUGAAGAACCGCCGCCGGUCGCCACCCUCGCCGCUGGUCGCCGCCCUCGCCGCCUGCGUUUCUCAUCGGCUUCAUGCAUGCAACAACAUGCACUCGUGAUUGCAGGCUUGCAGCUCCGGCUCCGGGGGACAUGGCCGCAUCUCCGGUAGCGCCGGCCGCCAGCCGCAGCACCUGUCGUUGUGGUCACGCUGUACCUCGCCGUGUGCCCUCCCAAGGCUCUUGCUGGUUCCAACAAAAAACGAUACCUAUUGUAGCAAAAAAGUUUAUCGCUUCCAGCAAAAAAGCUUACCGCUAUAGCCCGCCAUCAUCAUUGUAGCAAAAAUGUUAACUCGAUGUAGCUUCUGUGGUUGCCGACUGCGGCCAAAAAUGACGUGGUUGUAGCAAAACACAAAAGAAAAACGCCGGCCGUCCGCUGUGUAUGGUGGUAACAAACCCUAUAGCCGGUGGUAGCGAAAAACUUCACUGUUUGCAGCAAAAAAAUGUUGUCGCCCGUCGUCGAGGUUGCAUCAUCUUCAUGAAUUAUGUCGCAAAAAAACGUUGUCGCCGGUAGUAGCAAAUGAAGCCGCCGGUAGUAACAAAACAAGACACUGGUUCCAGCCAAAAAAAUCAGCGACAGAACCUUUUGUUGGUUCCAACAAAAAAACUUGUCGGUUGUAACAUCCCUCGCCGCCGGAUGUAGCAUCUCCCAGGGCUAGUUGCAACACUCCAUAAAAAAAGUUGUCUAUGAGCGCAUCCAUGGCAACUGCUGCACCGUCAGCAACGAGGGGAAGAGGAGGCAAUGAAAAUCGUUCGAGUCGUAGCUCCACUGGACACGGCUGCAGCAUGGGGAGUCCAAAAAUCUGUCACAAGCAAGAUGCGCCUCGCCAUCCUCCUGCGCAGGAGAGAGAAGAAAAAGGAAUAAGAGGAAGAAGAAACGAAACGGGAGAAAGAAAAAAAGAAACGAUUGGUUGUGGGCUCAGGCAAUUAGUCAAAUGAGGGGCACGCGGGGCCGUAGGAUACAGCGCAAUCGAACGAAGUGCGCGCGUCCGGCCGAAGACUCAGCUGGACUGCCGGUCCAGCUGGAAAUGUUUCCCUAAUACAAAGGCUUUUCUGAAUGACAAGUCGUCUGAGUUAUCGGCUAACUAGAAAAAAGAUAAAUAUGCUAGAUAAUUCCAUAAUAAUUAGAAAUAUCUAGCCUUUAAUUAUGUAAAUCAGAAAAUCACAACCGUUGGAUUUACUUUAAAGGUAAAUUUCUCUAAAUUCCCACCAUUGCCAGUAUGUAGAAACAUGUGCUGCUUCAAUUCUCCCUUAAUCACCAAUCAAUCAACAACUGAAAACAUACCUCAGUUAAAAAAACUGAACAAAAAAAAGAAAAAAAGAAGAAAGGACAAGAUACACGCAUGUACACGACAGCCUUGGCUUGAAACACAUCAGUAGAUCAAGUGUCCGCCUCCCUUACACAGAAUAAAUUCUAGGGAAGAAAAUAAUAGUGCAACCUAACCUUAUACGUACUAUUCUAUCCUCACGUCCCAUGAGGUUUACUAGCCUACUGCCGCCGCAUCAUGCCAUCCUCUCCUUUCAGCUCCCUCCUUGCGGCGCCACUACUCGCCUAGGGAUAUUGCUGCUCAGACCGUGGAGCUUAACCUGCUUCUUCUUCAGCAAAUAUGGAACUGCUUUAGGAUCCUUCUGACAUCAGCGCGUAUGGGCCUCAUUAUACUGCAGCUCCUGGACCUCCUACAAUUGGUUGGCUAUGGCCAGUUGAUCGAUGUGCUGAAGUCCAGGUCUGUUUGCUGGCACAUAUGCUUUGGAAAUAGGCCACUAUGUUUGUACUUCGAAAUUGUUUCUGUAUUCUUCAGUGGUACAUCCUUUUAAGCGCCAGUUUUUUAUGUUAAUUCAUGCUGACAACACUUAACCUAGCCUUUCAUGUUCACGUACUAAAUACAGGAGCAAGUAAAAACAACAGACCACCUAAUUGCUCUGCAAGUUCUACAUAGGAAAAUUUGUCAUGUUCUACGAUCGCACCAUCCCACCCUUCUCUCUUGGUAUGGGCGCCAAUUGAGGGAUUGAUAAAACUGAAACGAAGACGUCACAGGGCUGGAAGUACCGCUAGCCUGGUUCGCACUGCAACCUACCCAACGCCAUCAGAAACUAGCAACUGAGUCAGGUGUUGAUCGAUUCUCUCAAAUUGCUCUCAUGUAAGUACUACCCCUUGCAUGUGCGUACAUACCUUUGUUGCAUUCUCAAACAGAUAGAACAUGUAUGAUCGGUGCAUGGCUAUUUUUCAUCACAUGACAUCCAGAUAACAAGCAUGAAAGGACUACAUUGGAGAUCAAAAAAUAUUGGUUCCUGGCUAGAGUACCACUACCUAUGGACUUGUCUCCAUAGAAUUUGUUCCCAAGAUGUUAUUUUAAUUAACCUCUUUAGCUUUCUUCCGUUGCAAACGGUGAUGUGCAUCAUGGUAUAUACGUGACCAUCUUGCACAUGUAUACACAAGAGGCUCAGACGGAGGUGCUGGAUUCUGGACGAGGGAAUAUGAAGCAGGAGUGAGCGAAGAGUAAAUAAUGGUGGGAGUACCGAUUGGUGUUAUGAAGAAAAAUGCCAUCCAAAGAUUGAUUAGUGUCAUGGAAGAUUAAUUUCUGAAUGCGAAUAUAUAUGUUACAUUGGUUUGGAUCUUUUUGAGAUAAUUGCACCUAAAUUAGGUUCUUUCUUAUUUCAUAUGUAUACCUUAUUUCAGUAAAAGUUCACAACGAACUUAGUAGGACAAAUAUAAUUUUGUUUGUUCUUUCUGUUGUCCGCCACCAAAGCUCAGUUUGAACUCUCUAGAAAUGGACAAUGAUUUAUGCAUUCUAUAUCUUCUUGAUUGAUUAGCCAUGACAAGGAAAUAAAAGGAUUGACUGAUAUAGCAUAACUUUGGAACGAUCUGUUCGUAGAGGUUACUACAAAUUAGAGUAGUGUCUGUUGGAAUUUUGCUAGUAGGCCUUUGGCCCAAAGCCCAACUAAAAUUCUGAAAUUCUCUUCGCUCAUUCAUGCACACAUGUGAGUGGAGUGAGUGAGACUAAAGUUUAGAGAGAGUUGCACCUCUUUAUAAGGUGAGCUCUUCUACCACUUGUAUGAGCAUGAGAAGAGGAGACCUAUACACGCGCUCCUCCUCCUCGCUCACCACGUCUCGUCACGCCGCGCCGCGCCGCGGAUUGCGGGAUUGAGCCGAGCCGAGGACGUUGUCUAUAUUUUUGCUGUUUGGGAAAAAUUAAUAAGUCAUUAAUUAAUAAUUAAUGGAUGCGUUAAUUACUGAACCAUUUUCGAUUCUUUUGGAUCGUGACGACUCGGACGUGGGGUUUACUCCCACGAUCUACCCGGCCCACACUAUAUAGUCAGGCAGACGUCUACCCUAGCCGCCGCCACUUCGUAUGGUUUCUCACCACCGUUACAGAUCGUUGCGCCGCCAAGCAAGUUUUCUCCAUUCCUCCUGUCGGCAUGCACUGGGAGAAGGGACAGCAGGCCUCCGGAACCCCGCCUCUCGUGAUCCUGUACGGGAGAGGGGCGAUCAGAUUUUUGGGGAGCGCACUCGCACGACUGCUGGCAGCGACGACUUCGCAAACGACGACUUCUUCCCCGACCUCGGCAACCUCAUCCUCGACUUCUGCACCGUAUGUUAUUCUAUCCUUCUUGUUCGAGAUCGUGGUAGAAUUCAGAUUUCUAGCAUGUUCCCUAGAUGUGAUUUGUUCAUCUACUAUUCUAAUUCGCAUGAUUAGUUUAAUCUUUGCUAUUGCUGUCAUGAUCUAUUUCCUAUUUAUUCGGAUUAAAUCUCGUAGUAAUUUGCUCAUUUUUCCAACAGUGCCAUCUAAUAGAUGAUGUAAAUCUCCUCAAGUUUGACGUUGUUGAGCUAAUUUACAAAAAAAACCUCAUCAUUAUUGGAUGUCCUUAACAGCUCAAGAACAAGUUGGGGUCGAAAUAAUGGAUUUUACACUUUUACAUUAAAGGUUUAGCUAAAGCAAGCAGGUGUUUUUAAACCUGAAUUUUUUUCCUCCUGAAUUUCUUUGUAUUUUCUUAUUGACACUAUUUAUACAAUCAUCUGACAAAGAUUAGCUAAAGCUGUUUGUAGAUACGUUCAAACCUGAAAAGCUUCUUUGGUUAUCCUUUUAAUAGUUCUACGUUUAUUUUCUCAUAGGUCUUAAUUCUUAUGUAAUACCAAGAUGCAUUGUGGUAGUGUACAUGUGUUAAAUUCAGGUUGUUAUUCACAAUUUGCGACAAAAUUUAGCUCACGCUACAUUUAAAUAUGUUGAAAUGUGAAAGCUCUUUUUCUUCUCCUUUCUACACCUUGCAUCGGAUUGCAUCCCUUUAGUUAUCCAACAUUUUGUACAACAUGUAGAGAUUAGGAAGUUCAUCAUAGUUUGUCUAUUUCCGUGCUAAUAAAUGUAUGAAAUCUGCAUUUCCAAGCUACUAGGACAAGUAAAAAAUAAUAAUUUUACUAUAGGAUUCAAAAACAGCAGUUCUGAAGUGCACUUUAUUUAUUUGUGAAAGUGAUCACAUUUUGUUUCAUUUUUCUAUAGACAAAUCUACUAAUACAUACUCACGAUAAAACUAUAAAAGUUCUAGUCCGCACAUUGGGCGGGCCACCCGGCUAGUUAGUCUAAAGAUAACAAAAUGAGUCUGGAAUUUGAAUUAAAUUGAAGUAUUUUCUUGGACUAUCCACAUCCUUGGCUUGCCCCUGAUCAAUUAUUUCCAGAGAAGCAUUCAAUUCAUCAAUCAAUUACAUUGAUUUUAGUGGCUGGUACUUCUCCUCGACAUCAGUAUAUUCACCGUGGCCACUCCAAAUCGGCAAGAAUGAGGUACCAGUGCUCUGGAGCAGUGCAAGCUAAUUGCUUCUCAUGUGAAGGGGUGCGGGCGCGGGAGAGGUAUUUCUGGUGGGCCAAGGGAUAAGAAGCGACCGUGGCAGCGGUACAGACGCCCGCAAAGCCCCAUAAUUUGUUUUUGGUUUACAGGAAAAAUGCACAUCCAUACCGGCCUGGGGAAUAUAGCACUGUAUUGCAUGGAAAACCAUGUCCGGAUGGUUGUGAGCGGUUUGAGGGUUAGCUUUUGUAACGCCCGGUUAGUUAUGCUAUAGCAAUUCCCUGCUAAUGAUGUCACGUCACCACGAUUACUGUUGUUAACCUCACAAUGAUUCAAUCCCGUUCAAAUUCAAAUUUGAAAUAAAGGUAAACAUCAAAAGUUUUCAAACAUUAAAACUAAAAUCUUUGAGAGGUGACAAAUAAUGCAUAAGUAAUUAUGGUGAAGAAACCACACUUUAAUCAAAUGUUUAAAUACUCUAAAAUGAAAAAAAAACAGUGACUUAAACUAUUAUUUAAAUGCUUUUAAAAUAGUAAAAAUCUUCUAACUAAAUUAUUUGGGUACCAAACUUUUGGUGGCAGUGGUAUAUUUAGUAGAACUAAUUUAGAUGCUAAUUAUAUAAUUUACAAAAUUAGAGUAAAUUGAAAAAUAGGAUAAAACGGAAAAAGGAAAGACAAAACAAAUAAAAGCAAAAGGGGGCAACCCCUCGCUGGGCCUCGGCCUAGCUGGCCACUAGACUAGCUAGGCUGGCCCCGCCGCCUCCCUUAACCCCCCACUCCCCAUCGAACCCAAGCCCGAUCGCCCCAUUUCCCACACACCCCCUCGCUAGUCUCCCCACCUCUUGAUCCCAUCUGGAUCGGGGAGGGUAUUGCCCCCAUCAACCCCGUUGCCGUCGCCGGAUCGCCCGCCGACGUCGGCAGGCCUCCUCCCCGUCGCCCGUCUCCGGCUCACCUCCCCUCUCGCUCCUCUUCCCCGACCCGAUCUGGAUCGUGAACGAGCAAUGAGCUCGAAGCCCCCCUUCACCAGCGCCAUCACCGUGCGCCACCACCACCACCUGAAGACCUCACCGUCGCUGAACCUUGCGUCGCCUCCUUGUAUCCCUCCCCUACUCGCAUCCUCAAGCCAGGCCGAGCCCCUUCUCGGCAACGCUGUGAGACGCCCCCGUUUCCCUCCUCUUUCCACCGCGUUCACCGCGCCGCCCGCCGUGCCCCUCGCCGUGCAUGAGCCCACCACCGCACCAGCCCCCGCUCCGCGCACGACCCUACCCGCGCCCGCGCCAUGAUCCCCUUUUCCGCCCUACCUUCACGCGCUCGCCGCGAUCCCCAUGCUCCCCCGCGCCCUCUUUCGGGGGCGCCGACUGCCCCUGUCCCGGUGCUCGCCGCCGUGCCUCGCCACCGCUCUACUGCUACGUUACUACUGCGCUGCGGCCGCCGCCUCUUCCCGCUGCUCCGCUAGCGCCGAAGCUCCCGGUUGGCUCCACCACUGCUCACGUUAAACCGCCGGCCUAAAUGGCCUAACCCUCGGCUAAUGAACCCCCACUAACCCACUGACACCGGGACCCACAUUCCCUAAUUAACCAUUUAAUAAAUUAACAUUAGUGUAUGACAUGUGCGUCCCCUGUUAAUUAAUAAUUUUACUGCUAGUUUUAUUAGUUUCUGUUUUUCUGCAUAUUUCUUUUGUAUUUGAACAGGCUUUAUACAAUAAUAUUUAGCGUAUCAUACACAUACAAAUGUAAUCAUAGCAUAUACAUACAAAUAGUCUCAUCAAAUCAUGUCAUCAUCAUAAUCAUCAUCCAUCACAAAGUGGUCUCUGGUCAUCAUCUCGAAAAUAGCGAUACAAGUCUCGAUUACUUGCAACUACAUCGUCAUCCAUCUAAACAAUGAUAUACACGAGAAGAGCUCUCACUAUGAGUGAGAGCGGAACUAUGCAGUACAUGAGUUUGUAUCCCUCUCUCGCAUUAGCGUGAACCUAAACUAACGACUGGCUGUUGCUCGGAAACCGGAAACCGGUACACCUGGGCCUGACACUCCGGCCACUCAUCGUAUACUCCUGGCGUAGCACUUCUUCGCCAUCGAUGAUCUAUGCACCUGCAUCGUCACAUGAGUCGAUGAUAUGCAACAUAUAUAGUUGAGCAACAGAAAGAGACAGACUUGGCAAAAAUAGAAGCAACAUAUCACAAGUAUAAAUAACAAAGUUAAUGUUUUGCAGGAUUACAACUCAACCCAUUGCAGAUUAGAAAACAAGCCCGUAUGAAUGCACAGGCUGACGACUAGUCUAUCUAUACCUAUACCUAUACCUAUACCUAUACCUACCUAUACUAAUUACAGACUCCCAAGGAAUUCCCACGUUAAUUAGUAAUUAGGAGUCGUUAAUCUUGUGGGACCAAAUUAUUACGACAGUCCACGAUCUCUUUUCUCUCUGUGUAAAAAAAGGUCCACGAUCUCUUUUCUCGGUUGUAAAAGAUAAAGGCAACUCAGGUCCACGAUCUCUUUUCACGGUUGUGAAAGAUAAAGACAACUCCCGUCUUCUUCUAAUCUAUAGUUCUAUACCUCCACGACCCCUUUCUCUCCCCAUUUAAAAGGAACAAGCUGAACCAAUAUCUAAGCAUGCAAUUGGUUCCUGUGCGGUCUUGACCUUCCAUCCGUCCACUGCUCGAUCGGCCCUCCCUCAACUACAAGCUGACAAGCCACCAUCGCCAUCCAGCGGCACGCCACCGUUCAUGCAUGUGUUUUUGCCCUUCAAUCUGAAGGAGAUGCGUUGGCUACUCAAGUAACUCUGUUUGUUUUGUUCAAACCAAUUUCGUUAAUUCGGUUCUUUGAUUAUCUAAUUGACAUGGCCUGUGAGUUUUGUGCUAGUGAUACAGGGCCUGUCUACUAGAUUCUCUCCUUGCAACUUCUAUUGUUGUCUCGAUUUGGUGUGGUCAAGAUCCUUGCCCCACCACAAGCAGCACCUUUGCACCAUCGGGGAAAUCUGUCAUAGCAAACAGAGGUAUGUAACAUGCUUUGGUGUUUUCCUCUUUCGUUUAGAUCACUAGAGUUGCUCAACCACACCAUUCAUUGAUUAGUAGUUGGCCUGAGAAGUUGCUCGGUCACCUGCAGCGUCUGAUCCCCUUCUUGACCCUCUCCUUCUGGUCAUUAUCCACCGGCAGGUCAAUGCAAAACGGAUCGUUCGUUGCCGCCACCUUGCGGAGACCGAUGUUUGGCUGCCCUCCUGCCAUCCUGGCACUCUGGUACCGGUCACUGUGCCGUUGUUCUAGAAGAACUAUGUCACACGAAGCGAGAUAUCUUCUUACUAAUCUGGAACAUAAGUGUUUCUUCUUACUAGGAUUCGCUCACCGGUGCAUUCAUCUCUUUUUGGAAAAUACGGCCUUCAUAUUUCACACGCCUAUACAUGGGUGCUGUCCCAACAAUAAUCCAUCUAAUCCAUGAUGCACAUUCAUGAAGACUGAUGUGACUGAAUUAAUAUAUCAAUCUGGUGCUUCCGGAUCAGCACUUGAAGAAGCAACCCCUUUAGUUCAUAAAUUUAUCAUACGAAAGUCAGGGGAAAAAUCAACUAAGUCAUGUGUGCUUUUCUAAUUAAUUACUAUACACUAAUUCCAUUUUUUUCAGUAGCAGGCUAGGAUACGUGGAUUGUGGCAGCACAGAAGUAAACCGAUGAGCUACAUUGGCCGUUCACCAGUCAUCGGAUCAGAAGCCAUGUCGACCAGAGGGACGGAACAGUUCUAUAUUAGGCGAUGGAUACAUGUGGAAGCAACUAAGCAUAUGUGGAUGCAUGUGAUCGCAUAGGUAAGGCCAUAGCUGUUCAAGCCCUACAGGAUCUUUAUUGCUGGUUUUAAUUAUGAGUUUACAACACCAUCUAUACAUACUACUUAUCCAUUUAUUUCCUUACCUUCUUUGUUUCUUUCUCUCCUUGAUCCCCUGUCAAAAGGGCAUCAACAUCCAUAUGCGCAACGGCACACGCAACAAACUAUGACUUCGGUUGCACGUCCAAUGGCAACCACAGUACAUGAUGAUAUCAUGUUUGCUGCAAGACGAAGUACAAGUUCAUAAUUUGGUCUUUUGCAUGGUCCCUUAGUAAAUUAUAUUUGUCCACAUACACCACAUACAUAAAAACAGGUAGAAGCGGUUGCAUGAUGAAAAUGUCCUCUCAAUAUGCAUGCCUAUGAAUACUAUCACCAGAAAGCCAAGGACUAACAAUUAUUCAGGGGUCAAGAUUGAAGACAGACGUCCAAGAUUGGCAGUCGGCCGGCCUAAGAGGGGCAAAACCGUUGUACAUUAUAUUGUAUGGACCUAGCAAGAUCCUAAAGAUAAGUGAUAAUGGAGAUCAUGGGGGCCACCCUUAUAACCAUAUGUCCAAAUGUUCUUAUUUGUUUAUUUUUCUUUUCUCUUUUCGGAAGAAUCCAUCCUGCCUCUAUGGUCAUCCUGACCACUUCGUAUUGUUAUCUAAUCUCCUCCCUUAAUUAAUAUAAAGAAUUACCGCAGCUGAAUUCACUAAAAAAAGUAUUCAGUUUAUUUUAAUUUAUUCAACUAUUAUGGCAUAUCAAUUGGAUUGCAAGUUCUUGGCGGUUGCAUUUGAAUCAUAUUUGAUGUGCACAAAGGCUUCAGUGUCAAGGUGGUCGGACGAGUAUUUAUGUCCAUUAUAUAUGUGUUAGCUUGAGAUCAUCAGGCACCUGUUAUGCAUCUGUCCAGUUAAAAGGAUGUUCAGACUCAGGCUUGCCCUACCAUAUAUGGCUGUGACACUCUGAACCAAGCAAGUUGGUCAUAUGUGUCGAGCACUAUUAACUCUUUGGAAGAGGAUCCACCAAGUACAGGAAACAAAUCAAAUAUCUUCUUAACCUUAUCACCAGAAAAAUUAGCAAGAGAUGAAUAGUAACAUUUUAAAGAAGAAAGAUAUGUUUGAAAAGGGAUAUAUAUUAUGGCGACGAUUAGAAGAGCCCUUGACGAAUGGUGCCUAGCCUGCGAAAGUUUCUUAUGAAUAUAGUCAACACUCUAUAUCAACUGUUGUAAGAUUUUAGAAAUAUUUUUGGGGACAUAUGAUACAUGUCUAUUAUACAUAUGAUUCAACAGAAGUUUGAUUGAAUACAUAUUUAAAACGUGACUGACUUCUAUAUGGACGGAGUAUUUCACAAAGGACUCACUGCCAACUGUGUGAAUAUUCCAAGAUAGUUAGUGCACAUAAAUGUUCAAAUCCAUAGCCUGCAUAAAUAUACAAAAGCAAUGUGUUAGACCACUACACAUGCUUCUGAAAGGAGGCAAAAAAAUGUAUGCUUGAUUGAUGACCGUUCAUGCAUGAAAUUAAUUUCUGAUUUCUAAUUAUUUUGGUCAUAUAAUGGAAAUAGAGACAUUAUAAAGAUCCAACAGCAUGCUAUCACACACGUGUGAACACAGACACACACAAAUAACAUUUGCCGAGCACUCACAAAUAAAAGGUGUGGCUACUCUUGGGUGUUCUACAGCUGGCUUAAAAAAACACGUAUGAAACAUGAUCCCCAAAAAUCUGAAAUUCGCAACAUAUGAAAAUCCACCCUCAAACAUAUUUCUGGUGUCUCAAUUCUUUUAGUUUCAGAUGGUAUGUCCAGCCAAAGUAGUUGUACACAUACAUUACUAUGUUCUAUUAUUUGAGAUUCUAAGACAACAUUUAGUAACUAGCCCGUGCGAUGCACGGGUUCACGACUAGUAUAUAUAAAGCUUAAUGGUGCCUAAGAAAGCUCGCACAAUUUUACAGUGGCUGUGGAGAUGUGUUGCCAAACUGAGACAUAAGAUUUUCGUUUGGCAUCCAGAGUUGCAGACCGCUUGUGUUAUCCUUAAUCCAUGGCCACUCUAAUUUUUCCGGCUGGGCCUUCCCUGUGGUACGGCAGCAAGGCUUGCGUGUGUAUAUGUUUCCUUUAACUACCACUAGCACAUAUGCCCGUGCGUGCGUUGCAAGGGGAGAGAUAAUGGCGUAUCCACCAAUAUAUCUAGCAGCAUGACCCAACAACAUCCGAAUGAUGUCACCCGACGACGGCAGGAAGGCACACACAGAGGUCUAGUAAAAACUCAACAAUUGUACGGGCAUGGUUAAUUCGCGUGAAUUCAAGGGUGUGAGAUUAGUUAGUGUUGGUCCCACAAUUGAAUUCGGGGGCUGAUUAGUUAGUGUGGGCCCACCCUUGAAUUCACCGGGGGAGACAAAAUAAUUAGGGUGAGGAGAGAUUUACGGGGCUUGGUCCCCAGAUGCGUUGCGGCAGUCAUUAUUCGAGCAUUGCAAUGCUCGCACGUGAGGAGCUCUUUUUCCAAUUGUAUAUUGAGAAGCAUUGCUACAGAUACAAUGUUUUUGAUACGUUUUUGUACGAUGAUCCUGAUCUUAAAGGGCCUUCUAAUUUUUAAAUCUUAAAGGCAUUAUUUGUAAGUUGUCGUGAAAAAAAUCUCGCUAAAAGGGUUAUGUUAGACCAUCUUCAGUACAUUAGAAAUAACGAAUUAUAAUUCCUUGGCAUUUGAACAAACAAUCCCUACUUAUUUACACAUACAAUACUUUUGGUAUGAUUUUGAAAUCUUGAAGGCAUUAUUUGUAAGUUGAAGCAAUUUUGAAAUCUCACUAAAAGGUCUGUUAGACCAUCUAUAGCUUUAGAAAUAACUAAUUAUAAUUUUGCAAAAAAAAGAAAUAACUAAUUAUAAUUCCUUAAGCAUCUGACCGAAACGACCCCGAUUUAUUGUCUGGGUAGUAAUUCCUUUGCAACAUUAUUCUCUCCUUUCUUGAAGGAACUCUUGCCUGGGUAGUAAUUCCUUUGCCCACGUAUUUGCAAGGUUAUUCUCUCCUUCAUUUUUACAGGAGCUCUCCUUCCUUAUACUAAUUGGUCAUUAUCCUCUCCUUCCUUUUUCUUUUUGCCAAACUCUCUUUCCAUAUUUAUGCCGCUAACCACGCCACUCUUUUUCCUUAUUUAUGCCCUUUGAUCACGCCACACAUCUCAUGAAAUCUAAGCCAUAUAUAUCACCCAUCUUUUUUCCUUAUUCCGGUGCUUUCCUCACAAACAGUAGUUCUCUAGGAUGCUUAACGAUUUUGAAACAGAAACAUAUAUAAAUCGGUAGAACGGGUUGUAAAGCAGCGAGGUGGUACUAAUUUAUAAAGAAACAAACCUUUUCUUUUUGUGUAAUGAUGCCUUGGUUCGGCUGGUUGCGUUGGGAAAAGGACCGGCGAAGUGGGCGAACCAAAAACGGAUAAAAUUACGGUGGUAAGAAGCGAUAGCCCUUUUAUUAGUAGGUAUGAGGAUGUCUAGGAUGUCUAGGAUGAGGAUUUACUGCACACAAGUGCGGGGGCACUCAGGUCCUGAUGCCGCCUUUUUAUUUUGGCUUCCGAUUUUCAAACUUCUAUAUCUUUUAAACAAAAAAUUCAAUUUAAGUUACGUUUUCAUAUUCGUGCUUCUCGCGGCCAGCGCUUUCAAAUAAGAUCCAUUUUGCAUACAUUUUGGUGGCUUUUGGAAACGGGCGAAUAGCUCCUAUGCGACGUUGUUGGUGUGUAUUGUCUCUCAUGCGACGUUGUUGGCUGUAAUAGCUCUCAUGCGACAUCUGCGUUGGAAAAAAUAGCUCCCAUGCGACACACCAUUUACGCGGCUAGUUGGCUGUUAGUUAGGCUGAGGUUUGGUUAGGACACUGGGGGUUAUGUGCUCUGACUGGUGGGGUCCACCUAUGGUCACGUAGACAAGAGUCAACCGUCCACGACUCGACCUGGGACUGUGUGACCGUGCUCGACUCACCCGUGCUGGACUGAGUGAGCGGUGCCGCCGUAAGCAUCUUCUCCGACAGCGGUUUCUUCUCCGCGGUGGUGGAGCGCAUUUCUCGGCAGCGGCAGAGCUAUUGCGAGGUGAGCCCGAAACCCUAGUCCCACUCCCCAGAAUUUUGGGGGAUCUGUGGCCUCAUGCUGCCCUCUGUUUCUUGGCGAUUUAGAAUCGGGCUCCAUUGGAUCCGGGGGUUGUUUCUUCUCCGUGGCCCGGUGGUGGAGCGCCUAUCUCUGUAGCGGCUAUUGCGAGUGAGUAUUUUCCAAACACUACUCGCAUUCCACUAAAUUUUGGAUAAAUCUGUGGCCUCAUGCUGCCCCUAUUUCUUGGCGUUUUAGAAUCUCGAUUGGAUAGGAGAUGGAGCGAGGGCUGGAUGAGAUGGAGCGAGGAGACAGUGCUUCAAAUCGGUAAUGCCACACUCUUUUCUUGGCGAUUUAGAAUCGAACUCGAUUUGGUAGUGACUGCCGCCGCUGCCUGCCAUUGACAAAACAGGGGAGGUUCAAGUUCUGCCACCACAUUCACAAUUAUAGUGGAAUUUUUUCCCUGUAAAGCCAAGCUCAGUGAUGGCAGUGUCCAAGACAUUGAUAGAGAUACCACCGUGAGGUUCGAUGUCGAAUUUGCAGAUGUUGAUCCCCAGGAAUUGGAGAGCAUGAAGGAGAAGGCCGUGGGCAAUUUGGUGGAGAGAAUUGGGGAGAAUAUUGUUUGGGGUCCAGAACAAGAGGUAUGUCUGCAACGUUUCGAUAACUAUAAUGGUGAAUAUGUGAGAAUUGAAGAUGGAGAAUCCAUGGUUGCUGAAAUUGAUCAGCAAGAAGGGUGGGCAACUAAACAAGUAACAUUUUAUGCAGAGCUAAUUGAUCUACAAACUCAUUCCAGAGUUGGUUAUGUGCAAUCAAAGAGGGCUGCACAGAUGGAAGAUGAUGAGUGGGUUUCACAAAAGAAGAUGUUGGCAUUGUUGACUGAACCGACUGUAGUAGCUGAAGAUACAGGGAUUGAUGCAGAUGGAGAGGAGGGAACCCAUGGUGCUAGGAAGAUUGUUGUUGACUGGAAUGUAGUAGAGUUGAAUGAAAAAACAGAUUUGGUCAUUACACCAAUAUCUGACAUUGAUAUGGCCGAAAUGUUUGGCAUUCAAGUUGAUGACAAAGAUAAGGAGAAGGAUGACAGUUCUUUGCCUGCUGAAGGAACAUAGGCCCUAGAAAUGCAAAUGAGGAUGAAGAACAGCUGAUGAGAGAGGCUGCAGAUGAUGUGGAUGAUGCAGAUGAUAAUGAGUUGGUUUGUUUGUAUGACAAAGAGAACCCAGUUAUUGAGGUGGGAAAGUUGUGGCCAAGCAUGAAGGAGUUUAGGAUGUCUUUCAGGACCUAUGCAGUGAAAAAGAGUUUGAUGCCAAGACUAUGUGGACUGAUUGAAAGAAAUUUUAUGCUCGGUGCAAAGGUUAUGAUGGUGGUGGCAAUCCUUGCAAAUGGUACUUGUCUGCCAGACUACAACCUGAUUGAAGUACAGUAAGGGUAAAUCAAAUACCACACCAGCAUACAUGUAUGACCACUUCACAGAGAGUUUCAAAGAUGACAUCACAGCUUUGGGUUACAGAGAAGAUUACUCCUAUUUUAGCCAAGACUCCAAACACUACUGCAAAGAGGCUUAAAGUUGACUUGGAGAAGCUGUACCCCAUCCAGCUGCAAUAUACCACAGUGUGGAAAGCAAAACAAAGGGCCAUGAAAUCAUUGUAUGGUGACUGGGCAAAUACAUUUAGGAUGUUGUAUAGUUUUAAAGCAGAGGUGGAGAAGAGGUCACCUGGGAGUGUGGUGGAGAUAGAUACAGAGGUAACAGAGGAUGUCAUGGUUUUAUUCAGCAAGUUUUUUAUGUGUUUGAAGCCAUGCAUAGAUGGAUUCAAAGCAGGUUGUCGUCCAUAUUUGAGCAUAGACUCAUCUUUUUUGACUGGAAAGUGGAAUGGUCAGUUGGCUGCAUGCAAUGCUCUAGAUGGACGCAACUGGAUGUUCCCAAUUGCAAUAGGAAUGUUUCAAUCAGAGACAGAGGCAUCAUGGAUAUGGUUCAUGAUGCAACUGAAAAGAUGUAUAGGGCCAGUUUCUCCUUUAGCCAUCCACACAGAUGCAUGUAAAGGGUUCGAAAAUGCAGUAAAAAAUGUUGUCCCCCAUGCUGAGCAGAGGGAGUGCUUUGGACAUAUGUGGAUGAAUCUGAUAAAAAAAUUAGAGGAGAUGAAUUUGGGCGCAUGUGGCCAGCAGCAAGAUCCUACACCAGACAGACACAUUCCUAUCACCUUGGUAAGAUAUUGGCAUCAUGUAGUGAUAAUGAAUUUGCUUCAUGGUUGAACACCCGCCAUUCUCUGUUGUGGUAUAGAUCAGGUUUUAAUACUGCCAUAAAAUGUGAUAAUAUCAAUAACAACUUGGCAGAAAGUUUUAACAACAAAGUGAAGGAUUUGAAAGACUUGCCUGUGCAUGACAUGGUGGACCAAAUAAGGAUCAUGAUCAUGCGUUUGUGGGAGUUGAGAGGAAAAAUUGCUAAUAUUUUGGAAGGGGACAAGCUUCCAGCAGUGGUACAAUAGGUGGUCAACAGGAGUAGAAAUCUUUCACAUCUAUCUGUUGAGAAAUCUUCCUUGUGGGGUGCUGAAGUUAGAGAUACAAAGAGUGGCAAGAGGCAUGUGGUAAAUACUGAGUUGCAUGAGUGUACUUGCCGAGAGUGGCAACACACUGGAAAACCAUGUGAGCAUGCCAUACUUUUUUUGGCAUCUAAACCCAGGUUAAAUAUGCACCCAUAUUUGCAUGAGUAUUAUUCAGUACAAAAAUUCAAAGCUGCAUAUGCAAGUCCAAUUCCUGCACUGACUGACCAAUCUCAGUGGCCUGAGGUGGAAAUAGAAUUUACCUUGUGUCCCCUGUCACUAGAAGAAAGGCUGGGAGGCCUAAACAGAGCAGAUUCAAAGCUUGGUUUGAGAAAGGUGGUUGUAGUAAGAAGGGGAAAAAAGAAAAGAAAAAGAAUGAUAAGCCCAAAAGGGCUCAAAAAGGUAAGAAAAAUAGGUGCAAGUUGUGUGAGGUACUUGGGCACAGAAUUGGUUCAUCCAAGUGCAUCUAUACUCCUCAGAGGACAAAGUAUGUUCAUGUUACUGUUUUUACAAGUUUUUGAUUUUGUUACUUGUUCUAGUAUCUAACCAAGUCAAAUGCUUUAUUUUUUAGGAGGAAGCGUGCAGAAAAAGCCCCACCUCUUGUUGUUGAACAAUGCUGGCCAGUGAAAAAAGCAAGACUCAAUGGCUAUAUAGAAGGAAGAGCACUAAGCAGAUAAUGUUUGGUGACAAAGAUAUGGAGCUAACUGAAACUGUUACUGCUGAACAUGAGCUAAGUGUUUCUGUUUUGGACGAUGUGAUGCAUACUGAAUCUGUUUUGCAGACGCUAGGGCAAUCUGAAACUGUUGCAGAUGAAGCAACGGUUGUGCUGCCAUGCGAAUCUGCUUUGACAACUGUGUUGCCAUGUUUGGAGGUUGUGCUGCCAAGUGUUGAGUUGCAAACUGAAGUAGUUGAACAAUUUGUGCCAUCUACUCAAUCUGCAGAAGUGCAAACUGAAGAAGUGCAAACUGAAGAAGUGGGACAUGGUCAGGUGAAAAAGUUGAGGGGGCCUAGUGGAGUUUGCAAGGGGCCAAAAAGCAAGAGCAUCAACAUCAACAAACUAUGCGCCGUGGAACCAAACGAUGGAAAAAAGCAGAAGAAAUCGAGUGGUAGAAAGAAGCAAAAGAAAUAGAGUCGAAAUCAUUCAAAUUUGAUGUGAAAACUUAAGUUUGUUGUCAUUUGAUGUGAAAACUUAUGUUCUUUCAUGUGAAAACUUAUGUGCUAUGAUGUUGAUUUGACUUGAAAUAAAAUUCAAAUUUGAACCGACAUUCAAAUUUGAACCUAUCUCCAAAUUUUUUUGAGUUCAUUUGUUUGUUCUGUGAUGUUGCAUCGUUUUAUGUACUACUAUGCACUUUGUGAAGUCCAACUCAUAGUCACUGAAAAUGCUGUACAAACAGGCUCCAAAGUAAGGGAAAACGGCCCCAUUUCUAAGCAAGUUUUUUUCGAUCUUCUCAAAAUCACCCAAAAAAGAUUUUCUUAGCUUAUAUUAUACCUAUAUAGGAUCAAUACAAAGUCUCACCUUUUUUGAAUAAGUAUUCAUAUUAUUUAAUUUAUUUUUGAAAAAACACCCUUUAAUACAAAGUCAGCAAUAAAACAAGUUUAAAAAUUUUAAAUGCAAAAAUAACUUCAGAUCCUCCUUAGUCACUCUAAAAUGAAGCUAAGGUGAUGUUUUUUGAUUUUUUUGCAUUUUCAAAACCUCAAACCCUCUUCUCACUCCUUUGAACUCUAUGCAACCUCAGUCGAGAUAGUCCAAUUUGUGAAGGUUUUUUCAUGCAAAGAUCAUUAGAUCAAGUUUAUCAUUUUAUAUCAUAACUAUGUAACAUAAAAAGGCUAUAUGCGCAGGUUUUUCAUUUUUUAGAUUUUUUUGAAUUAGUUAUACACAUUUGAAUGUUCGGUCAAACCUUUCAAAACCCCGUUGACUGCCUCAAAACCCCAUGUAACCCUAGCGCCAAACGUCCACCGUCGAUCUAACCCUAACGCCAAACUGCGGCCGUCGGAUGGGACUUCUAGAAGGAUUCCGCGGGGGCGAUCCAUGGGCUCCAAUCUGAUUGGCCAUUGUUUUUUCUCUCUGACGAACAGAUAACGUUGAGCGGGGGAGCAUCUAAGUGACCGUUGGGCCGAGUGGAUUGGGCCUGGCAAAGCCUGGCGUGCGUGCACACGGCUGUUGAGAGGGGGGAUGGGCUGCAUGCGAGCGGGUCAAUGACAUGUGGGCCAUCCUUGUCCCAUGCAUGCCAUGCAACGUCGCAGCCUAGCUAUUCUUUGCUCGUGAAAGCCUAGCCAUUUGCAUGCGGGCUUGCAUGCACGCAUCGACGCAGAGUACGGCAAGGGUGCAGCGUAUAGGUACGUCGCAUCUAAGCUAUUUUAACAAAUGCAUGUUUGAACGAGAUGGACGCGUCGGUGGUGCAGCUCCUUUUUCAGUGUCACGCGCGGAUGAACGGGCCUGUUUCCCAUGCGGCAUCACCGCCGAUGCAAGUGCCCGUGCCUCUUUGGAUGCUCUGGCCGCCGUUUUUUGAAUUAAUGCCCGCAAUUACUUAUGCCAUGCGAACGGAGAAGAGAAAAAGAUCGAGAAGGGGCACCGUGUACACAUUGACCAUGGUUGCAAUGCGGCUAUAAAAGGGCACCAUUUCCUCAUCCUCUCACACUCAUCUCUCAAGCCUCCUCCCCUUCUUCUUUUCGAGCCAAAUCCACCACUCGAGCCACCAUGCAGUUCAACGGCCCUACCUACCGUCGCCCUUGCACCGUGCCGGAGAGGCAGUACCCAGCCGGAGUCGUCGUGGAGAACAGCCUGAGGGUGUGGGCCAUCUCUAGGUGGAGGGGCCCUAGAGAGUUGGCUCGCUUCUUCCUCCAAGCUGGCUACCGCCACCUCCCUCCGGGCACUCCGCCCAUGUUCCACCUCCACGAGCAGUACGAUGGCAAUGCCGGCCCCGACGGCUUCGUCAUCGGCCUCUAUGUCACCUUCACCAACCCCUACGACGCUCACCACCUCCCCGGGGAGGUGUUCUGGUGUGGAUGCGAGUUUAUCGCGUUCACGACCUACAACAUCUUCACCAACUUCCACCACAUCUUCCCUCACCACAACGGCAUGCACACCCUCCCCUAUCAGAUGCCGGAGGACGACGAGUGAGGGGCCCAAGGAGGAGGGUCCAAGGAGUGGCAAGGAGGAGGGGCCAAGGAGUUGUUCAAGCGGCGAGUCUUCUAUCUAUCUAGUUUGGGGCUCUAGUUUGUGUUUGUGUUGGUUCGGGCGUGUGUGCCCGUGUCUUUUAUAUAUCUAGUUUUAAUUAUUUUACUUUCAUGUUUUAUGAACUAUAUGUAGUGGGGGGAUGCCCCUCUAUAAGUUUUAUCUAUCUAUGCUACUAGGGUACCCGAUGCCCCUCUAUCUAUCUAUAUGUUUUUUCGGUCCUAAAGUUUCUCCAUUGCAUUUUAUUUAUGUGGCCAUGUGUACUAAAAAACAAUUGAUCUGGUAUCUAAAAUGUACGUUACCAAGAAAUUGACAAUAAAGAUUAUAUACUGUACUACAUAAUCAUACAGUUGGUAUACAAUGCAUUUGAAGACAAUGGGCAAGAAAAAUGCUAAUUAUCUGGUGCUGGUGACAUGCGUAAGUGUUGUCUGAUGUUUAAAUCAUGCUUGCUAUGUCAUUUUUUGCUGCCAAACAUGGCAUUAGCGAGAAAGGUCAUUUGGGCACUGAAUGUAUUAAAGUAUACACCAUAUAUAAAAAUGUCUAGCCAAAAGAUUUGGGUGUACAACUGUACACCAAUGACCAAGUAUGGAUCCGCCCCUGGUUGUAAGGGGAUGCCCCUCUAUGUUGUAAGGAGAUGCUACUAGGGGCACACUAGAUGUCUUCUUUUUUUGAGAGAGGCACAACCUUUUUCGGUUGAAACACACGAGUAAAAACUUUGAAAACACCAUAGCACAAGUAAAAAAAUAUAUUAAGAAAUGGUGCUUGGUUGAAAUAAACUAGAACCAAACAAUUGCAACUUUCUUGGUUCACAAAGACUGCUCAAAUAAUUAUCUCAAAUAGCUUAUGCAUAAAAAUAUCUCAAAUAAUUAUUAGAUGAGUUAUCUCAAAAAAGGUGACUGCAGGAAACUUAAAAUUUGUGAAAUGAUCUAAAGCCGAAAAGAUAUAUCGAUGAAUUAUCUCAAAUAGCUUAUGCAUAAAAAUAUCUCAAAUAAUUAUUAGAUGAGUUAUCUCAAAAAAGGUGACUGCAGGAAACUUAAAAUUUGUGAAAUGAUCUAAAGCCGAAAAGAUAUAUCGAUGUCAAUGACCGUGUGCACUUUUUUUGCACUCCUUUUAUCAAUGGGCCUGGAUAUGUUCUAUUCGGCCCUGCCUAACUUCUAUAUGGGCCUGGCCUUUUCGGGCAACUAUGGACGAACCUUUUUUUUCCUUUUCUCCCUCUACCACUGAAACUGAAACUGAUGACGAACUGAAGAACUAAAAAACGGGGCCGAAACAGAGUGGAGAGGACAUGCUGAAUUCGUACAACGCAACACUUUUAUUCAAAUAUACAUAUCAUUAGGAUUACAAAUGAUGCCCAAUCUAUUCACUUACGACUAAUUAUCAUCACAUAAACAAAUGCGAGAGCAAUUACACAAACAUAAAAAAGUCCGGCCAUCAGCCCCAUCAAAUUGCCCUGCUUCUGCAAUUUGAUGAGUUUCUUCAUCUGCUUGUUUAGCUUCUUCAGCUCUGCCGUCACUACUGCAUCCCCCACAGUAGCCCCAAUGGAAUGGGCACAUCCAGGGGCCCCAGAUCCAGAAGCGCCCGAUCCAAACUUGCCCAACUUCUCCACCUCCAGCGGUAAAUCGAGCUCCCCUGAUGCACCCUCCAGUUGAAUCCGCUCUAUGUACUCAUUUAGCCACUCAAAAUGGGUGCAUUGCUUCAAUUUCUGAAAUUGGAAAGAUGAACCCUAAAUCCCAAAUCCGAUGAAAAAUGGGGAAAAAUUGUGAUAUGAAAUUGGGAUACAAAAACCAAAAUUGGCAUAUUGAGAAGUAAAAUCUCACCUUUCCCUGCUCUGGUUUGCUCUCGCAUUUCACGAAUUCCCGCCCAAGGUUGCCAUUCUUGUCGGUCGUUGUGACUAGCCGCUUCAGGGGUGUGAUACGUGGGCCUGCAGGGCACCUUGUCAUGGGCACUGCGCCAUAGCGCGGCCAUGAGCGGCGGGAGGCUGAAGCGGAGCUCGACAUUGCUAGGUCGCGGCCCGGAACGGCGUUGCUGCGCGUCGUCGCCGGAGAAGAAGAACAACAACGGUCGGGGAGGGGGGGUGGGGGCGGGGGCGAGGAUGGGCCACGGCUCGGGCCACGGCUCGGUGUCCUCUUGUACCAAUGCUGACCUGGAUAAGUUAGUGGGUCCCACGCAGUGGGUCCCGCUCACCUGACCAAUGCUGAGUUGGAUAAGUUAGUGGGUCCCGCGCUGUGGGUCCCGCUCACCUGAUUCGAGUUUUAAACAUGUGUCUUUGGAUUAGACAGCAGUGUCGCAUGGGAGCUAUUUUUUCCUAUGCAGAUGUCGCAUGAGAGCUAUUACAACCAACAACGUCGCAUGAGAGACAAUACACACCAACGAUGUCGCAUAGGAGCUAUUCGCCCUUUGGAAACAUUGCUAAGUUUCAUUGUUUGAAACUUAGUACGAGCGACCGAUAAAAUUUAAUUAUUUUGUGUCUACGACCAACAGGAGAAAUUGCUUAAAAUUACAUCUUUGAAACUGGUCAUUUUUUGAUGCAAAAAUGUAAGUUUCAUCAUUGAAACUUAAGGGCAUGUCCAAUGCUGGAUGCUUAUCCAGGCGCUUAUCGUGUGGAAAAAAAAAAUGCCACGAAGUUAGCUCUCGCUUGUCCAACAGCCAAUGCUAACAACGGGCGCUAACCACGGCUGGAGCUAUAGAUUAGAAAGAAAGAUCUGGUUCACUUGUACGUGAAAAAAGGAGCAAGCGCUCGAUGCCUUGCUUUGCAUCGAUGCCAGACUGAGGUGCUGGGAAUCGACAAGAUAACCGCCAAUCUACCAGGAUUAAAUUCCUAGCGCCUUCUUCUAGCGCCUCCCACUGAAAAUGCCCUAAAGGUUUUUGAGGGAUUUUUUUACUGUGUCCUACUUCACGUAUCACGAGGCAAAUCAAGUAGGCGGCAUGGCCUGGCCGGUGAGUGCCAUUGCACUUACUUGCCCCAGCGAUUUUCCGCCUGCAUUGUAGAAUUCUUUCUCCGAGUCCUGUGAAUUAAAGAUGGUGCAGACAAAAGUAUAUCCUAUAUGCGUACAUGUGCAUGAUCAGAACAUGUUUUUACGUGCGUCUACUAUAAAUCAUGACCAUUUUUAACACAAAUCAUGACCAUUCAUGAUUAGUGAAUCAUACUGUCUUAACUUAUGUGAAAUCAUGUGGAGUAAUAUAAUAUAAUAUAAUAGAUAGAUAGAUCCAUGUUGUAUCAUUACACAUUUUGAUUUAUGCAUUUGUUUACAAAAAAAACAGUAAAAUUUCAUGGUGAAAAGUUUGUAUUGUUUCAUACUGAACACCAAUGUUUUCCCGUAAAAGAAAAUAAUGCCUACGCAUAUGCUUUUAUAUUAUUAUUAUUCUUUCAAACUUAUUCAUAUAGUAUUUUUGAUUGUGCAACCAUAAUUUUUAUUAUCUCUCUUGUUCCACUACAUGCUCUUACUCAAUGAUUUUUUUAUAAUGGGUGUUUUUAUUAACUCAAAAUAUAGCAUCAAGCGGAUACAAAACAUAACGAGCCACGUCCGGUCUCUGCAUAACUAAGAUGCACACAGCCAAAAGCAGAAGUCUGACAAAAAUAAGAUAAGAAAAUCAACAUAUCGACAACAGUGAGUCAUAUAGUUCCGACACUAUGCCUCUGUUGAAGGACGGGGUGGAGCGAUCUGGAGAUUAUGCUUCCCUCCAUUUUGAGUAAAUACCUCCCUGGCCACUUGUUCCAACCGCAUAGACGCCGCCACGAAUAAUGGUUGGUACUCUGUUCGGUGUAGCAUACACCAUGUAGGAAGUGAGUGCUCACUCCUAGUUACUAAAUUAUGUACACACUAGUAGAAAAAGGGCCAUUUGUCCCGGUUCGUAAGGCCCAUUUGUCUCAGUUAGGGAACCGGGACUAAAGGGUCGGUACUAAAGCCCUACACCUUUAGUCCCGGUUCUUACACCAACCGAGACAGAUGGGGCUCCACGUGGCCGCUGCGGCUUGCCAUGGCAGGGGGGCCUUUUGUCCCGGUUGGUAGCACCAACCGGGACCAAUAAGCUACCACGCGUCAGCAUUUGAGGGGCUUGGGUUUUUGUUUUUUUCUGAAGGGGGGGAGGGGGGUUGGGGGUUUUGGGGGGUUUUGUAUGGUUAAUUUUGGGGGGUUUCAUAUAUAGUGUUAGGUAGUAAUUAAUUAAUAGAGAGAAGUGUCCUCUCUUAUCUCCGUGCUUGGUCGACGCUACGUACUAUACGUAUAGAGAGGCCCUCGACACGCUUGCCAGUAAGCAAAUGAAGGAAACCAUUAAGUACAGAAGUUCGUCAUGAACAUAUGCAUACAAACAUAAGUGAUAUCGACCUCUCCUUCUCCGAGAGAUAGGUCGAAGAACAAGUUUCCGUAUAUCUAUCCGGCGCUACUAGCUACAUAUAUACAAUAUUAAGAUCUCUUACAAUAUAAUCCCCUAAUUAUAUAUGAACUCAGCUUCCAGAUGGUAUUCUCCGGCUUUAUUGAUGACGUGGUCAAGAAAGAAUCCCUCCAAUUCCUCUUGAAUUGCUUUGAUGCGAUCUUGUGGUAGGAGUUCAUCCUGCAUCUGCCACAUCUAAUUUGAAGAAGGGGGUCAAUCACUAGUGGAAUAACAGCCAUUUGUCUAGGUUCGUAAGGCUCAUUUGUCCCGGUUGGGGAACCGAGACUAAAGGGUCGUUACUAAAGCCCUACACCUUUAGUCCCGGUUGUCGGUGUCAAAACCGGCGGAUCUCGGGUAGUGGGUCCUGAAUUGUGCGUCUAGGCCGGAUGGUAACAGGAGGCAGGGAACACGAUGUUUUACCCAGGUUCGGGCCCUCUUGAUGGAGGUAAAACCCUACGUCCUGCUUGAUUAAUAUUGAUGAUAUGGGUAGUACAAGAGUAGAUCUACCACGAGAUCAAGGAGGCUAAACCCUAGAAGCUAGCCUAUGGCAUGAUUGUUGUGUAUGGAGUUGAUUGCCUACGGACUACAACCCUCCGGUUUAUAUAGACACCGGAUAGGGUUAGGGUUACAUAGAGUCGUUUACAAUGGUAGGAGAUCUUGAAUAUCCGCAUCACCAAUCUUGCCUUCCACGCCAAGGAAAGUCCCAUCCGGACACAGGACGAAGUCUUAAAUCUUGUAUCUUCAUAGUCCAGGAGUCCGGCUGGACGUAUAGUCCGGCUACCCGAACACCCCCUAAUCCAGGACUCCCUCACCGGUUCUUACACCAACUGGGAGAGAUGGGCCUCCACGUGGCCGCUGCGGCGAGCCCAGGUAGGAGGUCCUUUGGUCCCCGUUAGUGACACUAAUACGUCUCCAACGUAUCUAUAAUUUUUGAUUGCUCCAUGCUAUUAUGUUAUCCAUUUUGGAUGUUAAUGGGCUUUAUUUUACACCUUUAUAUCAUUUUUGGGACUAACCUACUAAUCGGAGGCCUAGCCCAAAUUGCUAUUUUUUGCCUAUUUUAGGUUUUUGAAGAAGAGGAAUAUCAAACGGAGUCCAAACGGAAUGAAACCUUCGGGAACGUGAUUUUCUCAACGAACAUGAUCCAGGAGACUUGGAGUGUGCGCCAAGAAAUAAGGGAGGAAGGCACGAGGCAGGGGGGCGCGCCUACCCCCCUUGAGCAUGCCCUCCACCCUCGUGGGCCCUCCACUGCUCCACCGACGUACUUCUUCCUCCUAUAUAUAUCCACGUACCCCCCAAACAACCAGGAGCACCACGAAAACCUAAUUCCACCACCGCAACCUUCUGUACCCGAGAGAUCCCAUCUUGGGGCCUUUUCCGGAGGGGGCAUCGAUCACGGAGGGCCUCUACAUCAACUGCAUGGCCUCUCCGAUGAUGUGUAAGUAGUUUACUUCAGACCUACGGGUCCAUAGUUAUUAGCUAGAUGGCUUCUUCUCUCUCUCUUUGGAUCUUAAUACAAAGUUCUGCUCGAUUUUCUUGGAGAUCUAUUCGAUGUAAUCUUCUUUUGUGGUGUGUUUGUCGAGAUCCGAUGAAUUGUAGGUUUAUGAUCCAGAUUAUCUAUGGACAAUAUUUGAUUCUCCUCUGAAUUCUUUUAUGUAUGAUUCGUUUAUCUUUGCAAGUCUCUUCGAAUUAUCAGUUUGGUUUGGCCUACUAAAUUGAUCUUUCUUGCAAUGGGAGAAGUGCUUAGCUUUGGGUUCAAUCUUGCGGUGUUCGAUCCCAGUGACUGAAAGGGAAGCGAUAUGUAUUGUAUUGUUGCCAUCGAGGAUAAAAAGAUGGGGUUUAUAUCAUAUUGCAUGAGUUUAUCCCUCUACAUCAUGUCAUCUUCCUUAAAGCAUUACUCUGUUCUCUUGAACUUAAUACUCAAGAUGCAUGCUGGAUAGCGGUCGAUGUGUGGAGUAAUAGUAGUAGAUGCAGAAUCGUUUCGGUCUACUUGUCUGGGACCUGAUGCCUAUAUACAUGAGCAUACCUAUAUAUUCUCAUAACUAUGCUCAAUUCUAUCAAUUGCUCGACAGCAAUUCGUUUACCCACCGUAAUACUUAUGCUCUUGAGAGAAGCCACUACUGAAACCUAUGGCCUCGGGGUCUAUCUUCUAUCAUAUUAAUCCUCCAAUACUUAGUUAUUUAUAUUUCUAUCUAUUUUACUUUCCAUCUUUUAUUUCUCUUUAUCAUAAAAAUACCAAAAAUCUUAUCUUAUCAUAUCUAUCAGAUCUCACUGUUGUAAGUGACCGUGAAGGGAUUGACAACCCCUUUAUCGCGUUGGUUGCGAUGUUCUUAUUUGUUUGUGUAGGUUCGUGGGACUUGAGCGUGAUCUCCUACUGGAUUGAUACCUUGGUUCUCAAAAACUAAGGGAAAUACUUACGCUAAUUUACUUCAUCACUCUUUCCUCUUCAAGGGAAAACCAACGCAAUGCUCAAGAGGUAGUGUCGGUGUCAAAACCGGCGGAUCUCGGGUAGUGGGUCCCGAACUGUGCGUCUAGGCCGGAUGGUAACAGGUGGCAGGGAACACGAUGUUUUACCCAGGUUCGGGCCCUCUUCAUGGAGGUAAAACCCUACGUCCUACUUGAUUAAUAUUGAUGAUAUGGGUAGUACAAGGGUAGAUCUACCACAAGAUCAAGGAGGCUAAACCCUAGAAGCUAGCCUAUGGUAUGAUUGUUGUAUAUGGAGUUGAUUGCCUACGGACUACAACCCUCCGGUUUAUAUAGACACCGGAUAGGGUUAGGGUUACAUAGAGUCGGUUACAAUGGUAGGAGAUCUUGAAUAUCCGCAUCGCCAAGCUUGCCUUCCACACCAAGGAAAGUCCCGUCCGGACACGGAACGAAGUCUUCAAUCUUGUAUCUUCAGAGCCCAGGAGUCCGGCUGAAGGUAUAGUCCGGCUAUCCGAACACCCCCUAAUCCAGGACUCCCUCAGUAGCCCCUGAACCAGGCUUCAAUGACGACGAGUCCAGCGCGCAAAUUGUCUUCGGCAUUGCAAGGCGGGUUCCUCCUCCAAGUCCUUCAUAGAAGAUUGUAAGCACCAAGAGUAGUGUCCGGCUCUGCAAAAUAAGCUUCCACAUAUCGCCAUAGAGAGAAUAAUAUUAACACAAAUCAAAUCUGCUGACGUAUUCCGCAGUGCGUCAUCACACUACAGCCAAGUCCUUCACUCGAAUCGUUUUCACUUUUCCACCUCAGCGUGUUUUGCGAGGCGGUUUCCUUGGCACGUCUUGUCAAAGCAGAGAUCGUGUCCCCCUUGUUUACGGGAUUCUCGUUAAUACGGACGUGGGUAACCCAACCGCGCCACUUAUCACGGCGCUUGGGAGGCAAGCGAGUUUUACUAGGCUGGUGGGGACGCAUAGUCGCAUCCGCCCAUAUAAGGGGAUAAGGAUCCACCUUUUUACCUACGCCUUCUUCCUCCUUUGCCUAGCCAUCUUCUGCGCACCCGAGCUCUAGCGCCCCAGCCCGCGCUUCCUACCUCAACCCUCUCCAACAAUGUUCGGAGCGGGAGGCAAGUGGAUGGUCUCCUCCGUCACGGAGGGCCAUGUCAAAAGGUUAAGGAAGGCCGGAUACUUGUCCAAAGACAUCGCGCACCGGCUUCCUGAGGAGGGGCAGCUUCUCCCCACCCCAAGGCCCCAUGAGAGGGUAGUAUUUCUUCCCCACUGCCUCCGCGGACUGGGUUUUCCUCUCCACCCAUUUGUCCGCGGGCUCAUGUUCUACUAUGGCCUAGAUUUCCACGAUCUGGCCCCGUACUUCAUCCUCAAUAUCUCGGCGUUUAUCAUCGUGUGCGAGGCUUUCCUCUGCAUUCGCCCCCAUUUCGGCCUCUGGCUCACGACCUUCAACGUCAAGCCAAAGGUGGUGCGCGGUAACCAGGCGGAGUGCGGAGGUGCCAUGGCGGGCAAAAUUGCCAACGUCCUAUGGCUCGAGGGCUCCUUUGUGGAGACCUUGAAGGGGUGGCAGUCAGGGUGGUUUUACAUCACCGAGCCACGCGAUCCGAAGUGGAUCGCAGCCCCUGAAUUCCGAUCCGGACCCCCUACGCGGCUCAUGUCCUGGAAGGAGACGAGCUUGUCGUGGGGCGACGAAGGAGAGUUGACCAGACUGCAAAAAUGCAUCCAGUCCCUGGUGAACAAGCAGCUCAAGCUUGUCAACGUAAUCUAGGUCAUGCUCGUCCGCCGGAUUCUUCCGUGUCAAGAACGGGACUUCAAUUUGUGGGAGUUCAACCCGGCGCAACACCGAACUCUGAGAAGGCUCUUCAACACGACGUACGAAGAUGUCUGGAGGGGGCUAACCAAAGGCGCCGAGACUCCCACAUCCGCCUCCGAAGACCGCGGAUUCAGCUCGCAGCGUCCUGCUGGCGAGGUAAGAUAUUUCCAUCUUUUACAGGAUGUUAAGCUUUUUCAUAGUUGACUCUAUGCGGGAUCAAAACUCCCUCACCUUUGACAGGAUUGGCGGGAGAAGUCCGGACAGAUUAAAUGCCCGGCUCCCUUGCCCGAAGACCUAGCCCCUGCUCUCCUAGAGAAGCUGCUGGUUUCGGCACCUUAUGUGGUGCCGGAGAAGAGGGCCAAGAAGAAGAAGGCCACGGGGACUCGAAAGAGUUCCUGGCAUAUGGUGGUGUCGGACUCGUCGUCCGACCAGUCCGAGACGCACUCCUCCCGUGAAGACGAGGAGGAAGAGUGUCGGACUCGUCGUCCGACGAGUCCGAGACGCACUCCUCCCGUGAAGAGGAGUGGCCGGACUACGUCCCCGACGCCGACGAGGACGAAGAGGAGUGGCCAGACAGGGCCAAGCAUCCGGCGAGAUCGUAAGUGUUCGGAUACCAGAGUAACUCGUGAUAUUCCUUUUGUUGCACAGCUUUCCCUAAUGUCGGAUAUAAUCAUGCAGUCCGCCCAAGGAUGGGCUCGACGAGUCGUCGAGCGGCUCCCUGGAUUCAUCGGACGUGAAUUCAGUUCCGCCUACUGCUUCCCCCUGUGCUGCAGAUGACGCCGAAGUGGCGUCGCGACAAGCUCCGGGACGAGAGGAGGUGGUCCAGGAGGAGUCGCGAGGUGACCUCCCGGACUCCAGGAGUGAAGGGGACAAGACCCCCCUGGGAUCCAAGUUCGGCUUUAAGCCGGACACUGAGAUGGAAUCAUCAACAGUUCCGGACUGCGGUAGGCGAACUCCUACCAGGAGGAGCAAGCCUACUGAGCCGGCAUCCUCCGUCCAGCCGGAGGCGCCGGACAAUCUGCUGGAGGAGCUUAAGGGCGCCUCCACCGACGAGGAGCACCGUGCCGUCAUGAGUACGGUGAUCCAGAAGGUUCGGUCCGCCAAAAGCGGACUGACUGAAGCUUGUGCUGGCCUUCUAACAGGCUUCGAGGUAAGUAAAAAUAUGUAAAAAUAUUACCGUAUAGACAGUAGCCCCUGAUGCUCUGUUUGGCGUUUGUAAAGAAAAGCCAAAUAGAGGAUCUAUUAAAUAUCGCAGGAGUCUAACUAAAAAGGAGUCAAUAUAUGUAUGCAGGCUUCGCUGCUGGCCACCGCCGCACUGACUGCGGAGGUGGGUGCCCUGAAGGAGGGCCUCCAGCGGACCGAGCAAGAGCUCGGCCUUGCCAAACGGCAGCUCGAGGAAAAAGAAUGUAAGAGAUACCUUACAGAAAAAGUGCCUAUAAAAAGGCUUGAUUGCAAAAAGAGUAGCAGGAUUGUACUGCUUAUUGUAGGGGCCACGACUGAGGUGGCGACCUUUAAGCAGGUGUUGUCUGAGGCCGAAAAGAAAACGGCCGCGGAGCGCACCGAGCGAGACAGACUUGGGGCUCAGGUCAGCGAGGUGCAGCAAGAGCUUCAGGCUCUCAUGAAAAAACAUGAGAGUUUGAAGCUGGAGUCGAAGGCGCAAGCAUCCGAGCUUGCAACGGCCCUAGAGGCUGCCAAGUCUACCAAGGCCGAUGCCCUAAAGACCCUCCAAGAGUUGGAGGAGAUGAGGAAGAUAGCAACGGGUAAGGCAUUCUUUAUGCAAAGCAGAAAUAUAAAAGUGAACUACCUGUUACUUACCCGAAUCCGAAGCUCUCCAGGGGCAUUCGCAGAUCUUCCCUGCAGCGUAUCCGAUGCCGCCGCAUUAUACCAAGCUGAAGAGGGUAGCUCGACGGAGAAGGUGUUCUGGUUUCAGUAUUCUGAGGCCGGACACCCUGUGCCCUUGAGCAACCAGCUGAAACAGCUGGUUGAGCUCCACAAGGCGGCCAAGCAGGCCAUGAAGGGCUUCAUAGUUCGGCUGUGGCCUGGAGAGGCCCUACCUGGGAGCUAUCUCGGGCUGGUGCGGCGGCUGGUGGAGGCCUGUCCGAGGCUUGAGGUCAUCAAGUGCUCCGUCUGCAUCGAUGGUGCCCGUCGGGCCCUUGCCCGUGCAAAGGUGCACUGGGGUAAGCUGGACGGUGAGAAGCUUGUGAAGGACGGGCUGCCGCCGGGGAAGGAGCAUCGCAAGCCCGAGAACUACUACAAGGAUGUUCUUGCAGGUGCCCGCCUUAUGGCGGAUCAAUGUACCAAGGAUGUGAUAUUUGAAUGAACUCGCUCGUGUUUAUCUUGUGCGCUGAAAACUUGUUCAUAUGUGCUAAGCAAUGCUUAUUGAAUUUAAAAUAUUACUUUCUGUGCGGCCAUUUAUCAAAAAUUGAGAGAUGGCCAGUCGUCGGCUUCUGCCCCCGUGCCACUAGUGCUGGGGUGUUCGGGAUAAACCUGAGCGCUCUUUUUCCCAUAGUUGGGUCCUUCGAGGGAGGCGCUCAGCACAACGAACCAGGCAAUCGGACUAUAAUGCUUGAACACUCUCACUUAGCCAUAGAGCUCUAUAAUUUUAAAUUUCGGUGAAGCCCGUAGUUCGGAAGACCGAGUUCGGGGCGCUAUCCACGCCUUGGCCGGACAAAGCCGGCUCCUCGCUCGAAGCGGCAUAAGCCUUUAGGGACUCGAAAAACCUCUCGAACAGCGAUCGGUCUCUCGCCACAUCAUGACAGUCAGUUUUAGCUUUCUCCACUCAGGUGCUUAACCCAGGUGAACCGGGGCACAAUCGCAGUGGUUCUCCUAGUGCUACCUUAGCCGAUAGAGCGGAACGUAAGGCACCAAAACAUAGGAGCCACGCAAACCCAACUAUUGACCCAAAUCAUGAUUCGGAGCCGAUGCAUAUAGUGCUAUAAGUUCGGGGUGCCGCACUUGUGAAAGUGUACGGACUUCUCACACCAUUAUGAGCGGUACUGAAGCCCCUGGCAUGUUUGCCAUACCAUGGUGUACGGGUGCAAUCAUGUCAUUUAAUAAACAUAAAUGUGAAAAGAAGAUAAUGCAAAAAAUAGACUAGAAGCUAAGCAUUGUUUAUAGAGAGGCUAUUUAUCAAAGCCGAACGAUACAAAUAGUGCGGUAAGCAAAAGAUAUUGGACUAUUCAGUAUGUCCUGACCAGGGGCAGGCCGCGGAAUUGUAUUUAAAACAGGUAUACCGCUCGUAACAGAGACCACCUGGGAGUUCCAUAAUGCGUCAUGGCUUGUCUGCCUCCCUGGAUCUUGCAUCGUUUGUGCGGCAGUCGAAUUGCCGAACAGGUCGUCCGAAGUAUGGAGUCCUGAAAGAAGAAAAAAUUAAAAAAAGAAUCCGGCAGCCCCUAGUACGUAUUAAGCCGUAUUUUGGGCGUGUUGUUAUUGUGCCCCUUCCCCUGUGCCCAUGGUAUUUCAAGGGCGUAGUUAUGUACGUGAGGUACUGGUUUCGCUAUGUUGCGAAAGCUGGGGUUGGGGCCGCAUUGCUACGCUUGCUUAGAGUGUGCCAGGCAGUGUCUGGCUUUUUAAUGGCCGGACUGGAGAAUUGCCUGAGAAGGCUACUUUGUACCUCCGCUGCGAGAGCCGCCGUAUGCUCCUCCAUAUGGAGGGAGCGUUCGGUGUUUCCGUUGAACGUAAUUACUCCUUGAGGGCCUGGCAUCUUGAGCUUGAGAUAUGCGUAGUGCAGCACCGUGUUGAUCUUUGCGAAUGCGGUUCGUCCGAGCAGGGCAUGAUAGCCACUGCGAAACGGUACUAUAUCGAAGAUUAACUCUUCGCUUCGGAAAUUGUCCGGGGAUCGGAAGACCACAUCAAGUGUUACUGAGCAUGUACUGUUGGCUUCUACACCUGGUAUAACGCCUUUAAAGGUCGUUCUUGUGGGCUUAAUCCUUGAGGGAUCUAUGCCCAUUUUCUGCACUGUAUCCUGAUAAAGCAGGUUCAGGCUACUGCCGCCGUCCAUGAGGACUCUUGUGAGAUGAAAUCCGUCGAUGAUCGGGUCGAGAACCAAUGCGGCGAAGCCGCCAUGACGGAUGCUAGUGGGAUGGUCCCUUCGAUCGAAAGUGAUCGGGCAGGAGGGCCAUGGGUUGAACUUUGGGGCGACUGGCUCCAUCGCAUAUACGUCCCGUAGCGCAUGCUUCCGCUCCCGCAUGGGAAUGUGGGUUGCGUAUAUCAUGUUCACCGUCCACACUUGUGGGGGAAAGCCCUUCUGUCCAUUGUUGUUCGGCGGCUUGGGCUCCUCGUCGUCGCUGUGCAGCCCCUUGUCUCUGUUUUCGGCCCUUAACUUGCCUGCCUGCUUGAACACCCAACAAUCCCUGUUAGUGUGAUUGGCUAGCCUUUCGGGGGUGCCAUGUAUCUGGCACAAGCGAUCGAGUAUUCGGUCCAAACUGGACGGGCCCUGAGUAUUCUUUUUGAAUGGCAUUUUCCGCUGACCGGAUUUAUAGCCUUUGAAUCCGGCAUUGACUGCCGUGUCUUCAUUGCUGUCGCUGCUAACGCGGCGUUUUUGCUUAUUCCGAUGUGUCCUACCACUUUUGUCCUUGGUAUCCGAAUUACCAGGGUGCUUUGAUAAGUUGUUACUGCGAGCUAGCCAGCUGUCUUCUCCCGCGCAAAAGCGGGUCAUGAGUGUCGUGAGGGCUGCCAUGGAUUUCGGCUUUUCCUGUCCCAGGUGCCAGGCAAGCCACUCGUCGCAGAUGUUGUGCUUCAAGGCUGCCAGGGCCUCUGCGUCCGGACAGUCGACUAUCUGGUUUUUCUUUGUUAGGAACCGUGUCCAAAAUUGUCUGGCCGAUUCCUCUGGCUGCUGAAUUAUGUGGCUUAAGUCGUCGGCAUCCGGUGGUCACACGUAAGUGCCCUGGAAGUUGUCGAGGAAUGCGGCUUCCAGGUCCUCCCAAGAACCGAUUGAGUCUGCUGGCAAGCUGUUAAGCCAAUGCCGGGCCGGUCCUUUAAGUUUGAGCGGGAGGUAUUUGAUGGCGUGUAGAUCAUCGCCGCGUGCCAUGUGGAUGUGAAGGAGACAAUCCUCGAUCCAUACCGCCGGAUCUGUUGUGCCAUCGUAUGAUUCGAUGUUUAUGGGUUUGUAGCCCUCUGGGAUUUUAUGAUCCAUUACUUCAUUCGUGAAGCAUAGCGGGUGUGUGGCGCCUCUGUAUUGGGCUAUAUCACGACGUAGCUCGGAAGAGCUAUGUCUGUUGUGUUCGGCCCGGCCGGAUUUGUUGUAUCCAGAGUGAAGAUCAUUUUCCCGUGCCUUAGUUGAGAGGUGUCGGGGCAUGGCUUGGGUGGAGGGCCGAGACGCCUCUCUGUCGCGGCCGCGAGGUGGCCGGUCUGCCAUGUCAUGCGCUGGUGAUGUAGGUGCUUCCUCCUCUGAUCGGGGUAGCGGCCUAUGCUUCGGGUAACUCUUGGAGGGGCGUUCGAGUUCAUACUCUUCGGCCGCAAGGACUUCAGUCCAUCUGUCAGCUAGCAAAUCUUGGGCAGCUCUAAGUUGUUGCUGCUUUUUCUUGAGGCUGCUUGCCAUGGCUAAAAGCCUGCGUUUAAAAAGCUCUUGUUCGGCGGGGUCUGAUGGUAUGACGAAUUCGUCGUCAUUGAGGCUUGCCUCGUCUUCGGAGGGAGGCGUAUAGUUAUCAUCCUCGACCUUUCCGUCUGCCGCUCUCUCAUCAGGGCUGGCUUCUCCAUCUUCCUGUGCCGAAUCUUGCUGAGGUGGGUGUUCUUCGGCGCUAUCCGGGGUAGUAUUAUCUCUCAUGUCGGAAUCACCGUUUUUGCUUUGGCGGGAUUUAGAGCGGCGCCGCUGGUGCCGGCGCUUUGGCUGUUUCUUGGGGGCGUCAUCCCCCACUGUUCCAUCGCCAUCUCCAUCUUUUGGAGUAUCCACCAUAUAUAUGUCAUAUGAUAAGGUGGCCUUCCAGCGCCCUACAGGUGCUGGUUCCUGUUCGUCUCCUACAUUGUCGUCCAUGCCGUCGAUGUCUUUGGAGCUGAAGUCAACCAUGUAGGUUAGACCGUCGAUAAUGGCUACAAAGUGGGUGGUGGGUGGGCUUUGAAUUUCCUCAUCGUAUGUAUCCCACCCUCGCUGACCGUAGUCCGGCCAGGGCUCUCCUGAUAAAGAGAGAGACUUAAGAGAAUUCAGGAUGUCGCCAAAAGGCGAAUGCUGAAAGAUGUCUGUAGCGGUGAACUCCAUUAUCGGCACCCAAUCGGAUUCGAUUGGCAGGGGCGCGGGGGGUUCGGAGUCCGGGGAGGAGUCCGGAUCCUCGGAGUCACGGGUCGUGCAGAGUGCGGGGCUAGCGUUCGGCUCGAUCGCUUUCGGGAUCGCAGCCCCCGAGGUGACGUCCAACCGCUCAUCCUCGAUUGGCGCAAUAGGUUCCGAGUUAGGGGUCGGAACCGAUGCGUGUGCGGCCUCCAGGACACUGGCCGGGGGCAGAGCUAGAUCAUGCCCCUCGGGAUAGUGCGGCGUGCUUGGCCGUGGCUCGAGCCCGUCGAAGAUCAAGUCUCCGUGGAUGUCAGCCGUGUAGUUUAAGCUUCCAAACCUGACUUGAUGGCCAGGGGCGUAGCUUUCGAUCUGCUACAGGUGGCCGAGCGAAUUGGCUCAUAGAGCGAUGCCGCCGAAGACGAAGAUCUGUCCGGGGAGAAAAGUCUCACCCUGGACCGCAUCGUUGUUGAUGAUCAAAGGAGCCAUCGGGCCUAAAGGCGACGAGACAGAGGAACUCUCAAUGAAAGCACCAAUGUCAGUGUCAAAACCGGUGGAUCUCGAGUAGUGGGUCCCGAACUGUGCGUCUAGGCCGGAUGGUAAUAGGAGGCAGGGAACACGAUGUUUUAUCCAGGUUCGGGCCCUCUUGAUGGAGGUAAAACCCUACGUCCUGCUUGAUUAAUAUUGAUGAUAUGGGUAGUACAAGAGUAGAUCUACCACGAGAUCAAGGAGGCUAAACCCUAGAAGCUAGCCUAUGGUAUGAUUGUUGUAUAUGGAGUUGAUUGCCUACGGACAACAACCCUCCGGUUUAUAUAGACACCGGAUAGGGUUAGGGUUACAUAGAGUCGGUUACAAUGGUAGGAUAUCUUGAAUAUCCACAUCGCCAAGCUUGCCUUCCACGCCAAGGAAAGUCCCGUCCGGACACGGGAUGAAGUCUUCAAUCUUGUAUCUUCAUAGCCCAGGAGUCCGGCUGAAGGUAUAGUCCGGCUACCUGAACACCCCCUAAUCCAGGACUCCCUCAGGUAGCAAGAUGGAUUUCUGGCGCCAUUGCCGGGGAGAUUCGCGCCAAGUCAAGACAUACCAAGUACCCAUCACAAACCCUUAUCCCUCGCAUUACAUUAUUUUCCAUUUGCCUCUUGUUUUCCUCUCCCCCACUUCACCCUUGCCAUUUUAUGCGCCCUCUCUUUUUCCGUUCCCCUCUUUUCCACUUGCUUUGUCGUUAUGGCUAGUCCUUUAUCUACUCCUUUGUCUCCCGAGAAUGAAGUUCUUAAUUUUAAACAAAGGGAGGGAGAAAAUCUAAAAGAUGCUUGGUACAGAAUUUGCAACACACAAAUUAGAUCUACUAGGAAACAAUCUACUUUUGUUCUUCUUCACGAUUUUUAUGUAGGCAUCACACCUUGGAAUAGAUAUAUUCUUGAUGCCAUUACCGGAGGGAAUUUCUUGGGUAGCCAUACUUUUGAUUCUUAUAAUGCUAUGAUAGAUCUGUUUGGCCCACCACCUCUUUUGGUUAAUGGAACUAUUUUAACUUUGGAACAUGUGAUGCAAUGGCUUGAAAUUAGUGAAAAUAAAGUUGCCACCAUAGAGUUAAUUGAAAAUUUGGAUAGAAAGAUCCAUAACCAAAUUACCCAAUACGGAUCUAAGUUAGGAGUUGCUCUUAAAAGUUUUAAAGAAAAGGGACCUAUGGUUAAUGAAAAGAUAGAAAAGGAUUCCACUAGAAUUGAUAAAAUUGAGGAUAUUAUUACCAACCUUGGGUCUUCCUUUUCUUCUAUUAUAAAUACUCCGCCUAAUGCUAAGAUUGCCAAACUAAUGUAUGUUACAAAAAAUAAGGGUGAAACUUCUAAUAAGGAAAAUGCGGAUCUCAAAUCCAUAAGUGUUCACCCCAAUUUUCUCACUAUCCUUAAGGAACCUUUUGCUACAAAUGAUUUUCUUGAUUUCAUACCUAGGAGUUUGAUAAUUAAUAAAAACAAAGAAACUCCUAAAAGUUAUUGGUGUGUUAUUGAAGAAUCACCUUCCAAAGACGGCAAUACCUAGGUCUAUCUUCGCUUUUAUGCCUAGCUAGGGGCGUUAAACGAUAGCGCUUGUUGGGAGGCAACCCAGUUUUACUUUUAUUCCUUGAUGUUUGCUCCUAUUUAGUAAUAAAUAAUUUAUGUAGCCUAUGUUUUGGUUGUGUUUUUUGUGUUUAAUUUGUGUUUGUGCCAUGUAGAACCAUUGGGUAGACUUGGGGAAAGUCUUUUUGAUCUUGCUGUAAAAAACAGAAACGUUAGCGCUCACGAGAAUCGCUGACAUUUUUAUUUGGAAAGUGAUAUUUAGAUAAUUCUUUUUGCGGAUGAUUAAUAGAUAAAUUCCUCACGUCCAGCAAUUUAUUUUAUAAUUUUUGGGGUUACAGAAGUUCGCGUUAGGUACAGAUUACUACAGACUGUUCUGUUUUUGACAGAUUCUGUUUUUCGUGUAUUGUUUGCUUAUUUUGAUGAAUCUAUGGCUAGUCAAAGAGGUUAUAAACCGUAGAGAAGUUGGAAUACAGUAGGUUUAACACCAAUAUAAAUCAAGAUUGAGUUCAUAACAGUACCUUGAAGUGGUGUUUUGUUUUCUUUCGCUAACGGAGCUCACGAGAUUUUCUGUUUGAGUUUUUUGUUGUGAAGUUUUCAAGUUUUGGGUAAAGAUUUGAUGGAUUAUGGAACAAGGAGUGGCAAGAGCCUAAGCUUGGGGAUUCCCAUGGCACACCAAGGUAAAAUUAAAGGACACCAAAAAGCCUAAGCUUGGGGAUGCCCCGAAAGGCAUCCCCUCUUUCGUCUUCGUCUAUUGGUAACUUUACUUGGAGCUAUAUUUUUAUUCACCACAUGAUAUGUGUUUUGCUUGGAGCGUCUUGUAUGAUUUGAUUAUUUGAUUUUUAGUUUACCAAAAUCAUCCUUGCUGUACACACCUUUUGAGAGAGACUCACAUGAUUGGGAAUUUAUGAGAAUACUCUAUGUGCUUCACUUAUAUCUUUUGAGCUAUAUGGUUUUUGUUCUAGUUCUUCGCUUAUAUAUUUUAGAGAAUGGCGGUGGUUUUAUUUUAUAGAAAUAAUUGUUCUCUCAUGCUUCACUUAUAUUAUUUUGAUAGUCCUUUAGAACAACAUGGCAAUAAUAAAACUGUCAUACAAGUGCAUUGAAUACUAUGAGAAGUUUGAUACUUGAUAAUUGUUUUGAGAUAUGGAGAUGGUGAUAUUAGAGUCAUGCUAGUUGUGUAGUUGUGAAUUUGAGAAAUACUUGUGUUGAAGUUUGUGAUUCCCGUAGCAUGCACGUAUGGUGAACCGUUAUGUGACGAAGUCAGAUCAUGAUUUAUUUGUUGAUUGUCUUCCUUAUGAGUGGCGGUCGGGGAUGAGCAAUGGUCUUUUACUACCAAUCUAUCUCCCUAGGAGCAUGGGCAUAAUACUUUGCUUUGAUAACUUAUAGAUUUUUGCAAUAAGUAUGUGAGUUCUUUCUGAGCAAUGUUGAGUCCAUGGAUCAUACGCACUCUCACCCUUCCACCAUUGCUAGCCUCUCUAAUACCGUGCACUUCUCGCCGAUAUCAUACACCCACCAUAUACCAUCCUCAAAACAGCCACCAUACCUACCUAUUAUCACUAGUGCAGAACCGGGCAAUAGCACCGGUUCGUAAGGCCCUUUAGUGCCGGUUUAGGAACCGGCACUAUUAUUUCGGCACUAAACCCCCCCCCCUUUAGUACCGGUUCAGCACGAACCGGUGCUAAAGGGGUACCACGUGGCACGAGCCAGCUCCGGGGGCCGGGAGCCCUUUAGUACCGGUUGGUAAAACCAACCGGUACUAAAUGGUUGUGGGUUUUUGUUUUAUUUUGUAUUUUUCAAUUAAAUUUGUGUUAUCAAUUUAAAUUAGGAUUGUUUUACGUUAUAAUGAGUUGUAGUCGUCAUCAUCAUCAUCAUCAUCGCAUAUUAAUAAAUAAAUAAACUCUAGCUAGCUAAAAAUCAUCGUGGUCGUCUAAUUACCACUAUUUAAUCAUCAUAGUCAUUACCGCUAGCUAUGUAAUCAUCAUCAACGUUGGCUAGCUUAAAGAGGAAACAUUCACUUUGUAACAGAAGCAAAGAGAUAUCAUCAAGUUCAACAUAAUCAUCACCAACAUCGAAGUUCAGGACACGGAUCCAUGAGACGAGUACUAAUUAAGAGCAUGAAGUAGUAGCUACUGAUCCUGCUUCUCCCUCUCAGGUAGAAUAGCACAGAACAUGUAUAGCUCUCCUGAUUCAUCAUACUGAAGCAUGCAGAUGAAUCUGUCUCCUAAUCUUGGGUUGCGCUUCUCCUUACUGCCCCCUAGUACUUCUCUGCGAUCGUUAACAAUUUUGCUCCAAUCUUUCACUAUUAAGCAUUCUUCGCUUUUAGAAAUCCUGAAUGCACUCAUGUGCAAUGUAGGAAAUCUUGGUCGUAAGCUAACCAUUGACAUGCGACCUUUUGUCUCGAUCCACUAAGGCACAACUGUCAUCGGAAGUCCCUGUUGAACAACAUCGUAUAGUAAUUAAUAUACUAAGCAAUGAAAGUUUAGCUUUAAAAAUAAUGUACGCAAAAGAUGCACUAAUUAAGGACAAAUAUUUAAAAUCUUACCAUCUUUUGAUUAUAGAUGUGACCGUAGUUCAAGGCGAUCACCAUUGGUCGCACGUUUUGAGUACUAACAUUUCUAAGUUUAGAAAAAAAAUUGUCUUGACAGUAUUAAGAUCCUCAAGCCAUGAAACACAAUGACUUAUUUCCUCGCAGUUUAGUUGAGCCCCGAGGUAGUAGUAGGUCCUGUCUACCAAGCGCCGGACAUGUUUGCUUGAACCGAAAUAAGCUGACAAUACACAUCAGUUGUCAACUAUUUUUGAAUAAACUGUACGAAAGACAUAAACGUAUAUAUGCAUGCAUGGUUGAGAAAAACUCACCAAAUGGUAGAACUGGAGGCGUUUGCACAUCGACCCAGAUGUCUAUAUUACCUUCAAUAUCAUCUUCCGGACGAAUAUCAAAGGUGAUAACCAUAUCAGGCUCAAAUGCAUAAGCCUUGCAUAGUGCUUGCCAAGUUUUGCAUUCAAAAUGGGUGUAUGUGCCUCCAUUAUAUAAUUUGACGUUGAAAGUAUACCCAUGCUCCGUCUUCAAGUAAACUCUCUUUACCUCCAUAUCAUCUAUAGCACUAAAACCUAUCUUAUAUAAUACAAAAAUUCUUGUAUGGCAGGGGAUGCGCUAGUAGAAUAGUGAAAAUUUAAAAUUAUAAGUUGAAGCAAAUGAAGCAUAAGUUUUGCAUUCAAAUAAUAAUUGACAAAGUGGCUUACUGUAUCAACUUCAAAUGUCUCAUCCAGCUUGAUGUUGAAGCGCCUACCAUCAACAAGGAAAUUUUGGUCGCACAGGCCGCGCUGGUCUUCACAGUGUUCGCACAUAAUAAAAUCUUUUUAGUUGUCAGAUGACAUUUCCUAUGUUCAUAUAGGUGAAACAUUAAACACCUAUAUCUAGCCAAAUAUAUAUUCAUCUAACAUUUGACAUUAAUAUAUCUAACUAUAUAUUCAAUUGACAUUACUAUAUAUUUAACUUUUCUAUCUAAUUCAUCUAACAUUCGACAUUAAUCUAACAUUUAUAUAAACUCAAAAUAUAUAAAAAAUUAAAUAAACAGAAAAACUCAUUAACAAAUAAUAUUUUAAUUAGAUCAUCAAAUCUCAUAUACCUAAAUUUUCUUACUAAAAAUAAACUAGUUAUAUUAAUUAUUCAACUAGUUCUAAUCUNNNNNNNNNNNNNNNNNNNNNNNNNNNNNNNNNNNNNNNNNNNNNNNNNNNNNNNNNNNNNNNNNNNNNNNNNNNNNNNNNNNNNNNNNNNNNNNNNNNNNNNNNNNNNNNNNNNNNNNNNNNNNNNNNNNNNNNNNNNNNNNNNNNNNNNNNNNNNNNNNNNNNNNNNNNNNNNNNNNNNNNNNNNNNNNNNNNNNNNNNNNNNNNNNNNNNNNNNNNNNNNNNNNNNNNNNNNNNNNNNNNNNNNNNNNNNNNNNNNNNNNNNNNNNNNNNNNNNNNNNNNNNNNNNNNNNNNNNNNNNNNNNNNNNNNNNNNNNNNNNNNNNNNNNNNNNNNNNNNNNNNNNNNNNNNNNNNNNNNNNNNNNNNNNNNNNNNNNNNNNNNNNNNNNNNNNNNNNNNNNNNNNNNNNNNNNNNNNNNNNNNNNNNNNNNNNNNNNNNNNNNNNNNNNNNNNNNNNNNNNNNNNNNNNNNNNNNNNNNNNNNNNNNNNNNNNNNNNNNNNNNNNNNNNNNNNNNNNNNNNNNNNNNNNNNNNNNNNNNNNNNNNNNNNNNNNNNNNNNNNNNNNNNNNNNNNNNNNNNNNNNNNNNNNNNNNNNNNNNNNNNNNNNNNNNNNNNNNNNNNNNNNNNNNNNNNNNNNNNNNNNNNNNNNNNNNNNNNNNNNNNNNNNNNNNNNNNNNNNNNNNNNNNNNNNNNNNNNNNNNNNNNNNNNNNNNNNNNNNNNNNNNNNNNNNNNNNNNNNNNNNNNNNNNNNNNNNNNNNNNNNNNNNNNNNNNNNNNNNNNNNNNNNNNNNNNNNNNNNNNNNNNNNNNNNNNNNNNNNNNNNNNNNNNNNNNNNNNNNNNNNNNNNNNNNNNNNNNNNNNNNNNNNNNNNNNNNNNNNNNNNNNNNNNNNNNNNNNNNNNNNNNNNNNNNNNNNNNCGGCGGCGGGGACAGCGACGAUGACGACGGACGACGGUACGGGCGACGGGCGGCGACGACGGGAUCGAGCGGUCCGCGCGGCGGAGGUGGGAGACGAAGUGGGGAGUUGAAACUGAAAUUUUCGUAAGUGCUAUAUAUAUAUAUAUAUAUAUAUAUAUAUAUAUAUAUAUAUAUAUAUAUAUAUGAUUGGCCUUUAGUACCGAAUCGUGGCUCCAACCGGUACUAAAGGCCUAUUUUCGCCAGGCCAAGCGGCGGGAAACGAAGGCUUUUAGUACCGGUUGGAGCCACCAACCGGUACUAAAGGGGGGCCUUUAGUACCGGUUGGAGCCACCAACCGGUACUAAAGGCCUUGCGCUGCCACCCCAAAAUUUAGUCCCACCUCGCCCGGCGAAGGGCAGCCGCACUGGUUUAUAAACCUAGCCGCGGCUACCUCUUCGAACUCCUCUAUAUAGCAGCCUUCUGGGCCUAAUUAAUUAGGGCGCGCUGCCAUGUGAGUCUGCUGGCCCUUCUGGGCCUGCAUUUGCACACCCUAGGUCUGGUAGACCCACAGGGCAGUGCGCCAACAAAUUUUUUAUAUAGUUUUAUCUUUUCUGCAUUACUUAUUUUCUUUUAUUUAUUUUUGAGUAGUUUUUUAUAUAGUUUUUGUUUUCUGCAUUAUUUAUUUUCUUCUAUUUAUUUUUGAGUAAUUUUUUUGUAUAGUUUUUUUAUUUUCUGCAUUACUUAUUUUUGCAUAGUCCGAAACCCUGAUACUCGGAAAGAGUUUGUCCAGUUUGUACACGAAGUGCGUCCAGUUUUUGCCGUGACCCUCUCUACUCUUUCGCGCAUGCUAUGCGGGUGAUACGAUGAUACCAUGCCAAGUUUCAACAUUUUCAGGAUUCAUUUUGUAGUGAUUUUCAAUUUCACGGUCAUUUAGCUCUCUAAACAAUUAGGUAAAUGACUGAAAAACAACAAAUGAUGUCAGAACAUGUUGAAAAUUGAUGACGUCGCUUUAAAUGCUGCAUACUGAACACAAAAGAAGUCCGGAGUACAAAUAAGUUUAAAAAACAUUGAAGUGGCCAUGUAACAGAUGAGUUCUCGUCCGAAACCCUGAUACUCGGAAAGAGUAUGUCCAUUUUGUACACGAAGUGCGUCCAGUUUUUGCCGUGACCCUCUCUACUCUUUCGCGCAUGCUAUGCGGGUGAUAUGAUGAUACCAUGCCAAGUUUCAGCAUUUUCAGGAUUCAUUUUGUAGUGAUUUUCAAUUUCACGGUCAUUUAGCUCUCUAAACAAUUAGGUAAAUGACCGAAAAACAACAAAUGAUGUCAGAAUAGACUGCACUGCACAUAGCUCAGUGUAGACUACACUGCACAUAGCUCAGUGCAAUCUAUGUUAUUCCGCAAGGCUUGAAGCUAAUCAACAUGUAGAUGAGCAUUGCAAUUCUUCGUCAUUGUCUGUGCACUCACGGCUUAUAAACCGCUCAUACUGCCUCUCUCUUGGCGAGGUGGGACUAAAAACAACUUGCCAUAACCUCAUCAAUUUCCUCUUGAAGCUUGUCCUUGCCUUUUUGCUUGUAUUCUUGUGGUGGAAGAUCAUCUUGAGCUUGUGUCCCCUUGAAGGAAGUAGGAUACUUCUCUUGUUGAGGAACAAACUUUGUCUUGGGGUAUUGAUCUUCUUCCCACUCAACUCCAUUGGCAUUGAACUUUCGUUCAAAACCAACACCUUGAUUCUUCCAGUGCCUUCCUUGCUUGCGCACAAUUUCCUCGAAUUGCUUACUCCCGGCAAGGCUUUUGUACAUUCCUUUCUCUAUAAUUCCCUUCAAUAAGCUAUUUUCUUGCUCAAGUGUAACUUGGCUAAGAGAAUCAUUAGUGGAAUCAAGAGAACUACUAGAAGCAACAAUGUUAGAUCUUAUGUCACAAAAAAGAAGUCGUAUCAAACCUUUUAUGUCGGAUCUAGAACAAACCAAUCGGUAUCGCCAUCAUACAGCCCUACCGUGGCUUGUGAUGCAUAUAUAUAUGCAUAUCAAAUGCACGGUUGGGCGUAUGAUGGCGAAUCCGAAUGAUUUGUAUUCAGUCGAUGAACUGGUAGAUGUAUGCAGUCGAUGAACUGGUAGAUGUAUGUAGUCGAUGAACUGAAAGACUUAUGCAGGGAAGGCGAGAGAUGGGCUAUAUAUAGGGUCGUCUGGCUCACAAAGUGAUUGUGGUAGUUUCGAUCCAACGACUCACAUGAGCUAGGAAGAAGCACACCCUUGAUCCAACGACUCGCAAGAGCUAUAAAGAAACACACGAUCCAUGUGAUUCUUCCUGAUUGGUGGGAUGCACAUUAGUAUCGGUUUGUGCCAUGAACUGGUGCUAAAGAUUGGCAAUGAACCGGUACUAAUGGUAGCAGCCCGCCUAGCCGUUGGAAUCGGCACUAAUGGUCACAUUUGUGCCGGCUCAAAUUCAAACCGGCACUAUAAUGUGCUUCACAUUUGACUGUUUUUCUACUAGUCAAUAGAGUUUGCCAAACUUGAGUUUCCCAAGUCACUUACACAAAAAGCUAUGAUUCAUGGUUGUCAAAUCCAUAAUUUACAAACCACAACAACCUUGAGGCAUAACAAGCUUUAAAUGCUGCAUACUGAACACAAAAGAAGUCCAGAGUUUAAAUAAGUUAUUAAAAAUAAAAAAGAGGUGCAAUGCUGGUUAAUUUGCUUCAAGCUAUUCGGAAUAGUGUAGAUUGCACUAAGCCACUGCACAUAGCUCAGUGCAAUCUAUGCUAUUCCGCAAGGCUUGAAGCUAAUCAACAUGUAGGUGAGCAUUGCAACUCUUCGUCAUUGUCUGUGCACUCACGGCUUAUAAACCGCUCAUACUACCUCUCUCUUGGCGAGGUGGGACUAAAAACAUCUUGCCAUAACCUCAUUAGUACUGGUUCAUGGUACGAACCGGCACUAAAUGGUGAUGGUGGGGCCAUAGCCUGACCGCAGGCUGACACAGCCUCUUUAGUACCGGUUCGUGGCAUGAACCGGUACUAAAGGUUCGCCACGAACCGGUACUAUUGAUCGCCGCCACGAACCGGCACUAAUGUACACAUUAGUGCCGGCUCUAAUUCAAACCGGCACUAAUGUGCUUCACAUUUGACCCUUUUUCUACUAGUGUAUGGCAUUUCCAUAGCCAUUCCGAGAUAUAUUGCCAUGCAACUUUCCAUCGUUCCAUUAUUAUGACACACUUCAUCAUUGUCAUAUUUGCUUGCAUGAUCAUGUAGUUGGCAUCGUAUUUGUGCAAAGCCACCAUUCAUAAUUCUUCAUACAUGUCACUCUUGAUUCACUGCAUAUCCCGGUACACCGCCGGAGGCAUUCACAUAGAGUCAUAUUUUGUUCUAAGUAUCGAGUUGUAAUUCUUGAGUUGUAAGUAAAUAAAAGUGUGAUGAUCAUCAUUAUUAGAGAAUUGUCCCAAGUGAGGAAAGGAUGGAGACUAUGAUUCCACAACAAGUCGGCAUGAGACUCCGGACGAAAAUAAAAAAAGAGGGAAAAAAGAGAAAGGCCAUAAAAAAGAAGGCCCAAAAAAUGAGAGAAAAAGAGAGAAGGGGCAAUGUUACUAUCCUUUUUCCACACUUGUGCUUCAAAGUAGCACCAUCAUCUUCAUGAUAGAGAGUCUCCUAUGAUAUCACUUUCAUAUACUAGUGGGAAUUUUUCAUUAUAGAACUUGGCUUGUAUAUUCCAAUGAUGGGCUUCCUCAAAUUGCCCUAGGUCUUCGUGAGCAAGCAAGUUGGAUGCACACCCACUUAGUUUCUUUUGUUGAGCUUUCAUACACUUAUAGCUCUAGUGCAUCCGUUGCAUGGCAAUCCCUACUCAAUCACAUUGAUAUCUAUUAAUGGGCAUCUCCAUAGCCCGUUGAUACGCCUGUUCUGGAGCUCCGCCAGAGGGGGCAUCGAUCACGGAGGGCUUCUACAUCAACAGCAUAGCCUCUCCGAUGAAGUGUGAGUAGUUGACCUCAGACCUACGGGUCCAUAGUUAUUACCUAGAUGGCUUCUUCUCUCUUUUUGGAUCUCAAUACAAUGUUCUCCCCCUCUCUUGUGGAGAACUAUUCGAUGUAAUCUUCUUUUUGCGGUGUGUUUAUUGAGAUCGAUGAAUUGUGGGUUUAUGAUCAAGUCUAUCUAUGAAUAAUAUUUGAAUCUUCUCUGAAUUCUUUUAUGUAUGAUUGUUUAUCUUUGCAAGUCUCCUCGAAUUAUCAGUUUGGUUUGGCCUACUAGAUUGAUCUUUCUUACAAUGGGAGAAGUGCUUAGCUUUGGGUUCAAUCUUGCGGUGUCCUUUCCCAGUGACAGCAGGGGCAGCAAGGCAUGUAUUGUAUUGUUGCUAUCGAGGACAACAAGAUGAGGUUUUCAUCAUAUUGCAUGAGUCUAUCCCUCUACAUCAUGUCAUCUAGCUUAAGGCGUUACUCUGUUUUUAACUUAAUACUCUAGAUGCAUGCUGGAUAGCGGUCGAUGAGUGGAGUAAUAGUAGUAGAUGCAGGCAGGAGUCGGUCUACUUGUCUCGGACGUGAUGCCUAUAUACAUGAUCAUACCUAGAUAUUCUCAUAAAUAUGCUCAAUUAUGUCAAUUGCUCAACAGUAAUUUGUUCACCCACCAUAGAAUUAUUAUGCUCUCGAGAGAAUCUACUAGUGAAACCUAUGGCCCCCGGGUCUAUCUUUAUCAUAUUAAUCUCCUACUACUUAGUUAUUUCCUUUGCUUUUUCCUUUGCCUUUAUUUUACUUUUCAUCUUUAUCACAAAAAUACCAAACAUAUUAUCUUUAUCAUAUCUAUCAGAUCUCACUCUCAUAAGUGGCCGUGUAGGGAUUGACAACCCCUAUUCGCGUUGGUUGCGAGGAUUUAUUUGUUUUGUGCAAGUACGAGGGACUCGCGCGUAGCCUCCUACUGGAUUGAUACCCUUGGUUCUCAAACUGAGGGAAAUACUUACGCUACUUUGCUACAUCAUCCCUUCCUCUUCGGGGAAAACCAACGCAGUGCUCAAGAGGUAGCAAGAAGGAUUUCUGGUGCCAAUGCCGGGGAGGUCUACGCAAAAGUCAACAUACCAAGUACCCGUCACAUACCCUUAUCUCCCGCAUUACAUUAUUUGCCAUUUGCCUCUCGUUUUCACCUCCCCCACUUCACCCUUGCCAUUUUAUUCGCCCUCUCUCUCUCUCUAUCCUCCCUCUCUUUCUCUAUUUGCCUCUUUUUUCCCGCUUGCUUUCUGUUUGCUUGUGUGUUAGUUGCUUGCUUGUCACGAUGGCUCAAGAUAAUACUAAAUUAUGUGACUUCACCAAUACCAACAACAAUCAUUUUAUUAGCACUCCGAUUGCUCCUCUUACCGAUGCUGAAUCUUGUGAAAUUAAUACUGCUUUGCUGAAUCUUGUCAUGAAAGAUCUGUUUUCCGGCCUUCCUAGUGAACAUGCCGGUACCCACCUAAAUAGAUUCAUUGAUUUGUGUGACAUGCAAAAAAAAGAAAGGUGUGGAUAAUGAUAUUGUUAAAUUGAAGCUAUUUCCUUUUUUGCUUAGAGAUCGUGCUAAAGCUUGGUUUUCGUCUUUGCCUAAAAAUAGUAUUGAUUCAUGGAAUAAGUGCAAAGAUGCUAUUAUCUCUAAGUAUUUUCCUCCUACUAAGAUCAUCUCUCUUAGAAACAAUAUUAUGAAUUUUAAGCAACUUGAUCAUGAACAUGUUGCACAAGCUUGGGAGAGAAUGAAACUAAUGGUACGUAAUUGCCCUGCCCAUGAUUUAAAUUUGUGGAUGAUUAUACAAAAAUGUUAUGCCGGAUUGAAUUUUGCUUCUAGAAAUCUUUUAGAUUCGGCCGCGGGAGGCACUUUUAUGGAAAUCACUUUAGAAGAAUCUACUAAACUCCUAGAUAAUAUUAUGGUUAAUUAUGCUCAACGGCAUAGUAAAAUAUCUAAUAAUAAAAAGGUGCAUGCGAUACAAGAAAUUAAUGUUUUGAGUGGAAAGAUGGAUGAACUUCUGAAAUUAUUUGCUAAUAAGAGUGUUUCUUCUGAUCCUAAUGAUAUACCCUUGUCUACUUUGAUUGAGAAUAGUAAUGAAUCUAUGGAUGUGGAUUUUGUUGGUAGGAACAAUUUUGGUAACAACGCGUAUAGAGGAAAUUUCAACCCUAGGCCUUAUCCUAGUAAUCUCUCUAAUAAUUAUGGUAAUUCCUACAACAAUUCUUAUGGAAAUUAUAAUAAGAUGCCCUCUAAUUUUGAAUCUAAUAUUAAAGAAUUUAUUACUUUGCAAAAGAAUUUCAAUACCUUGAUUGAAGAAGAACCGCUAGGAUGCGUGCUAAGAAAGAUGCCUUUAUAAGAGCGUGUUCUUCUAGUUCCUAUGAAAAUAAUGAUGAAGAUCUAAAAGUUAUUGAUGUGUUCCCUAUUAAAUCUUUGUUUUUCAACAUGGAUCUUGAUAAUGAUGGGAUUGAAUAUGAUCCACCUUUACCUAUAAGGCGUUCCAAGAAUUCAGAAUUUGUUGAUCUUGAUGCUAAAAUUGAUAAAGGUGGGAUUGAAGAAAUUAAAACCCUAGAUGUUGCUAAACCCACUAUUAUGGAUUUCAAGGAAUUUAACUAUGAAAAUUGCUCUUUUAUUGAUUGUAUAUCCUUUUUACAAUCCGUGCUAAAUUCUCCUCAUGCUUAUAGUCAAAAUAAAGCGUUUACUAAACAUAUCGUUGAUGCCUUGAUGCAAUCUUAUGAAGAAAAACUUGAAUUGGAAGUUUCUAUCCCUAGAAAGCUUUAUGAUGAGUGGGAACCAACUAUUAAAAUUAAAAUUAAAUAUCAUUAAUGCUAUGCUUUAUGUGAUUUGGGUGCUAGUGUUUCCACGAUUUCAAAGACUUUGUGUGAUUUGUUAGGUUUCCGUGAUUUUGAUGAUUGCUCUUUAAACUUGCGCCUUGUGGAUUCCACUAUUAAGAAACCUAUGGGAAGAAUUAAUGAUGUUCUUAUUGAUGCAAAUAGGAAUUAUGUGCCUGUAGAUUUUAUUGUUCUUGACAUAGAUUGCAAUCUUUCAUGUCCUAUUAUUCUUGGUAGACCUUUCCUUAGAACGAUUGGUGCAAUUAUUGAUAUGAAGGAAGGAAAUAUUAGAUUCCAAUUUCCAUUAAGGAAAGUCAUGGAACACUUUACUAGAAAGUAAAUUAAAUUACCUUAUGAAUCUAUUAUGAUAGCCACUUAUGGAUUGCCUACCAAAGAUGGCAAUACCUAGAUCUAUCCUUGCUUGUUAUGCCUAGCUAGGGGCGUUAAACGAUAGCGCUUGUUGGGAGGCAACGCAAUUUUGUUUUUAUUCCUUGAUUUUUGCUCCUGUUUAGUAAUAAAUAAUUUAUCUAGCCUCUGUUUUGGUUGUGUCCUUUGUGUUUAAUUAGUGUUGGUGCCAAGUAGAACCGUUAGGAAGACUUGGGGAAAGUCUUGUUACACUUGCUGUAAAAAACAGAAACUUCAGCGCUCACGAGAACUACUGCCAUUUUUAUUUGGAAAGUUCUAUUUAGUUAAUUAUUUCUGCAGAUGAUUAAUAGAUAAAUUCCUCACGUCCAGAAAUUUAUUUUAGAAUUUUUGGGGUUCCAGCUCUUGAGCUAGGUACAGAUUACUACAGACUGUUCUGUUUUUGAAAGAUUUUGUUUUUCAUGUGUUGUUUGCUUAUUUUGAUGAACCUAUGGCUAGUAAAAUAGUUGAUAGACCAUAGAUAAGUUGGAAUACAGUAGGUAUAACACCAAUAUAAAUAAAUAAUGAGUUCAUUAUAGUACCUUGAAGUGGUCUUUUAUUUUCUUUCGCUAACGGAGCUCACGAGAUUUUCUACUUUAAGUUUUGUGUUGUGAAGUUUUCGAGUUUUGGGUAAAGAUUUGAUGGUUUAUGGAACAAGGAGUGACAAGAGCCUAAGCUUGGGGAUGCCCAUGGCACCCCCAAGAUAAUCUAAGUACACCUAAAAGCCAAAGCUUGGGGAUGCCCCGGAAGUCAUCCCCUCUUUCGUCUACUUCUAUCGGUAACUUUACUUGGAGCUAUAUUUUUAUUCGCCACAUGAUAUGUGUUUUGCUUGGAGCAUCUUGUAUUAUUUGACUCUUUAUUUGUUAGUUUACCACAAUCAUCCUUCCUGUACACACCUUUUUUAGAAUACUCUAUGUGCUUCGCUUAUAUCUUUUGAGUUAUAUAGUUUUGCUCUAGUACUUCACUUAUAUCUUUUAGAGCACGGUGGUGGAUUUGUUUUAUAAAAACUAUUGAUCUCUCAUGCUUCACUUAGAUUAUUUUGAGAUGCUUAAUAGCAUGGUAAUUUGCUUAAAAUCCUAAUAUGCUAGGUAUUCAAAGUUAGUAUAAUUUUCUUAAGAGUGUUUUGAAUACUAAGAGAAGUUUGAUGCUUGAUGAUUGUUUUGAGAUAUGGAGGUAAUAAUAUCAAAGUCGUGCUAGUUGAGUAGUUGUGAAAUUGAGAAAUACUUGUGUUGAAAUUUGCAUGUCCCGUAGCAUGCACAUAUGGUAAACGUUGUGUAACAAAUUUGAAACAUCAGGUGUUAUUUGAUUGUCUUCCUUAUGAGUGGCGGUCGGGGACGAGCGAUGGUCUUUUCCUACCAAUCUAUCCCCCUAGGAGCAUGCGCGUAGUACCGAGGUUUUUGAUCACUUGUAGAUUUUUGCAAUAAGUAUGUGAGUUCUUUAUGACUAAUGUUGAGUCCAUGAAUUAUACGCACUCUCACCCUUCCAUCCUUGCUAGCCUCUUCGGUACCGUGCAUUGCCCUUUCCCACAUUGAGUGUUGGAGCAAACUUCGCCGGUGCAUCCAAACCCCGUGAUAUGAUACGCUCUUUCACACAUAAACCUCCUUAUAUCUUCCUCAAAACAGCCACCAUACCUACCUAUUAUGGCAUUUCCAUAGCCAUUCCGACAUAUAUUGCCAUGCAACUUUCCACCAUUCCGUUCAUCAUGACACAUUCAUCAUUGUCAUAUUGCUUAGCAUAAUCAUGUUGUUGACAUAGUAUUUGUGGCAAGGCCACUGUUCAUAAUUCUUUCAUACAUGUCACUCUUGGUCCAUUGCAUAUCCCGGUACACCGCUGGAGGCAUUCAUAUAGAGUCAUACUUUGUUCUAGUAUCGAGUAGUAAUUAUUGAGUUGUAAAUAAAUAGAAGUGUGAUGAUCAUCAUUAAUAGAGCAUGGUCCCAAAGAGAGAAAAAAGGAAGGGCCAAAAAAGGCCAAAUAAAAAAUAUAAAAAAGGGGGGCAAUGCUACUAUCCUUUUUUCCACACUUGUGAUUCAAAGUAGCACUGUAAUCUUCAUGAUAGAGAGUAUCUUGAUUUGUCACUUUCAUAUACUAGUGGGAAUUUUUCAUUAUAGAACUUGGCUUGUAUAUUCCAACAAUGGGCCUCCUUAAGUGCCCUAGGUCUUCGUGAGCAAGCAAGUUGGAUGCACACCCACUUAGUUUCUUUUGUUGAGCUUUCAUACAUUUAUAGCUCUAGUGCAUCCGUUGCAUGGCAAUCCCUACUCCUUGCAUUAACAUCAAUCGAUGGGCAUCUCCAUAGCCCAUUGAUUAGCCUCGUUGAUGUGAGACUUUCUCCUUUUUGUCUUCUCCACAUAACUCCACUCAUUAUAUUCUAUUCCACCCAUAGUGUUAUGUCCAUGGCUUGCAAUCAUAUAUUGCGUGGAAGUUUAUAGGUUUGAGAUCACUAAAGUAUGAAACAAUUGCUUAGCUUGUCAUCGGGGUUGUGCAUGAUGAGAGCGUUGUUGUGUGACAAAAAUGAAGCAUGACUAAACUAUAUGAUUUUGUAGGGAUGAACUUUCUUUGGCCAUGUUAUUUUGAGAAGACAUAAUUGCUCAGUUAGUAUGCUUGAAGUAUUAUUAUUUUUAUGUCAAUAUGAACUUUUGUCUUGAAUCUUUCGGAUCUGAAUAUUCAUAUCACAAUUAAGAAGAAUUACAUUAAAAUCAUGCUAAGUAGCACUCUGCAUCAAAAAUUCUGUUUUUAUCAUUUACCUACUCGAGGACGAGCAGGAAUUAAGCUUGGGGAUGCUUGAUACGUCUCCAACGUAUCUAUAAUUUUUGAUUGCUCCAUGCUAUAUUAUCUACUGUUUUGGACAAUAUUGGGCUUUAUUAUCCACUUUUAUAUUAUUUUUGGGACUAACCUAUUAACCGGAGGCCCAGCCCAGGAUUGCUGUUUUUUGCCUAUUUUAGGGUUUCGAAGAAAAGGAAUAUCAAACGGAGUCCAAACGGAAUGAAACCUUCGGGAACGUGAUUUUCUCAACGAACAAGACCCAGGAGACUUGGACCCUCCGUCAAGACACAAAAGAGGAGGCCACGAGGUAGGGGGCGUGCCUACCCCCCGGGCGCGCCCUCCACCCUCGUGGGCCCCCUGUUGCUCCACCGACGUACUCCUUCCUCCUAUAUAUACCUACGUACCCCCAAAUGAUCAUAUACGGAGCCAAAACCCUAAUUACACCGCCGCAACAUUUUGUAUCCACGAGAUCCCAUCUUGGCGCCUGUUCCGGAGCUCCGCCGGAGGGGGCAUCGAUCAUGGAGGGCUUCUACAUCAACACCAUAGCCUCUCCGAUGAAGUGUGAGUAGUUGACCUCAGACCUACGGGUCCAUAGUUAUUACCUAGAUGGCUUCUUCUCUCUUUUUGGAUCUCAAUACAAUGUGCUCCCCCUCUCUUGUGGAGAACUAUUCGAUGUAAUCUUCUUUUUGUGGUGUGUUUGUUGAGACCGAUGAAUUUUGGGUUUAUGAUCAAGUCUAUCUAUGAAUAAUAUUUGAAUCUUCUCUGAAUUCUUUUAUGUAUGAUUGGUUAUCUUUGCAAGUCUCUUCGAAUUACCCGUUUGGUUUGGCCUACUAGAUUGAUCUUUCUUGCAAUGGGAGAAGUGCUUAGCUUUGGGUUCAAUCUUGCGGUGUCCUUUCCCAGUGACAGUAGGGGCAGCAAGGUACGUAUUGUAUUGUUGCCAUCGAGGACAACAAGAUGGGGUUUUCAUCAUAUUUUAUGAGUCUAUCCCUCUACAUCAUGUCAUCUUACUUAAGGCAUUAAUCUGUUUUUAACUUAAUACUCUAGAUGCAUGCUGGAUAGCGGUCGAUGAGUGGAGUAAUAGUAGUAGAUGCAGGCAGGAGUCGGUCUACUUGUCUCGGACGUGAUGCCUAUAUACAUGAUCAUACCUAGAUAAUCUCAUAACUAUGCUCAGUUCUGUCAAUUGCUCAAUAGUAAUUUGUUCACCCACCGUAGAAUACUUAUGCUCUUGAGAGAAGCCACUAGUGAAACCUAUGGCCCCCGGGUCUAUCUUUAUCAUAUUAAUCUCCUACUACUUAGUUAUUUCCUUUGCUUUUUUACUUUGCCUUUAUUUUACUUUGCAUCUUUAUCACAAAAAUAAAAAUAUCUUUAUCAUAUCUAUCAAAUCUCACUCUCGUAAGUGGCCGUGUAGGGAUUGACAACCCCUAUUCACGUUGGUUGCGAGGAUUUAUUUGUUUUGUGCAGGUACGAGGGACUGGCGCAUAGCCUCCUACUGGAUUGAUACCUUGGUUCUCAAAACCUAAGGGAAAUACUUACGCUACAUUGCUGCAUCAUCCCUCACUCUUCGGGGAAAACCAACGCAGUGCGCAAGAGGUAGCAAGGGUUCCUUUUUGUCGACGAUCUGAUGUUUCAACCUUGUUUUCCAGGCGGCCAACGCAUCGCUCAACUUGGUCAUGGCGUGUUUGUUUAUCUUCGUCAUUGCCAGGUCCUUAUCUGGAUCUUUAUUAUCCUUUUCAUUACGGUCCGGGAACAAGAAUAUCUGGUGCAGCUUCUUUAGGAGGGAGGGCCUCUGGUGCAGCUUCUAUAGUUUCCCAUCGUUGAUCAUGGCAGUUGUCCGUACAAUGCAACCUAUUUGAUUGCCGUAGCACGAUUGCGCUUCCUCGGGUGCUAUUGUCUCAAAAAUACCGUCGUCCAUCUCCGUGACCACCAGUCUAGUACUCAUGAGCUGGUUUAGGCGUCGUGGCCUCUUUGCUUUCGGUUCUAGACUAACUCCGCUAGUCUCGGCGCUGGUCUCAGUCUCAUCGCCGGUCUGCAUGUCGGUAUCAGUCCCUGAUGCGACAACACAGUCGCUGCAACAUGGGUAAGGGAGACCACAUCAGUGCUGGGGGGUCCGAAAAUCGGGACACACUUUCGCGCGUCGCGGGCCGCCUCUCAGACAGCUACUGGGGAGGCGGCGGAGUACCUGGGUGCGCCGCGAAUCCCCGGGAACUCGGUGACCAACUUCCUUCCCGUGUGGCGCAUGGAGACGACAGCGACCCCGGCGAAGAGUAGCUUAGCCGCGAGCUGCACAGCCUCGUCCACCUCCUAAGUUGGGACCUCCGCGCAAGCGUUGCGGGGCCGCCGCUCGGGUGGCUUCUGGAAGGCGGUUGUACAUGGGCACAGGGUGAAUCCCGACUAGAGCUGGCCAUUGGCGCGCGCAAGUAGACGACGACGUCCCCGACGAAGAGCUGCCCGGCCAGCUCGCCUCACUCUCCUUUGAUUAGAAAUGAAAGAUUGGGAAGAAGCAGACUUGAGCCUGCAGAGAAAGGAUAAGGUGACGAUGCAGUCUCCACUCGUUCGGGGCGACACGCGUACUGAAUGUAUGAGAAACGUGACGUGGCAGAGACCCCAAGAUACUCCCUCCAUUUAUUUUUAGUCUGCAUAUAAAGUUUGGUCAAAGUCAAGAUUUGUAAAUUUUAACUAACUUUAUAAUAAAAAAAUAUCAAUAUUCACAAUAUGAAAUCAAUAUUACCAGAUGCGUCAUGAAAUGUAUUUCCAUACUAUAAAGUUUUGGUAUUGUAGAGGCACUCUUCCAUAUAAUGAAGUUUAUAAUAUAUGUGCUUAUAUUGUACUACAAUUGUUUGAAUAGCUUAGCAUAUGUUCAGAUGUAUGAUAUCUGUAAUUUAAGCGCUUGAAUUUUACAUAUAAAUAUUUAUUAAUAAAUAUGUACCCCUAUAAUAGCUAGGCCGUGCAGUUGCACGGGUAGAUGACUAGUGAUUACAAUCUUGUUUGUGUGCAAGUCAAGCUUAUCUAGUUUACACGUAACAACUUGUAGAACAUUACAAAAUUUAUGCUUGCUAAUAACUUCUAGAACACUACAACACUUGACAUGUAAAAGGAAUUUGACGAGUCAUGGCCUACUAAAGCAAGUUACAUUACUAGUCUUAUCUAUCUUAACAGACCACACAAGAUUACAAACUAAGUACCGUGACAGCCAUACUUAUCUAGUUUAUGCGUAACAAUUUGCAGAAAAUUAGAAACUUAGUUUCAGAAAAAUACGCAAUCUAGAUUAGUGUUUGAGCUGUAAAGUGAAUAAGAUGAGUCAUGCAUGUUAUCACACCUUUUUGGUGGUGGAAUGAUAGUGCAACAACAAGGAACUUUAAUGACCAGUCCAAGAAUACACUUGUAAGUAGUGCCACCAAACAGAACAUUCCAAAUGAUGAUUUUUAGAAGCAUCCAAGCACUUUCCACACAAACAAAUGCCAAUUGUGAAAGAGAUCAUUCCAUGGCAGCUAUAAAUAGCCCCAUAGCAUGACGAUCAUCCUUCCUCAUCCAUCAUUCUCAUUAGUAGAGCGCAUCAUUUAAGCCAAGCAAGCUGUGGUCAAUACAAAUCCACCAUGAAGACCUUUCUCAUCCUUGCCCUCCUUGCUAUCGUGGCGACCACCGCCACAACUGCAGUUAGAGUUCCAGUGCCACAAUUGCAGCCACAAAAUCCAUCUCAGCAACAGCCACAAGAGCAAGUUCCAUUGGUACAACAACAACAAUUUCUAGGGCAGCAACAACCAUUUCCACCACAACAACCAUAUCCACAGCCGCAACCAUUUCCAUCACAACAACCAUAUCUGCAGCUGCAACCAUUUCCGCAGCCGCAACUACCAUAUUCGCAGCCACAACCAUUUCGACCACAACAACCAUAUCCACAACCGCAACCACAGUAUUCGCAACCACAAGAACCAAUUUCACAGCAGCAGCAACAACAACAACAACAACAACAAAUCCUUCAACAAAUUUUGCAACAACAACUGAUUCCAUGCAUGGAUGUUGUAUUGCAGCAACACAACAUAGCGCAUGGAAGAUCACAAGUUUUGCAACAAAGUACUUACCAGCUAUUGCAAGAAUUGUGUUGUCAGCACCUAUGGCAGAUCCCUGAGCAGUCGCAGUGCCAGGCCAUCCAAAAUGUUGUUCAUGCUAUUAUUCUGCAUCAACAACAAAAACAACAACAACAACCAUCGAGCCAGGUCUCCUUCCAACAGCCUCUGCAACAAUAUCCAUUAGGCCAGGGCUCCUUCCGGCCAUCUCAGCAAAACCCACAGGACCAGGGCUCUGUCCAGCCUCAACAACUGCCCCAGUUCGAGGAAAUAAGGAACCUAGCGCUACAGACGCUACCUGCAAUGUGCAAUGUCUACAUCCCUCCAUAUUGCACCAUCGCGCCAUUUGGCAUCUUCGGUACUAACUGAGAAGAAAAUAACUCUAGUACUAGAUAUAUGAAACACCGUUUUCUCAGUCCAUGGUUUGGUCAUUGUAGCGUUGAAAAAAUAAUGUGACAUGCACUAUCAUGUAAGAAUCCGAACUAUACUAGUUCAAACUUGGGAAUAAAAGACAAACACAGGUCUUGUCUACAUAUUUAUGUUGCAUCUAUUUAUAUAUUAAAAGUAAUAUAAGGUGAACCAGGAGCAAGGUAAAUAUGCUAGAAAAUUGCACGUUAAUUAGAAAUUACUAGCCCUCGAUCUGGUAAAUCUUAACAAAUAGAAUUAUCUUCACCGUUAGAUUUAUGUAACAUAUAUAAUGCUCUGGGCCUCCAACGACUGUACGUGACACAUCUGAAUGAACAUAUGUUAAAGAAAAUAUAUUUGGUAAAUGGUGGGCCUGUUUAAAAAGAGAACUCACGUACAUGCACCAACUAAGAAAAACACAUACAUGUAAACGGGAAAAGGAUGAGAUUUUCUCACGUACGUGCUCCCUGGCUCCACCCCGUUGAAAAAAUAUACAUCUGGAGGCCACUUUGUUUCCUCAUCAAAAAAAACUUACGUUAAAAAGAUUGCAUGCAUCCCAGGGAAAAUAGUCAAGAAGAAGUCGGACUUUUCCUUACAAAAACAAGGAACGUGUUAAGUUGACUUCAAAGAAAAAAGGAACAUGUUAAGUUAAAAAAAACAAGAAACCUGUUAAGUUAGAAAAAAACAGGGAACGUGGUGUCCUAGGAAAGAUAUGUGUCAAAUCUUACAAAAAAAAAGAAUACACACACGUACGUUCAUGCACUUGGAAAAUAGAAGAAAAAAAAGGAAACAUCACGUAUGUAUACACUUCGGAAACUCAUUACAUGACCAUGUCUGAUAUACUCCUCUAAUGCUUAAUAUUAGUGCCUAAUAAUUUAUAUUUGAAAUUUAAUUUACUGAUCAAAUAUCCCCACUGUUUAAAUUUUAAUUUGGCACAUUGUUUGGCUAUAGUAUGAACCUAAAUUUCCUCUUAUUAUUAUAUAUCAUGGUAAUAAUCCAAAGGCGACUAAUCUGCACCGGGGCACCCGCGCAAUCAAUUCGGCUAGACACAGCGCAGCCGUUUGAUUAGAUUGCAUUUAACCGUCAGAUCUGGAAUCGUUUUCUUUCCAAUUAAACAGAUUCAACCAAACAGCAGAGGGGAAAACAAAGCAGCGCCGCCGCCAACACUAGCCAUGGACGACUGAUGUAGCAAAACCUUGAAGAACCGCCGCCGGUCGCCACCCUCGCCGCUGGUCGCAGCCCUCGCCGUCGGUCACCGCCGGUCGCCGCCCUCGCCGCCUGCGUUUCUCAUCGGCUUCAUGCAUGCAACAACAUGCACUCGUGGUUGCAGGCUUGCAUCUCCGGCUCUGGGGGACAUGGCCGCAUCUCCGGUAGCGCCGGCCGCCGGCCGCAGCACCUGUCGUUGUGGUCGCGCUGUACCUCGCCGUGUGCCCUCCCGAGGCUCUUGCUAGUUCCAACAAAAAACGAUACCUGUUGUAGCAAAAAAGUAUCGCUUCCAGCAAAAAAAGCUUACCGCUACAGCCCGCCAUCGUCAUUGUAGCAAAAAUGUUUACCCGAUGUAGCUUCUGUGGUUGCCGAUUGCAGCAAAAAAUGACAUGGUUGUAGCAAAACACAAAAGAAAAACGCCGGCCGGCCGCUGUGUAUGGUGGUAACAAACCCUAUAGCCGGUGGUAGCGAAAAACUUCAUAGUUUGCAGCAAAAAAAAAUGUUGUCACCCGUCGUCGAGGUUGCAUCAUCUUCAAGAAUUAUGUCGCAAAAAAACGUUGUCGCCGGUAGUAGCAAAUGAAGCCGCCGGUAGUAGCAAAACAAGACACUGGUUCCAGCCAAAAAAAAUCAGCGACAGAACCUUUGGUUGGUUCCAACAAAAAAACUUGUUGGUUGUAACAUCCCUCACCGCCGGAUGUAGCAUCUCCCGGGGCUGGUUGCAACACUCCAUAAAAAAAAGUUGUCUAUGAGCGCAUCCAUGGCGACUGUUGCACCGUCAGCAACGAGGGGAAGAGGAGGCAAUGAAAAUCGUUCGAGUCAUAGCUCCACAGGACGCAACUGCAGCAUGGGGAGUCCAAAAAUCUGUCACAAGCAAGAUGCGCCUCGCCAUCCUCCUGCGCAGGAGAGAGAAGAAAAAGGAAUAAGAGGAAGAAGAAAGGAAACGGGAGAAAGAAAAAAGAAACGAUUGAUGGUUGGCUCAGGCAAUUAGUCAAACGAGGGGCACGCGGGGCCGCAGGAUACAGCGCAAUCGAACGAAGCGUGCGCGUCCGGCCGAAGACUCGGCUGGACUGCCGGCUGGAAACGUUUCCCUAAUCCAAAGGCUUUGUCUGAAUGACAAGUCGUCUGGGUUACCGGCUAACUAGAAAAAAGAUAAAUAUGCUAGAGAAUUCCAUAAUAAUUAAAAAUAUCUAGCCUUUAAUUAUGUAAAUCAGAAAAUCACAACCGUUGGAUUUACUUUAAAGGUAAAUUUCUCUAAAUUCCCACCAUUGCCAGUAUGUAGAAACAUGUGCUGCUUCAAUUCUCCCUUAAUCACCAAUCAAUCAACAACACAAAACAUACCUUAGUUAAAAAAAACUGAACAAAAAAAAAGAAAAAAAGAAGAAAGGACAAGAUACACGCAUGUACACGACAGCCUUGGCUUGAAACACAUCAGUAGAUCAAGUGUCCGCCUCCCUUACACAGAAUAAAUUCUAGGGAAGAAAAUAAUAGUGCAACCUAACCUUAUACGUACUAUUCUAUCCUCGAGUCCCAUGUGGUUUACAAGCCUACCGCCGCCGCAUCAUGCCAUCCUCUCCUUUCAGCUCCCAUGCUCUCCAGCACCCUCCUUGCCGCGCCACUACUCGCCUAGGGAUAUUGCUGCUCAGGCCGUGGAGCUUAACCUGCUUCUUCUUCAGCAAAUAUGGAACUGCUUUAGGAUCCUUCUCACAUCAGCACGUAUGGGCCUCAUUAUACUGCAGCUCCUGGACCUCCUACAAUUGGUUGGCUAUGGCCAGUUGAUCGAUGUGCUGAAGUCCAGGUCUGUUUGCUGGCACAUAUGCUUUGGAAAUAGGCCACUAUGUUUGUACUUCAAAAUUGUUUCUGUAUUCUUGAGUGGUACAUCCUUUUAAGCGCCAGUUUUUUAUGUUAAUUCAUGCUGACAACACUUAACCUAGCCUUUUCAUGUUCACGUAAUUGCUCUGCAUGUUCUACAUAGGAAAAUUUGUCAUGUUCUACGAUCGCACCAUCCCACCCUUCUCUCUUGGUAUGGGCGCCAAUUGAGGGAUUGAUAAAACUGAAACGAAGACGUCACAGGGCUGGAAGUACCGCUAGCCUGGUUCGCACUGCAACCUACCCAACGCGAUUGGAGCAGGUGGCUAUGGAGAUUUUACCCAACAUGGGUGGCAGCAUAAUCUCCGGAUCGGUCCACCAACCGUUUCGACAUAGGCAUAUUGUCGGUCUAUAGGACUCUACUGUUGCCGAAUUGUCGGGUUUUUUUCUUAUCAGAUUUUUUAUGUUUGGCUGUGUGCAUCCUAGUUAUGCAGAGGCCGGGUGGUACUCUAAAUGCUUUGUAUCGCUUGAUGCUACAUUUUGAGAUAAUAAAAACGUCCUUUAUCAAAAAAAAAUUGUAAGUACUACCCCUUGCAUGUGCGUACAUACCUUUGUUGCAUUCUCAAACAGAUAGAACAUGUAUGAUCGGUGCAUGGCUAUUUUUCAUCACAUGACAUCCAGAUAACAAGCAUGAAAGGACUACAUUGGAGAUCAAAAAAUAUUGGUUCCUGGCUAGAGUACCACUACCUAUGGACUUGUCUCCAUAGAAUUUGUUCCCAAGAUGUUAUUUUAAUUAACCUCUUUAGAUUUCUUCCAUUGCAAACGGUGAUGUGCAUCAUGGUAUAUACGUGACCAUCUUGCACAUGUAUACACAAGAGGCUCAGACGGAGGUGCUGGAUUCUGGACGAGGGAAUAUGAAGCAGGAGUGAGCGAAGAGUAAAUAAUGGUGGGAGUACCGAUUGGUGUUAUGAAGAAAAAUGCCAUCCAAAGAUUGAUUAGUGUCAUGGAAGAUUAAUUUCUGAAUGUGAAUAUAUAUGUUACAUUGGUUUCCAUCUUUUUGAGAUAAUUGCACCUAAAUUAGGUUCUUUCUUAUUUCAUGUGUAUACCUUAUUUCAGUAAAAGUUCACAACGAACUUAGUAGGACAAAUAUAAUUUUGUUUGUUCUUUCUGUUGUCCGCCACCAAAGCUCAGUUUGAACUCUCUAGAAAUGGACAAUGAUUUAUGCAUUCUAUAUCUUCUUGAUUGAUUAGCCAUGACAAGGAAAUAAAAGGAUUGACUGAUAUAGCAUAACUUUGGAACGAUCUGUUCGUAGAGGUUACUAUAAAUUAGAGUAGUGUCUGUUGGAAUUUUGCUAGUACGCCUUUGGCCCAAAGCCCAACUAAAAUUCUGAAAUUCUCUUGGCUCAUUUAUGCACACAAGUUAGUCCCACCCCGGAAGUUGAGAGAGAGUUGCACCUCUUUAUAAGGUGAGCUCUUCUACCACUUGUAUGAGCAUGAGAAGAGGAGACCUACACGCGCGCUCCUCCUCGCUCGCCCCGCCGCGCCGCGGGUUGCGGGAUUGAGCCGAGCCGAGGACGUUGUCUAUAUUUUUGCUGCUCGGGAAAAAUUAAUGAGUCAUUAAUUAAUAAUUAAUGGACGCGUUAAUUACUGAACCAUUUCCGAUUCUUUUGGAUCGUAACGACUCGGACGUGGGGUUUACUCCCACGACCUACCCGGCCCGCACUAUAUAGUCAGGCAGACGUCUACCCUAGCCGCCGCCGCUUCGUAUGGUUUCUCACCAUCGUUACAGAUCAUUGCGCCACCAAGCAAGUUUUCUCCAUCCCUCCUUUCGGCGUGCACCGGGAGAAGGGACAGCAGGCCUCCGGAACCCCGCCUCUCGUGAUCCUGUACGGGAGAGGGGCGAUCAGGUUUUUGAGGAGCGCACUCGCACGACUGCUGGCAGCGACGACUUCGCGAACGACGACAUCUUCCCCGGCCUCGGCAACCUCAUCCUCGACGACAUGGGCGACAACGUCAACGCCGGCGGUGCUACACCCACUACACCGUAUGUUAUUCUAUCCUUCUUGUUCGAGAUCGUGGUAGAAUUCAUAUUUCUAGUAUAUGUGCUAUAGAUGUGAUCUGUUCAUCUACUAUGCUAGUUCGCAUGAUUAGUUUAAUCUCUGCUAUUGCUGUCAUGAUCUAUUUCCUAUUUAUUCGGAUUAAAUCUCGUAGUAAUUGGCUCAUUUUUCCAACAAUCCAAAAACCUGAUUAUAGGCAAUUUACUCCGAGUGGUUUUACUGCGCAUCUAAAAGCCGCCUGCCUUUAAGGGGGCGUAAUAUAAGAGGUGGCGCACCAGAGCAGUCUACUGGUUUCAGAUCAUGGGCUGCUAUGAUGCCACCAAGGGCAAGCCUGAGGGCGAUCUUAAUCCAGCACAGCUGGAAGCUUUCAAGGAGAUCAAUACCCUCUUUAAAGGCACUCUUCUGAGUGUUCUUGAUGACUCCAUUGUAGAUUCGUAUAUGUCAUUUGACAACGGCAAGAACAUGUGGGCUACGCUCGAGUCCAAGUUUGGUGCCUCAGACGCCGGCAGCAAGUUCUACGUCAUGGAGCAAUUCUAUGACUCCAAGAUGACUGAUGAGCGCCCUAUUGUACAGCAGGCUCAUGAGAUACAUUCGCUCGCAAAAGAACUUGAGUACUUCAAGUGUGUGUUGCCGGACAAAUUUGUUGCCGGAGGCAUCAUUGCCAAGCUUCCACCUUCGUGGAACAAUUUUGCUACUUCCCUGAAACACAAGAGACAGGAGUUUUUCAUUGCGGAUCUCAUUGGUACUCUUGAUGUUGAAGAGAAGGCGAGAGCAAAGGAUACACGUGCUCGAGUUGCUGAGGGAGGUUCUAGUGCCCACAUGGUACAGAAGAAGAACUUCCAGCCCAACAAGUUCAAAAACAACAAGAACAAAACUUAGGGCAAAGGCAAGUUUGAUACAAAGAACAAGCCAUCACAUUCUACCAACUUCAAGAAGAACUCUCAUAAGAAGGGGAAGGGACUUUGCCAUGUCUGCGGUGAUCCUAAUCACUGGGCUCCGAAGUGUGCUAACCGCUUUGAGGAGCGCGAAGAUGAGAAGAGCCGCAAGUCCGCUAAUGUUAUCAUCGGUGAUACUGAUAUGAAGGAAUCAGGGUACGGUAUUUUUCCUACCAUCCUUUCAGUAUUCCAAACCCCUGAUUCGUUAAUUGACACCGGUGCCAAUGUACAUGUUUGUGCUGAUGCCUCCAUGUUUUCUUCUUACCAGGCCACUGGGACUUCUCCCGUGCUAUUGGGGAACGGGUCACAUGCCAUCGUUCGAGGUGUUGAUACGGUCGAUCUGAAGUUUACUUCAGGGAAGACCGUGCGUCUGAAGAACGUUCAUCAUGUGCCGUCCAUCAAUAAAAAUCUCGUUAGCGGUUCCCGUUUAUGUCGAGAUGGUUUUAAGUUGGUUUUCGAAUCCAAUAAAGUUGUAAUUUCUAAGUAUGGACAAUUUGUUGGAAAAGGCUAUGAGAGCGGAGGCUUGUUUCGCCUGUCUUUGUCAGAUAUUUGCACUAAAGUUAUUAAUAAUGCUUGCCACAACAAUGAGUCUGAUAUUUGGCAUUCACGACUUUGUCACAUUAACUUUGGUUGCAUGACGCGGCUAGCCAAUAUGAAUUUAAUUCCGAAAAUCUCUACUAUCAAAGGCUCUAAGUGCCAAGUAUGUGUGCAAGCUAAGCAACCUCGCAAGUCCCAUAAGACUGCAGAGGCAACAGACUUGGCGCCACUAGAGCUUAUACAUUCUGAUAUUUGUGAGAUGAAUGGCGUGUUGACAAAAGGUGGAAAGAGAUACUUCAUGACGUUGAUUGAUGACUCCACUAGAUAUUGUUAUGUGUAUCUUGUGAAAUCAAAAGAUGAGGCUUUGGCUUUCUUCAAAAACUAUAAAGCUGAGGCAGAAAACCAACUUGAUCGAAAAAUUAAACGGCUUAGGUCCGAUCAUGGUGGCGAGUAUUUUUCCAAUGAAUUUGAUCUGUUUUGUGCGGAACAUGGUAUAAUCCAUGAGAGGAUGCCUCCCUACUCACCCCAGUCAAAUGGGGUAGCCGAAAGAAAGAACCGAACUCUAACUGAUAUGGUUAACACCAUGUUAGACACUUCGGGUCUAUCCAAGGAAUGGUGGGGGGAGGCGCUAAUGACUGCGUGUCAUGUCCUAAACCGAGUUCCCACAAAGCAUAAGACCAUGACUCCAUUUGAGGAAUGUGAAAGGAAAAGGUUGAAACUCUCUUACCUAUGUACUUGGGGUUGUUUGGCAAAAGUCAAUAUAUCAAUUCCCAAGAAGCGCAAGCUUGGACCAAAAACCGUGGAUUGUGUUCUUCUUGGCUAUGCUUUUCAUAGCAUCGGCUAUAGAUUUUUGAUAAUAAAAUCUGAGGUAUCCGACAUGCAUGUUGGUACGAUUAUGGAGUCGAAUGAUGCAACUUUCUUUGAGGACAUAUUUCCUAUGAAGGAUAUGUCGAGUUCAUCAAAUCAGGAGACACCUACUCCAUCUAGUGAGGAGUUCACUGCAAUUCCUAAACCCAUCAUUGCGAUGGAAUACGUUGAGAAUCCUGUUGAGGGUGACAAUGGAACUCCUGUGAGGAGUAAGAGACAUAGGGCUACAAAGUCCUUUGGUGAUUAUUUCAUUAUGUACCUCGUGGAUGACACACCCAGGACUAUUUCAGAAGCCUGUGCAUCUCUUGAUGCUGACUACUGGAAGGAAGCUGUACGUAGCGAGAUGGAUUCCAUCUUAGGUAACGGAACCUGGGAGAUCACUGACCGUCCUUAUGGGUGAAAACCUGUAGGAUGUAAGUGGGUGUUCAAGAAGAAGCUUAGACCUGAUGGUAUGAUUGAAAAGUAUAAGGCACGGCUUGUGGCCAAGGGUUAUACCCAGAAAGAAGUUGAAGACUUCUUUGAUAGUUACUCACCCGUGGCUAGACUGUCCACAAUUCGGGUGCUACUAUCACUUGCUGCCUCACAUGGUCUUCUCGUUCAUCAAAUGGACGUUAAGACAACUUUCCUCAAUGGAGAGUUGAAGGAGGAAAUUUACAUGGAUCAGCCAGAUGGUUUUGUAGUACCUGGUUAGGAAGGAAAGGUGUGCAAGUUAUUAAAGUCUUUAUAUGGCCUUAAACAAGCUCCUAAAGAGUGGCAUGAGUAGUUCGAAAGAACAUUAACUACUGCCGGCUUUGUAGUAAACGAUGGUGACAAGUGCGUGUACUAUCGCUAUGGUGGGGGCGAAGGAGUUAUUCUUUGUCUGUAUGUCGAUGACAUAUUGAUCUUUGGAACCAAACUUGAUUUAAUCAAGGAGGUUAAGGAUUUCUUAUCUCGCUAUUUUAAGAUGAAGGAUCUAGGAGUAGCUGAUGUUAUCUUAAACAUCAAGCUGUUGAGAGAUGAGAAUGGUGGGAUCACACUGCUUCAGUCUCACUAUGUGGAAAAGGUCUUGCUUCGUUUUGGGUAUAGCGACUGCACACCUUCUCCAACUCCAUAUGAUGCUAGCGUGUUGCAUCGAAAGAAUCGAUGGAUUGCUAGAGAUCAACUAAGGUAUUCUCAUAUUACUGGCUCGCUUAUGUAUUUGGCGAGUGCCACGAGGCCUAACAUCUCGUUUGCUGUUAGCAAGCUGAGUCGGUUUGUGUCAAAACCGGGAGAUGAUCAUUGGCAUGCGCUUGAGAGAGUUAUGCGCUAUUUGAAAGGCACCGCGAGCUAUGGGAUUCACUACACCGGGUAUCCAAGGGUACUGGAGGGUUAUAGUGACUCAAACUGGAUAUCUGAUGCUAAUGAGAUUAAGGCCACAAGUGGUUAUGUUUUUACACUUGGUGGUGGCGCUGUUUCUUGGAAGUCCUGCAAGCAGACCAUCUUAACGAGGUCAACUAUGGAAGCAGAACUCACAUCAUUAGAAACUGCCACUGUUAUAGAAGAGUGGCUUCGUGAGCUCUUGAUGGACUUACCUAUGGUUGAAAAACCAAUACCCCCUAUCCCGAUGAACUGUGAUAAUCAAACUGUGAUCGUCAAGAUAAACAGUUCUAAGGACAAUAUGAAGUCCUCAAGGCAUGUGAAGAGGAGACUGAAAUCUGUCAGAAAAUUGAGGAACUCCGGAGUUAUUAUGUUGGAUUAUAUCCAAACGUCAAAAAAAUUAGCAGAUCCCUUCACAAAGGGUCUAUCACGUAAUGUGAUAGAUAAUGCAUCGAUGGAGAUGGGUCUGAGACCCACCGCAUGAGUUGUCCAUAGUGGUAACCCACUCUAUGUGAUCGGAGAUCCCGUGAAGUAGAAGUGGGAGACAAGUUGUUGGUCAGCUGGGAGGAGAGUAUCCCUAUAUUACCUAUCCCACUUCAUGAAGAUGCAAUACUCUCCUAAUCUGCAUGGCAGGUUGAUACUUAUCUUAAUGUGUUCCAAGUGGCUUAUUCGGGUAAGCAGAGAUGUUGUCCUGCAGAACAUCUUCUAAGAAACACAUCUAUAUGAAUUUGACUGUUAACAUUGCAGUCUGUGAGAAUUGGGUGUUCUCUAAUAAAUUCAUGAAAAGGCCCUGGAAUAUGACGUAUACACUCCACCCGCGGGGAAGCCUUGCGGCAGCCCAGUAUCGGUCAAGAAUUUAUGUGAAACUAGUCUCGCAGAAAAUUUUUAGUUCAAGGCAUAGUCCACUAUUCAAGUUGUGAUCUAGUGUAGCAUAAAUCUCUAAGUGGAAGUUAAACUUCACAGUCUCCACUAAGCCCUGGUAUAUAAACAAUGUUUUGGAACUAAAUGAUGAGAUGUGCCCAUGAGACUUUGUGGGGGAUUGUUGGAAUUUUGCUAGUAGGCCUUUGGCCCAAAGCCCAACUAAAAUUCUGAAAUUCUCUUGGCCCAGUCAUGCACACAUGUGAGUGGAGUGAGUGAGACUAAAGUUUAGUCCCACCCCGGAAGUUGAGAAAGAGCACAUCUUUAUAAGGUGAGCUCUUCUACCACUUGUAUGAGCAUGAGAAUAGGAGACCUACACACGCGCUCCUCCUCCUCGCUCGCCACACCACGCCUCGUCACGACGCGCCGGCCGUGGGUUCGGGAUUGAGCCGAGCCGAGGACAGAGCUAUGCACAUUGUCUAUUUUUUGCUACCCCGGAAAAAUUAAUGAGUUAUUAAUUAAUAAUUAAUGGACGCAUUAAUUACUGAACCGUUUCCGAUUCUUUUGGAUCGUGAUGACUCGGACGUGGGGUUUACUCCCACGACCUACCUGGCCCGCACUAUAUAGUCGGGCAGACGUCUACCCUAGUUGCCGCCGCUUCGUAUGGUUUCUCACCACUGUUCCAGAUCAUUGCGCCGCCAAGCAAGUCUUCUCCAUCCCUCCUUUCGGCGUGCACCGGGAGAAGGGACAGCAGGCCUCCGGAAUCCCGCCUCUCGUGACCCUGUACGGGAGAGGGGCGAUCAGGUUUUUGGGGAGCGCACUCGCGCGACUGCUGGCAGCGACGACUUCGCGAAUGACGACUUCUUCCCUGACCUCGGCAACCUCAUCCUCGACGACAUGGGCGACAAUGUCUACGCCGGCGGUGCUGCACCCGCUGCACCAUAUGUUAUUCUAUCCUUCUUGUUCGAGAUCGUGGUAGAAUUUAGAUUUCUAGUGUGUGCCCUAGAUGUGAUCUGUUCAUCUACUAUGCUAGUUCGCAUGAUUAGUUUAAUCUCUGUUAUUGCUGUCAUGAUCUAUUUCCUAUUUAUUCGGAUUAAAUCUCAUAGUAAUUUGCUCAUUUUUCCAACAGUGCCAUCUAAUAGAUGAUGUAAAUCUCCUCAAGUUUGACGUUGUUGAGCUAAUUUACAAAAAAAAACUCAUCAUUAUUGGACGUCCUUAACAGCUCAAGAACAAGUUGGGGUCGAACUAAUGGAUUUUAAACUUUUACAUAAAAGGUUUAGCUAAAGCUAGCAGGUUUUUUUAAACCUGAAUUUUUUUCCUCCUGAAUUUCUUUGUAUUUUCUUAUUGACACUAUUUAUACAAUCAUCUGACAAAGAUUAGCUAAAGCUGUUUGUAGAUACGUUGAAACCUGAAAAGCUUCUUUGGUUAUCCUUUUAAUAGUUCUACGUUUAUUUUCUCAUAGGUCUUAAUUCUUAUGUAAUACCAAGAUGCAUUGUGGUAGUGUACAUGUGUUAAAUUCAGGUUGUUAUUCACAAUUUGCGACAAAAUUUAGCUCACGCUACAUUUAAAUAUGUUGAAAUGUGAAAGCUCUUUUUCUUCUCCUUUCUACACCUUGCAUCGGAUUGCAUCCCUUUAGUUAUCCAACAUUUUGUACAACAUGUAGAGAUUAGGAAGUUCAUCAUAGUUUGUCUAUUUCCGUGCAAAUAAAUGUAUGAAAUCUGCAUUUCCAAGCUACUAGGACAAGUAAAAAAUAAUAAUUUUACUAUAGGAUUCAAAAACAGCAGUUCUGAAGUGCACUUUAUUUAUUUGUGAAAGUGAUCACAUUUUGUUUCAUUUUUCUAUAGACAAAUCUACUAAUACAUACUCACGAUAAAACUAUAAAAGUUCUAGUCCGCACAUUGGGCGGGCCACCCGGCUAGUUAGUCUAAAGAUAACAAAAUGAGUCUGGUGUUUGAAUUAAAUUGAAGUAUUUUCUUGGACUUUCAAAUUGAGUAUUAUUAAAGUAGUAAGGACUAUUCACAUCCUUGGCUUGCCCCUGAUCAAUUAUUUCCAGAGAAGCAUUCAAUUCAUCAAUCAAUUACAUUGAUUUUAGUGGCUGGUACUUCUCCUCAACAUCAGUAUAUUCACCGUGGCCACUCCAAAUCGGCAAGAAUGAGGUACCAGUGCUCUGGAGCAGUGCAAGCUAAUUGCUUCUCAUGUGAAGGGGUGCGGGCGCAGGAGAGGUAUUUCUGGUGGGCCAAGGGACUAAGAAGCGACCGUGGCAGCGGUACAGACGCCCGCAAAGCCCCAUAGUUUGUUUUUGGUUUACAGGAAAAAUGCACAUCCAUACCGGCCUGGGGAAUAUAGGACCGUAUUGGAUGGAAAACCAUGUCCGGAUGGUUGCGAGCGGUUUGAGGGUUAGCUUUUGUAACGCCCGGUUAGUUAUGCUAUAGCAAUUCCCUGCUAAUGAUGUCACGUCACCACGAUUACUGUUGUUAACCUCACAAUGAUUCAAUCCCCUUCAAAUUCAAAUUUAAAAUAAAGGCAAACAUAAAAAGUUUUCAAACAUUAAAACUAAAAUCUUUGAGAGGUGACAAAUAAUGCAUAAGUAAUUAUGAUGGAGAAACCACACUUUAAUCAAAUGUUUAAAUACUCUAAAAUGAAAAAAAACAGUGGCUUAAACUAUUAUUUAAAUGCUUUUAAAAUAGUAAAAAUCUUCUAACUAAAUUAUUUGGGUACCAAACUUUUGGUGGCAGUGGUAUAUUUAGUAGAACUAAUUUAGAUGCUAAUUAUAUAAUUUACAAAAUUAGAGUAAAUUGAAAAAUAGGAUAAAACGGAAAAGGAAAGACAAAACAAUAAAAGCAAAAGGGGGCAACCCCUUGCUGGGCCUCGGCCUAGCUGGCCACUAGGCUAGCUAGGCUGGCCCCGCCGCCUCCCUUNNNNNNNNNNNNNNNNNNNNNNNNNNNNNNNNNNNNNNNNNNNNNNNNNNNNNNNNNNNNNNNNNNNNNNNNNNNNNNNNNNNNNNNNNNNNNNNNNNNNNNNNNNNNNNNNNNNNNNNNNNNNNNNNNNNNNNNNNNNNNNNNNNNNNNNNNNNNNNNNNNNNNNNNNNNNNNNNNNNNNNNNNNNNNNNNNNNNNNNNNNNNNNNNNNNNNNNNNNNNNNNNNNNNNNNNNNNNNNNNNNNNNNNNNNNNNNNNNNNNNNNNNNNNNNNNNNNNNNNNNNNNNNNNNNNNNNNNNNNNNNNNNNNNNNNNCAUCUGGAUCGGGGAGGGUAUUGCCCCCAUUGUCCCCGUUGCCGUCGCCGGAUCGCCCGCCGACGUUGCCAGGCCUCCUCCCCGCCGCCCGUCUCCGGCUGACCUCCCCUCUUGCUCCUCUUCCCCGACCCGAUCUGGAUCGUGAACGAGCAAUGAGCUCGAAGCCCCCCUUCACCGGCGCCAUCACCGUGCGCCACCACCACCGCCUGAAGACCUCACCGUCGCCGAACCUUGCGUCGCCUCCUCGUAUCCCUCCCCUACUCGCGUCCUCAAGCCAGGCCGAGCCCCUUCUCGGCAACGCUGUGAGACGCCCCCGUUUCCCUCCUCUUUCCAGCGCGUUCAUCGCGCUGCCUGCCGUGCCCCUCGUCGUGCGCACGCCCACCACCGCACCAGCCCC